AAAAAAAAAAAGGUACCAAUUUCAACUAGAAGAAGAAAAGAACAAAGUACCUCAGUAUCACAUGCAUGGACAAGAUGCUUAUAUUUGUUUGUAAGCAUCCAUACAACCUUCUUUGCGGCAGAAACAUUAUCAACAACCAUAACAUUGCUGUAGAAGCUAGCAAGUUUACUGCGAAGAAUCUCGAGUUUUUCAAUAUUUUCAUUUUCUGAAGCCUUUUUGUUCUGGCCAGUACCUUCUGCAGCAUCAUUCUUAGGAUUCUUUUGAUUGCUUCGCUUAAAACUAACUAGUUUUGGAGGAGGUGUAUAGGAACUACCAUCUUCAAAGCACUCAAUCUCUGAGUUCCUGAAAUCUGACAAGUUGGGAACUGUCAAAACAGUGGCUCCUUUUCUCUCUUGAUAUUCUGCAACUUCCUUUUCAUAUCGCAAGCACUCCAUAUUAGUCUUCUUGUCCAAGGGUAUUUGAUCAUUCACAAAGUCUUCGCUUUUUUCUUCACUGCCAGUAACUUGUUUAGUAACAGCCAUCACAGAUCCAGGAUGAUUCUUAGGAUGGCCACCUACUGCACCAUUUCUGAGAUCUGCUAGUCCCUUAAAAAUGGGCUUCUUCUGCUGCUCAAAUUUCUGAAAAUAAUGUGGCUUAGAACUCGUGAUUGGAGAAUAGAAACUACUGUCUUGCAAGCACUCAGUCUUUGAUGAAGUAAGUGAUCUGUUGUGCUUGGACUCCAGUAUGUUGAUAACAGUAGAAAUGGCAGCUCUUUUUCUAUCUUGAGCUUUUGCAUCUUCCUUCUCAUCUCUCGAGCUCUCUGUAUUUGUCUGACAAGAUUCUACUUCUUUCAUUACAUGCAGUCUGGUCGUUUCUGUCAUCCACCCUCUCGAACUGUGGAUAGUAUUUUUUGCAGAAAAUGUUUCAUUGCUGAAAUUAGAAGGAUUAGGACGAUAGAAGGAUGCAACCUCCAGAAAUUGUUUUCCAUGAAGUUUUUCUCUUUUUUCAUCUAUUUUUGGCAGAUCAAAAGUUCCUUUCGAGGAGUAGUUUCCUUCAAAACUGUUGAGAUCUUGGCAGAAAGGGACCAUCUUAGCUGAUGAAGCACCCACCGAAAGUCUAUAAGCAUAUUUUUUAAUGGGAAAUCUCCUAGCAUUGUUAAAAGAACUAUAAAAUCGGGGAAAACUACUCGACAUCAUAAUGUUGGGAAAGGUAGUGUUCGUUACGCAGCCUUCUCUCCUGAAAUUUUUUUCAAUGGAAACAAUAUCAAAGGCAGCAGAAGGUCAAGCGACCAUGAUAAUAUACAAAUUGCUUCAUCCCAAGUAAGAAAGGGAAACAUCUCAAACAGCGCCAAUAAGAAUUUAGAACCGUAUGCACAGCUCAAAUCCACUGAAAGCUGAACAUCAGUACAGGAUGACAUUUGCAACAUAACAUAUCAUAUCAUAAUCACACAUAGCAACAAUAUGGCAAACCAAAACCCAGUUAACAGAAAUAAAAUGUGGGUGUUACAUAAUCUUCAAAAGUCAAAACCCAGAUAGCAAAAGCUAUGCACGCAAAAAUAUAAUCUCUUUAACUUCUCCAAUUGAACAAAGCAAAACUGUAAGUGGGUAUCAAAUAACCCUAAAAACUCAGAAAGCAAAAGCAAUAAACAGCACAAAAACACAACAAAUAAUUUCAUAAUAUAACAAAUUAGAGCCAAAAUUAUAUAUAUAUAAAAGAAUUGAACCGAACCUUUUAAAAGAAGUGAGAGGGACAUUAGGAGAGGAGCAAGGAGACCACUUUCUGGUGGUGAGAUUCGGGGAGACUCCCAUGACCGUUAUCAAGUUCCCAACUUUUGUUCUGCUAAACAGCAGCUUGUUGCAAGCGGUGCUUGUGCUUGUAAGAGCCGUUUUGAAGGGUUUAAGAGGGGGCAGAACGGUAAUAAAGGUGGGAUUUUGAGGGUGGGGUUUAAGAGUGUGGCGGGUCUGCGUCUGUUUCUGUAGCUGAAAUACCGAGAGUGGCCAUCAACGGUCAGAACUCAGCAGUCGGCACUACUUAACGAGCCAGAGAGUCAGCGACAAUGGUUAAUUGGUUAUUGCUAAAACCCUUACCCUUCGUUGCACUGGCGCCUUCAUUAUUACCUUUUUUUUAUUUUUUUUUUCAAUUUUUUGCUUUUGGGUAAUUUGUCAAAAUCGCCCUUCAGGUAUGGCGUAUUUGCAAAAUAGAUGUCAAGCAUUGUUUAUUUUUGAAAACCCUCUGCAAAAUUUUGAAGUUUUGACAUUUGUUAACUGGUUAAGAGUAAAAUCAAAGAAAUACUUGACAAAGUGAAAUACUCAAGUUUUGCGUAUGUAAUCAUUCAUAAUUAUAAUAAGUUAUCAUUUGUUUGAGACUAAGUUUAAUUUAAAUUUUUGGAUCCUUAGUAUAGUAAUAUUAUAUAAUCAUAAUAAAUAUCAAACCAAAUUCAGUACGUUAACACUUUCUCUCUUAAUUCAUUUAUAAAAACUAUUAAAUUAAUAGACUAAUUACAUCUCUUUGCUCUUUCUUGAUAAAAUCUAAGCCAAAAACUGUCACUUUUGAGGUAAAAUUAAAACAAAAAAAUGAAAAAUAAAGAAAUAUCAUGUUUCUAAUUUUCACAUCAAAUUAAACGCAACGGUAAGUCAACAAAUAAAGAAUGGCUCGUUAAAAGACUAUCAAUUUUGUUAAACACAUUUUGAUUGCAAAAGUCACUGUCUAUAGACAUAAAAUCUUUUUGGAUUUGGUUUUUCUAGUGGAUCUAAAGAAACUAAAUGUGUUUUUUAUAUUACUUAUUUAAUAGUCAUAAGUAAUUAUUUAAUUUCAUAAGCUCUUUUCAAAUUUAUUUUUGGUAUUUAAAAUUUUCAAAUAGAAUUUUUAAAAAUUAAAUAAGUUAUUUUACUUCUAUAUGCAAAGGCUCAAAUUUUAGGCUUUUAGAGUAGAAGUUUAUUUAAUUAUUAAAAUGUUUAAAAGAUCCUCUGUUUAUUUGAUAAUCUUAUUUCAUUUAUUUCAUAAAAUAAUUUUAAAAAACUUAUUUAUUAAAAUAAUUUUAUAUCUUUUAUUAAAUGCUCUUAUUGACAACUAAAUAAUUAAAAAAAUUUUAAAAAAACUCUACUUGUAAAAGUUUUAUUAACAAUAGUUCUACUUAAAUAAGUUUCAUUUAAAAAUCUAUAUUUAAUGGAGCUUAAAAGUAUCAUGAUCAUUUAUUAUUAUGUAUUGGUAUGAAUUUUGCUCUUUUUUUUUUCCUAAAUUGUUUCAUAUGUACUUUUACAAAGAUUUCUCUCUCAAGUCAGGCCUUCAUUGUAUCUAAGGCGUUAUGAUACUUUCUCAGUUAAGUGAUGGUCAACAAAAAAUUUAACAGACGACAAGAGGAUUUCAAUCAAUAAAAUGACUUUUUCCAUCUAAUUGCAAAUAGAUCAUACCUCAGGGGAGGUUACUAAAAAGUACGCACAAGAGAACAAACAUUUUAUACAGUGACUGAUGUCGACUUUGCCACGUGGGUAAUUGUCAUGUGUGGCUGUGUAGUUUUUUCAGAUUCUCUAUUGAUUUUUUAAAAUUUUUAUAAUAAAUCCCACUUUUUAACCAAAAAAAGUAUUUAAACGGAAAUUAAAUCCCUUCGUGAUUUAUUAAAGUUUUGUCUGAGGUGAUGUGUUUGCCUAAUAGUAAUUUGUUUAAAAUUUAAAAUAUAUUAAAGUUAAGUUAUUUAACUUUUACUAUUAAGUGAUAUAAAAUAAGAAAAACAAACAAGUCAGACUUUAAAAAAAAUUUAAAAAUCAUAAAAUUUCAAACUGUAGAUAUUUAACACACAAAUCUUAAUAGGGAUUUCAUCAAAGAAUCAAUAGGUUUUUUAUUUUAGCGUUUCAUUAUUAGUUGGCUGCACCACCUCAACAUAUUAAAAUGAUAUGCUUGUCUUACAAAAAAAUUUCCUACUAAAAUAUUUAUGUGAAUAAAAUUCGAACAUAACCAAAUUUCAAACAUUUUAAUUUCCUCGAGAAGUUUUUAAUGAUUGCACAACCUAGUUAGCAUAUAUUAUUGUUACUACUUACAUUUUUUCCCAAAUACUACAUAAUUUAAAGUAAACACCUGCUUGAUUGGUGAAUAAUGUGAACAAAAUUUAAAUAAUAAAAUUUUACCAAUUAAACUAAUUAAUAUAUAUUUUAUUGAAUAAUUACAUUAAAUAAUACACAUUAUUAAUUUGAAGUUUUCUUAAUACUAGAUUAGUGUACAUUGAGUAAAACCUCGGUUGUUCUUCAAUACUCGAUAUCAUGCCUUGCCUUAAGGAUUUGACAUAUGAUUCCAACAUCAAUUUGGUUGGUGGAACAAUAGAAUCAUAAAUAUUGUAGAAACUAUUUGAAAAUACUUGUUGAAGUUAUUGGGACAAAAAAAAAAAGGGUCCAUUUGAUGUAGGAAAUAAAAAUAAUUUUAAAAAAUUUAAAUAGAAAAAUUGGAAAAAUAAAUUGAACAAAAUAAACAUAAAAAAGUUUAAUCAAGAUUUCAUUGUUGAUUAUGAUCUUUAGCUCAACUUGUGGCUCUAUCAUUGCUCUUUUGCUACAUUAUACAAACAGAACCACAAGAAAAUUCACAGCAAACUAAAACCAUAAAUAAACUAAAGAUUAUUAAAUUAAUAGUAAUGGGGACUGAUUUAUACAAUAAAAAUCCCCUAAAAUGUGGAAAACAUAUACCUUGAAACAAUAUAAUUGCAGUGGACAACGAUUUAUUUUUUUCUCUUUUAAUCUUUCUUAUUAGUGAAAUAAUUAGGUAAAAUUUAAAUUUAAAUUUUGAUACUAACAAUUGAACAAACUUUUUUCAUUGUAUUUAUAAUUAAACCAAUUUUUUCAUUAGAUUAAAAAAAAAAAUAGGAGAGACUAUGAGAGGAUUAUAAGCCAAUUACAGUAUCCAUUUGCAUUCUUCUUCUUAUUUGAAAACUUUUGCCAUCCCUCGACAUCAUCAUGCUUUGUUGUAGUUGUAAUUUCUUUAUUGUUUCUUUUUUUGUGAGCUAAAUACUCUAUUGCGGUUACAACAUCGCUCAUCUUGGCCUUAGUUCCAGCUUCUUCUUGCAGAUUCAUAUGCUGCCAUUGCAACUUCUUUGGUGGUGUUUGGUUGGGAGGAGAGAAUAGAGGAAAUGAAAAUAAUUUAGUUUCUAUCUUUAUUUUCAUUGUUUGGUUGGAUAAAAUAUAUAAGAAUUUAAUUUCCAUUAUCAUUUAAUUUUUUAACUUGUUUAUUUAAUUAAAUUUAAUGAAUGAUUUAAGAAACUUAGCAAAAUAAAUAAACUUGUUUAUUUAUUUAUUUAAUAUGAAAAUAUAAAAAUAUAAAUUAACCGUUGUCGGAACUCUGACGGACUGUCGCCAGAUAGUCGCCCGAUAUCUGCGGGACCAUAGCCAGAACUCUAUUAGACCGUCGCCGGAACUCUAACGGACCGACGUUUUAUAUAUAUAUAUAUAUAUAUAUAGCAAUUUUCCAAUCAGGGAUUCCUGACUUUAAUAAAGUUAGGGAUUAGUUAAAAGACAAAAUAAACACAAACUCCAAUGUAUUGUAUUUUGUCAUAUAAUAUAUUAAAAUUUAAUUUUUUUUGUCUUUUAGCUAAUCUUUGACUUUAAUCAAGUUAGGGAUUGAUAUUAUACAUACAUACAUACAUACAUAUAUAUAUAUAUAUAUGUAUGUAUGUAUGUAUGUAUAUAUAUGGACUUUUUAACAUUAAAAAAAUUUGGCAUUUAUAUUAAAUUGUAUUUCAUUACUAAUAUAGAUAAUUUAGUAUUUAUCGAGAGUUUAGUAUUUAAGGUAAAGGAUAAAUUUGUCCAAAGAAAAAAAUUGUAAUUCUUUUUCCUAUUAAAUUUUAUGUCAAAUUAAAUAAUGAAAUUUAAUUUCACUAUCCUCCUCUACUCAUUUCUUUUCCAUUCUCCUUCAUCCACUCUUUUCCUUCUCUUCCCCCCCCCCCCUUUUUUAAAUUAAUAACCACUAAAGAGGUGGCGGGUUAGGCGGAACUCCUACCUAUCAUAUAAAUCAAUAAAAGGUAAUUACAUUAAGAGGGUAACAUAACCCAAAACCUCCUAAAGCAGAUGUAAAUACAUAAAAGUAAAAGAGAAAAUACACCAUCUAUUGAAACAAUAAAUCAACAAUCCUAUCGUCUGACAUGAGGGAAAGUUUGCGCAUCUAAAUGAAGAAUGCUAGAUAAGCCCGCAUGUAGAUCCUGAGCACACAAGAAAUGUUGGCUAACCCGGUGAGAGCAAGCCUAAUUGGCCAAAAAAUCAACAACAUAUGUAGCCUCCCGAAGUACAUGUCUAAUCACAAUGUGAAAGGAAGAUAUCAAAGGACACACCCAACGUAACAAGUAAAUAUAAUCCUAACGAACAGGGCCCUGCGAGUGAAUCCAAGAAACCACUGUGGUUGGGUUUGAUUCUACCUCAAGUGCAGAGUACCCAAGUUGAGUAGCGAGCUCCAACCCCUCGCAAACAACCAUAAGCUCACCUUCUCCUCCCCUUUCUUUAAACCAGACCUAGCCUUAGGACAAACCUUUUAUAAGGUAGUUCCCUUCUAAUGAAAAUUGCCAAUAACAUAAAUGAUGAUUGAUUUCAUACUUUUACGUUAUUGAAUCUUUUGUAUAGUAAAAUUAUGCUUUGGAGUCAUUUGAAACAAUAAGAGAGUGAAUUAUAAUUCUUCUUUUAACUGUUUUUAAAUUCUUUAGAUGAAGCUGAAUUUUUUACUUUCUUGGUGACCAAUACUUUGGACAAUGAAUUUUUAACUCAUUUGACAAUAUUAUAAAAAUUCACCCUGCCCCUCCCCCCAAUGUUCAUGUUUACUUGUGUAGUGACAGUAUGGGGACUACGUUCCUUCGUAUUACUAAGCUUUAGCUUCUGCUAGGCUCGCCUUCUUUAUAAAAAAAAUAUUAUAAAAAUUCAUAUCGCACUUUAACAAAAUGUAGGAUCUCUUAUUAAAAAAUACACUACAUAUAUUGCGUACUCGUAUGGUUUAGAAUCUUAAAUUUUAUUAAAAUCUAAAAAAACUAUUAUGUCAGUCUUGAUGGAACGACGGUUUCUCUUUAAGGCCAUUCCAUAAGGAUUGCCGCCCUUCGUUUUCCUCAUGUUAAUCCAUAUGAUCCGUCUCUGUAGCGUUAUCCUCAUCACAUCCGUAUGAUCCAUUUCUCUCUCUCUCUCACUCACUCACUCACUUACUCACUUGUAUAUAUAACUAAUACACAGAACAAGCUGCACGUAGAUGUUCUUCGAUGUCCUUAAUUUUUAAUUGUCUUAUUAUUAUAAGGUCCGUUCCUUGCAUCCUUCUACGAGUUCUAAACGAAGUUGGCAUAAUUAUAAGAAUAUUAAUAAUGGUAAAGUUAAUCGAUCGACGGGGUCAAGAAAAAGAAUAGAAUAGAUUAUUUAAUUUCCAACAGCUUAAUUUUGUCUCUCCGCGAAUGUAAUAAUCACAUUUAUUUUACUACUUUUGUCCCCAUUGCUUAUUUUAUCCGCAAAUAUAAUAAUCACACGUUUUUAAAGUAAAGGCCAUUUUGGAAGAAGCCUGUACGGUUUGGAAAGAGGUUUUGAUUGAUAUAUAUAUAUAUAAAGCGAAUUUACUCCAAGGCCUUUGGCGCAACUAUACAUAACAUAGAAAUUACACUUGAAAAGGGUGAAUAAUCAAAUAAAGCAGCGGGUGCUACAACCGACCGUAAAAGAGAGGAAAUCCGCCACAUUUCCUUCUGAAAAGGUCCUUGAUUUUAUCCAAAAGCGUGCUGUGCCUAAGCCCAAAGUCCUUUGCUAUUUUGUUGAUUAGUACUGCCCGUUACAGGCCAAUCCUUGGUCACUCUCAUGAGUAAGGUUUUGUCUGGCCGCCACAAUCAUUAAAACAUGAGGGAAAAUAAAUGGGAAAUUAUCAAUUUUUCAUCUGAUUGGUAAAAAUGCAAAAAUAAUUGAAAAUUUUAGAACUUAUCAUUUUUUUUUUCGCUAGAAAAAAAAAGGGAUUUGACAGAGAAUUAGGUCUUGAUUAUUACUGGUGUAUUGUUGGAAAAAAAGUUGUAAUUAUAAUAUAAAAUUAUGUGACAAAUAUAAUUUUUAAAUAGUAAUUUUAAUAAAAAUAGUAAAGAUUUAUAGGUUUUCACCUUAUAAAUGUAAAAUUAAAUCAAACUUAAUUUUCAAAUCACAACAAUAAUGUUUACCAAAUACUUUUAAUUCUAUUCUUUAAAAAUUACCACUACCCAACCACAAUAACACAAGGCCUUGAUCUAAGUUAAUCCCAAUAAAUUUCUGAUUGUAACUCAAAAAAAUCAUAUUAGAAUUAAAAAAAUCAACACCUAUUUUUUUAUUAAAUUUUUUUAAAUAUCAUAUUAUAUGAACAAAACACAUGCUCGAUUAUUUUUUUUCAAUUAAACCUUGACCAGUAAGGCAAUUUAUUAAAUUAAAAAGCAGGGAACACUUAUUUAGGGGACAUAAUAAACUAUAUCCCGCAAAAUAAUUAAAAAACUGAAACAGUGAGCACUGAACAAUUUUAGAAGAACCAAUACAGAUGGGUGGCCUACAAAACAAGAUGGUUUAGCCGAAAACGAAAAAAAACGAAAAACCAUUACUCCGUAUUAGCAUUAUUAUGAGAGAGGAACUUAGGAGUUUCUGGAAGUUCAGAGUCCCAGCAAGUGAAAGGAGCAGCUUAGGCCCGAAUGAGCUAGGCUGCCGCCACACAGCCCCUCGAAAAGUGUGGCUAAUACGAGAAUUCAUUUGACUCACUAGAUACAACAAUUAAACACAUGCUCGAUCGAAAUGCCAGUGUGAAUGGAAUUGUAAAUCAUCAAAAUCUUUAACCAAUGAUUAACACACUUGUUGUUAUUCAAUGGAGUUGUGAUUUUUACGCCCCUCCAAAGUCCUUAUAAUUAAUCGCCCUUUUACAUACACGUGACUACUAGAAGUUUUGAAAAUUAUGAUACUUUAAUUUAAUUCCCAAUCAACCCUUCAUAAAUAUUUCUAGGUCUCUAAAGUAAUUGUUUACUUUCUAAUGUCCCUUGUAAGUAAAUGAUGAAGGCUGAUUUUGCUUUAUUUCUAUUUUCAGUAUCGCUCAAAGAACAUCAACGGCCCCAUUUGAUUUUCGCUUUGGGUGUGAAGCUAAAAGAUCUAUGUUAUCUUCAAUUAAGUAUUCCUUUUUCUUAAAUGCUCUUUUAUCUCUCUUUUUCUAAAAACUAAAUCAUUCAAAAAAAAAUUGUAAAAUUUCACCCAAUUUAGCCGAAAAAUUGCCAUUUCUACGGUAUUGAUAAUUGAGGAGUGAACAACUUGCAUCUAUCAGCGGGAUUGCGGGAAAAAGAAAACCUAGAAAGAGAGUUUGCUCUUGAAGGGUUGUAAGUUUGUUCAGGGGUUAUUCGUAGAAUAAAUAUUAGAUAAUUGUAAGCACCGAAAUUUAAAAACUCUUUUAAAUGGAUUUGUUUAGAAAAAAAAAGGUUCAUAAGAGUUCCGGAAGGGGUGCUAAUAGCUCAACUCCAUUCAAUAUUCGACGUUAUGUCUUGGCUGGAUGUGAUGAUUCAUUGAUUCCAUUGCAUCAAUCAAUCGUCCGGUGGAAUAUCAUAUUAUUUUGCCUUAAAACAAUUUCUAAUUUCUUUCUUGAAUGUUCUACAACAUUCUGAAAUACAUCAAUUCAUGCUUAAUUUUUUAUUUCAUAAUCCAAAAUUCAAGGGUUCAUUUGAUUUACGAUUCAGAAAUAAUUUUCAAAAAUAAAAAAAUGUGUUGAAGGUUUUAAUGUGUUUAUUUUUCUUUAUGAUUUAUAUUAAUGGCUACCUAAUCAUCUCCCCAUUUAUGUGAAAGAGAUUUGAAUUCUAAACCUCUUUUUUCAAGAAAAGGGAUUUUCACCAACCUAACUAAAUGAUGCAAGUUUUAAUAUGUUUAUAUAAUAUCCAAAAACAAUAAUUUCAACAACUGAAACUUGUUUAAAAUAAUUUCUAAUUAAGUUAAAAAAAACAUGUUUACGAUAUCCCCUGUUCUUUGUGUCUACAUAGUGUAUGGUCCAUCAUGUGCAAAUUUAUGAACUUGAAUCCAGUGGCUCCUGAUAAGAGACACAGCAUUCCAAUAAAAUAGGAUAUUCUUUAUUACAAGCUCACUCCAUAUACAUGUGUGUCUGUGUGUUUGUGCCAAGAAUCAUUGCUAUUAUAACAUGUGCAUUAGAAGAAAUCAUGAUCAUUAUGGAUUACAUAAUUUGGUGGAAGAUGAAUUUGUGAUUUAUGAUAAUUUUCUUAUUAUCAUAAUUUUAAAGGUGAUGAAUCCGUUAUUUAUUAUUAUUUUUAAUAUAUUUAAUGAAUUUUCUUUUUAAGAUAGCGGGGUGUGUAAAGGCCAAAUCAAUUUUUAUGAUAUGUCUUAUAAAAAAUUAUUAAAUUAAUGAUAAUGGAGACUGAUUUAGAAUAGAAAUUGCCAAAACAACAGAAAUGAUGAUUGGUUUCUUACUUUUUGUCUUUUGUAUAAGUUAGACCUUGAAGCCAUUUAAUUGAAGCAAGAGGACAGUGAAUUCAAUUGUUUUUUAAAUUCGCCGGAUGCAGCUGAAUUUUAUUUUUCUUUCUUGAUGAAUAAUACUUUGGACAUUGACUUUUGUUUUGAUUUAAAUUUUUAUCAGCGCAUAUACACGUUCGCGUUGGUUGUCAAUAUAAUGCAAUUAACUUCACUGACGAUAAUGAGUAACAAUAUAUUACAUGUGUUAACACAUUCAAUAUUUAAUUCGAAAUACACCCAGUACAUUAAUAUUUUACAUGACAUGAUACAACACACCCAAAGGAAAAACCACUGUAAGAACCAAGUAAAAUAAUUAGAGGUACAAUACAUAUAAAGAUUGCCAUCCUAUCAUGCAUACAACUUAGAAAUAACGCGUCUACUUCUUCUUCUUCUUCUUCUUCCAAGGAAAAUUAUUCAUAAAUUCCAAGUAAUAGACCUUCCCAUUAGCCAAAAAAUCAGCACAGUUAGGAAACUCCAUGAGUGCUAAAACAAUAACUGGAAAGAUAGCAGCGGCAUAGAGAGCAGCGGUCCAUUUCUUCUCCAUACGAAUGAUGAGUAGAAGUGAAGCCGAGAAAGUAAUCAUGCUUGUUAGUACAGAAAAGAAGAGCAAAGUGAAGCCAACCAUCAACUUGCGCGGAAGUUCUCUAAGGAAAUCAGAUGACUCACGUGGCGACGUGAGGAUGGAGAGGAACAUAACAACGGAUGACAAAGAUAAGGCCAAGGAGGCAACGUCCAUUACAGUAAAAACAUAGAAAAGUGGUGACUUAAGGAAAUGGGGAAAUCCCUUAUCAUUGUUACCUCCAGGUAUCGUGAAGGCAGCUGUAAAGACGACGGUUGCGAUUAGGAUUGCCAGCACGGAGCAUGCCUGAGAGGUUUCUUUGAUCCAUUCUUGUGCUUUCCUAAGUUGAUCUUCAUGUGUUAGAUUAAAGAGGUCACUUGCAGUCAUCUUAUUUUUUUCGUCGCGGUGCAUAGUAUAAUGGCUAGGCAUUAUCUCCUUUACAUGCUGCAUACAAACACACACGCGUUAAAUAGGGACGGAGGCCUAUACACAUAGCCACAUGUGUAGUCAUUAUCUCUGUAGCAUUUUAAAAUAUAGAUUCAAGGUUUUACUCAAUUGUAAAAAAAUUCUAAGAGGGUUGUAAAAGGUUUUACACAAUUAAAGAAAAAAAAGUGUUUUAUAAAAUAAUGAAAUGGUCAAUCACCUGAAAAUAAAUAUACAUAUACAUACAUAUAUACAUAUAUAUAUAGAGAGAGAGUGAGAGAGAGAGGGGGGAAGGGGACAGAGAGAGAGAGAGAAAGUACUAAUUUAGUCCAAAAUUGUGUACUUUAUUAAAGUUUAAGAAAACUAUUAAACCACAUAGUAUAUAUAGGGGGAGAGAGAGAACGAGCUAUUAUUUAAUAACAGAUCUCGUAAGUUAUUAAAGUAAAGAAUAAAUUAAAAGAAAAGUAAAAGUGCAGUGUAUUUUAUCUAGUAAUAUAUAUUAAUGUAUGUGUUUUUCUUGUUUUUUAACUUGUCCCUUAUUUUUGGUAAGUUAAGGAGAUCCUUCAAUGAAAAAAAUUAUUUUACAUAAAUGAAGAUACUCAAAUAUGGUGUCUACACAAAUUUUUUGUGUGGAUUUUAGGUUUUAUAACCGUUUGAAAGCCUUUCACAUUAUUUCAAAAAUAUUUUACACUGUUCUAAAAUCCUAUAUAUAUAUAUAUAUAUAUAUAUGUAUAUAUAUAUAUAACUGAAUAAAUUACAUUUUGUGGGACAAAAUUGAAUAUUAUCGAAGGGCUUACCUCGAACAAUUGUAACUCCUCCUGAAAUUGGAGAACAGGGCCAGGGCGGGUUCCUUCUUUAUAAUGUUUCAUGUCUGCGACAUGGUGCAGUAAUGUGUAGCCUUUUUUGUCAAUUCUUGAAGCCCAUUUGGGCACAGACAGUUGCAUUUUCUUCGUGAUGAGUUCAAAGACUUUAUAUUGACGACGCUUUACGGCCACAUGUAAUAUAUUCUGCUCUUUCUCAUUCAAGUUAUGUAACAAUAUUGCUUGAGGAUGUUGAUGGAUUAUCUCCUUCAAAAUCUCUGUUAUUCCAUUGCUUGCUGCAAAGAGUAGCGUCAACCUGAUUGCCCAAUUCUUAUCCUUUUUAUGAUUAGGAACUCCUUUGAUAGUGCAAUCUUUCUUCACAAACAAUUCGACCAAUUCUCCAGUUGAAAAAUCAACAAAUUUUUUUGCCUUGAUCAUAUUUCCUUUGUUAGAGCAAUCUUUCUUCAGCAGCAAUUCGUCCAAUUCUCCUGCUGAAAAAUCAACAAGUUUUUUUGCGUUGAGCAUAUUUCCUUUGCCUAAUCCUAAGGAAAUUGUGGAAAUAUUAGCUGGCGAAGUUGUGGAACUUUCUGGGUCCGGCGAGAAAAUUUCUGGGUUCGGCAAGGAACUUGUGGAACUUUCGGGGUUCGACGAGGAAAUUUCUGGGUUCGGCAAGGAAGUUGAGGAACUUUCUGGGCUCAGCGAGGAAAUUUCUGGGUUCUGCUCUCCAUCCCCAAGCCAAAGGGUUUCUUCUUUAACCAGCUUUUUGAGCAGUUUAUUCGCAUUUUUAUGCAUUUGCUUUUUCAUCCAGAUUUUCUUUAUCGCCGGACAUCCUGGUCAUGCAUCAACAUCUUGUUAAUUUAUAAACAAUUUCGCACGCAAGUGCGGCAAAUCCAUUCAUCAACUGAAUGAAUUGCUCAAGUUAUGUGACAUUUCCCCUGUUCUGCUGCGUAAUUCAUAAAUGUAGAAGUAAUUAAUGAAAUUAUUGUUGGUCGCACCUUCAAUCACUUGCCUCCAAAUGCCAAUGUACAUCUUCCAAAUUGGAAUUCCUGCAUUUUGAUUAACUGCUCAGGCGCAAUUUUACAACUAUAUGUAUAUUUAUACGAUAUGAAAAAUUAAUGCCACCACAUCAAAAAGGAAACCGCUCCCUACAGUAAAAUACUGUAUGUCUGGACAAAAAUGGCAUGAAGGUGCCACCCUGAAGGUUGUCAAAAGCAGCCAUCCAACCACUCGGCUCAGCCCGAGUGGCCAGGGCUGCUGCCCUCCAAGUUGGAGGGACUUGGAGGGCAGCAGUUCGAAUCCCCAUAAAAAUAUUAUGGGGGUAUUUUCUUUCUCAAUUAAUUUAAGUGAAGGUAGUCUUCUCCCUUACCCAUGAGUGAGGAGUAGACAUCCCUCGAAUAUUUGUGAGGGUUAAAAUCUGGGCAGAGCUCCAUUAGUAAUGAUGUAAUUUGGUCCCAGUACUAGUCUGAUUUGUAAAUAUCAGUUAUAGUCUCAUGUAUAUGAGUUGUAAUCUGAGCAAUAGUCUCAUGUAAUCAAAAAAAAAAAAAAAGCAGCCAUCCAUCUAGAUGGUCAACAUUCAAAGAAGAGGAAUUUUGCAGCAAAUCAAAGAAAAUUCAUAAAGCUAGAUUGACAAAUGGAAGCCAUGCGGAUUGACGAAAUUGAAGCCAUAAUUGGUGGGCUAAAAUCGUUGAUUUUCUUGGCCACUAGUUUGCUAUAAAUAGAAGUGCAGAUGAAGAGCUUAUGCAUUCCAUUAAGAGAGAGCAAUUUAGCAUUUUGAGAGAGUUUAGAGAGCUUGAAAUUAUAAGCUCUUGUUAUUAGUGUUCUGAGAGUUUGGGUGUAUUGGGGUUUUGGGAAGUGAGCUAAAAUACUACAAUACUUGUAACUCCUUUUCACUAGUAAAAUAUUUCAUUCUGUCUUCGCCCGUGGACGUAGGCUAAAAGCCGAACCACGUAAUUUUCUAGUGUCCUCUAUUGUGCUUGUUCUUUAUUUUAUUUCCAAUUUUAUUUUAGCUGCGGUCCUGCUGCACCCACCAAUUUCCUAACAGUGGUAUCAGAGCUAUUGGUUGUAUUUAUUUUUGGAGUCAGGAACUAUUCACGUAUACGGCGUACGAAACUAUUCACGUAUACGGCGUACGGAACUAUUCAUGUAUACGGCGUACGGCACUAUUCACGUAUACGGUGUACGACACUAUUCACGUAUACGAUGUACGACACUAUUCACGUAUACGGCGUACGGCACUAUUCACGUAUACGGUAUACGGCACUAUUCACGUGAAACGGUGGAAGCGAUCCAAGAAUUUUACGGUGCAAAGUAGGGAAUAGUGGUGUGAGUAAAGCAACUGUGUAGUUUUGUACAUGUCUAGGAAAGUUCUGUCACAAAGGCGAUAAGAGCUUAAGGAGUCUGGGUUUUAAGUGGGACUAUUGUGACCCCUCCAGUCUUUCCUGGGAACUUUCCUGGUGUGCAUUCUCACACAUACUCACAACUAUUCAAGGUGGUACACUAGCUUGUGUGCAGUAUUAUCAACAAAAUGGCGGCAAAGUAUGAAAUUGAGAAGUUUAACGGAAAUAAUUUUUCGUUGUGGAAAAUGAAGAUGAAAGCUGUAUUGAGGAAAAAUAAUUGUUUGGCAGCAAUUGGAGAAAGGCCCAUGGAGAUAACUGAUGACAAGUGGAACGAGGUAGACGGCAAUGCCAUUUCUGAUCUACACUUGACACUUGCGGAUGGAGUAUUAUCCAGUGUGGCAGAGAAAAAUACGUCGAAGGAAAUAUGGGAUACUCUCACAAAAUUGUAUGAGGCCAAGUCACUACACAACAAAAUUUUCUUGAAGAGAAAACUCUAUACUCUUCGAAUGGCGGAAUCUACAAUGGUGACCGACCACAUCAACACAUUGAAGACUCUAUUUUCACAACUCACAAUGUUGGGUCAUAAUAUAGAGGAAAAUGAACGUGCAGAGCUUCUACUUCAAAGUCUACCAGAUUCGUAUGAUCAACUCAUCAUCAACCUGACGAACAACAAUCCAGUGGAGAGUCUAGUUUUCGACGAUGUUGCAGCCUCCGUAUUAAAUGAGGAGAGCAGGCGGAAAAAUAAGGAAAACAGACAAGCAAGUUCGCAGCAAGCAGAAGCGCUAUCGGUGACGAGAGGGAGAUCAACGGAACGUGGCCCCAGUGGGAGUCAAAAUCAAGGUAGAUCAAAAUCCAGAAGUAAGAAGAAUGUUAAAUGCUACAAUUGUGGCAAGAAAGGGCACGUCAAGAAAGAGUGUUGGAGUAACCAGAAGAGAAGAGAGGGCAAAGAACCUGAGUCAUCAAAUGCUCAGGGGUGUGUAGCAAGUACCUCGGAUGAUGGCGAAAUUCUUUACAGCGAGGCAACAACUAUUUCAGAAGGCAGAAAAUGACUUUCUGAUGUCUGGCUUAUAGACUCAGGAGCUACCUGGCACAUGACCUCUAGAAGAGAAUGGUUCCACACAUAUGAACCUAUCUCAGGAGGAUCUGUAUAUAUGGGUAACGAUCAUGCCUUGGAGAUCGCUGGUAUUGGUACUAUCAAAAUAAAAAUGUUUGAUGGUACAAUUCGCACAAUUGGGGAGGUACGACAUGUCAACGGCCUGAAGAAAAAUCUAUUGUCUUUGGGACAAAUGGAUAGUCAUGGGUACAAAACUCAUGUGGAGAAUGGAAUUAUGAAGAUCGUUAAAGGCGCGCUUGUAUUGAUGAAGGCAGAAAAGAUCGGUGCUAAUUUAUUCAUGCUUAAAGGAGAAACACUACAGGAGGCUGAUGCGUGUGUCGCGUCAAAUGGAGAAGAAUCAACGAUGAUGUGGCAUCUCAAACUUGGCCACAUGUCAGAACAAGGCUUGAAGAUUCUCUCUGAGCGAAAAUUGCUUCCGGGGCUCAAAUCGGUAAGUUUACCAUUUUGCGAGCAUUGUGUUACAAGUAAGCAGCAUAGAUUAAAAUUCAGUAGAUCUAUUGCUAGAAGUAAAUGCAUUCUAGACUUGAUUCAUUCUGAUGUUUGGGAAUCACCGGAUAUAUCCAUGGGAGGUGCAAAGUACAUGGUGACUUUCAUUGAUGAUUAUUCCAGAAGAUGUUGGGUGUAUCCAAUUAAGAAAAAGUCAGAUGUAUUUCUAGUGUUUAAAGAAUAUAAAGCGCGGGUGGAACUUGAAUCUGGUAAAAGGAUCAAGUGCUUGAGGACAGACAAUGGUGGAGAAUAUACAGACGGAGAGUUUCUUGCUUUCUGUAAGCAAGAAGGUAUUCAGAGGCAGUUCACGGUGGCAUACACUCCUCAACAAAACGGAGUAGCGGAGCGGAUGAACAGAACUCUUACAGAAAGAAUAAGAGCUAUGUUGAGGACUGCUGGUUUACCCAAUUCAUUCUGGGCAGAAGCAGCCAAAACCGCCUGUUAUAUAGUAAAUCGGUCGCCAUCUACAGCUAUUGGGUUGAAGACAGCGAUGGAGAUGUGGACUGGAAAGCCAGCUGAUUAUUCCUACCUACAUGCAUUUGGAUGUCCUGUGUACGUGAUGUACAAUGCCCAAGAAAGAACAAAGCUGGAUCCAAAAUCUAGAAGAUGUAUUUUCUUAGGGUAUGCUGAUGGAGUAAAGGGGUAUCGUCUGUGGGACCCCACUGCCCACAAGAUCGUCAUCAGCAGAGAUGUUAUCUUUAUAGAAGAUCAACUGCAAAGGAAAGAUGAGGAUGAAAGCACUGUAAAAGAAAAGUCAGAGAUUGUACCAGUAUAUGUGGAAAAUAAUCCAGAAGAUUCAGAUUCUUCUGAAGCAGCACCAGAGAACGAGGAACAAGAACCAGUCGAGUCCGAGGCUCCAGAAGUUCGUCGGUCAACUCGUGAGAGACGACCGCCAACGUGGCACUCGGAGUAUGUCACAGAGAUCAACGUUGCAUACUGUCUUUUAACGGAGGAUGGAGAGCCAUCAACUUUCCAUGAAGCUUUAGAAAGCUCAGAUAUUGCUUUGUGGAUGACAGCAAUGCAGGAAGAAAUUGAAGCUCUACACAAGAACAAGACAUGGGAACUUGUACCACUACCACAUGGAAGAAAAGCCAUUGGAAACAAAUGGGUCUACAAGAUCAAGCGUGAUGGUAAUGACCAAGUGGAGCGGUAUCGUGCAAGAUUGGUAGUGAAAGGAUAUGCUCAGAAAGAAGGCAUUGACUUCAACGAGAUAUUUUCGCCCGUGGUUCGACUCACAACAGUCAGAGUAGUCUUGGCAAUGUGUGCUACAUUUGACUUACAUCUAGAGCAGUUAGAUGUGAAAACUGCAUUUCUUCAUGGAGAACUUGAAGAAGAAAUAUAUAUGCUCCAACCAGAAGGUUUUGCAGAAACAGGAAAGGAGAACUUGGUUUGCAGGUUGAACAAAUCUCUAUACGGUCUCAAACAGGCGCCGAGGUGUUGGUAUAAGAGAUUUGAUUCCUUCAUCAUGAGCCUUGGAUACAACAGACUCAGUUCAGACCAUUGUGCAUAUUACAAGAGGUUUGAAGAUAAUGAUUUCAUCAUUUUGCUGUUGUAUGUGGAUGACAUGUUGGUAGCAGGUCCCAACAAAGAUCGAAUCCAAGAAUUGAAGGCACAGUUGGCUAGGGAGUUUGAAAUGAAGGACUUGGGACCAGCAAACAAGAUUCUAGGGAUGCAAAUUCACCGAGACAGAAAUAACAAGAAGAUUUGGCUUUCGCAGAAGAAUUACUUGAAGAAAAUCUUGCGACGCUUCAACAUGCAAGAUUGUAAGUCAAUUUCUACCCCACUUCCUGUUAAUUUCAAAUUAUCCUCAAGUAUGUGUCCUAGUAAUGAAGCAGAGAGGAAGGAGAUGUCUCGAGUACCGUAUGCAUCAGCAGUGGGAAGUUUGAUGUUCGCUAUGAUAUGUACUAGACCGGACAUUGCACAAGCAGUAGGAGCAGUCAGUCGAUACAUGGCAAAUCCUGGUGGAGAGCAUUGGAUAGCUGUUAAGAGGAUUCUGAGAUACAUCAGAGGAACCUCAGAUGUUGCAUUAUGUUAUGGAGGAUCAGAGUUUACUGUCAGGGGCUAUGUGGAUUCAGAUUUUGCAGGAGACCUUGAUAAAAGAAAAUCCACUACUGGUUAUGUGUUUACACUUACGGGAGCAGCUGUAAGCUGGGUUUCGAAACUGCAGACCGUUGUGGCUUUAUCUACAACAGAAGCAGAAUACAUGGCAGCUACACAAGCUUGCAAAGAAGCUAUUUGGAUACAAAGGUUAUUGAAGGAGCUCGGGCACAAACAACAGAAAAUUCUUGUGUUUUGUGAUAGUCAGAGUGCCUUGCACAUUGCAAGGAAUCCAGCCUUUCAUUCCAGGACAAAGCACAUAGGAGUUCAGUAUCACUUCGUUCGUGAAGUAGUGGAAGAUGGAAGUAUGGAUUUGCAGAAAAUCCAUACCAAAGAGAACCUAGCAGAUGUUUUAACCAAGCCGAUAAAUACUGAUAAGUUUAUCUGGAGUAGAUCCUCUUGUGGCCUAGCAGAAACGUAGGCAACAUGAUUAUGGCGAAGUAGAAAGGAUGAUGUGGAGAUUGAUUGAUUUUCAAUCUAAUCUCCAAGUGGGAGAAAUGUCAAAAGCAGCCAUCCAUCUAGAUGGUCAACAUUCAAAGAAGAGGAAUUUUGCAGCAAAUCAAAGAAAAUUCAUAAAGCUAGAUUGACAAAUGGAAGCCAUGCGGAUUGACGAAAUUGAAGCCAUAAUUGGUGGGCUAAAAUCGUUGAUUUUCUUGGCCACUAGUUUGCUAUAAAUAGAAGUGCAGAUGAAGAGCUUAUGCAUUCCAUUAAGAGAGAGCAAUUUAGCAUUUUGAGAGAGUUUAGAGAGCUUGAAAUUAUAAGCUCUUGUUAUUAGUGUUCUGAGAGUUUGGGUGUAUUGGGGUUUUGGGAAGUGAGCUAAAAUACUACAAUACUUGUAACUCCUUUUCACUAGUAAAAUAUUUCCUUCUGUCUUCGCCCGUGGACGUAGGCUAAAAGCCGAACCACGUAAUUUUCUAGUGUCCUCUAUUGUGCUUGUUCUUUAUUUUAUUUCCAAUUUUAUUUUAGCUGCGGUCCUGCUGCACCCACCAAUUUCCUAACAAAGGUGGGUUUGCUCAUUUCGAAAAAGGAGGCACUGCUUCCUUCUUUAACUCGAAUAAAUGAAAAAAAGAAGGAAAAAAAAGAGUGACAGCACCGCAUAGGUAAAAAGAAAAAAUAAUAAAAUAAUUAUUUUAAUUGAAAACGAAGGGAAAUGAAACCUAUAAAUAGAAGGGUUCAUUUCCCUUCUGAGCAUCCAAUUCUUCUCUUCUCUUUGAGAGGAGAAAAAGCUAAGUGAGAGUUGAGUGAUUAGUGAGUGAGAGAUUGGGUGUAUUGGGAUUCUAGGUAGUGAGCCAAAAUAUUACAAUAUUUAUAAUCUUAUUUUCACUAGUAAAAUAUUUUUUUUUCUAUCUUCGUCUAUGGACGUAGGCUAAAAGCCAAACCGUGUAAAUUUUGGUGUCCCUAUGUGAUUAUAUUGUCUUAUUAUUUCUCAAUUUUACUUUAGUUGCCUGUAUACUUCACCAAUCAAUUUCAACAUGUCUUUGUAUCAAUUGGUAGUUAAGGUCCUCAUCAUGAGAAUUUGUACAAGUCCAUAGAAAUUAAAGAAAAAAGGAACUUCAUCUUUUCCCCGUAGUAUUUAAGGUAUUUCACACUUCCCCCCUUAGUAUUUUCAAAAUUGGCAUACUGUUAUUGCGUCUAGAGGAUUCCACUUCACUGUGAUGAUUCUUCAUCUAUAUCUAGUGUAUUUUUGAGUUACCCAAAAAAAAGGGGAAAAAAUCGACAUCUAAAAGAAAAACUAGCUUUUAUAUUAUAUUAUUUAUUGUUUAUUUAGGUCUCAAAACUAAUAUUUUGUUUGGCUUCUAAGAGACAAUUGCUCUAAAAUGAAAGUUUUAGUUAUUAAUGGAAAAUUCGUGGGUAUUUGGUAAAGCUAAACCACUAGAUGUCAUAAAAGUUCUUUUUUUAUUCUCAUUUUUGGAGUAAACUUAUCACUAAAUAAUUGUGAAAAAUAAUCAAUUUAAAAGGCAAACUGAAAAAGUGUUUACAGCUGAGUCGUCAAAAAGAUAGCCAAAACAAAUAUUUUGACUUGUAACCGCAGCAAAAGCUGUUUGUUCGGAUUUUCAUUUUUCAAUUUAUACAGUUAUAAUGAUUAAUGAAACCACUAUAUUAUGAUUAUGAACAAAUUAAAGCUGCCUCAACGCUACCUCUCGUCCGCUUUCUGCAGGCGACGCAAUUGUCAAUUUUACCAGUUUCCAAAUCUUCUUUGUAAUUGUAGUCAACGCAAUCGUCAUCAUCAUACGUUGGAGGACCUGCAAUUAGAAAUUGCAAUUGUAACGGCAUGCACCGAAGUCAACUGGACUAUAUAUCCCCUUACAUAUGGAACUAUAUAUAUGUGUAUAUAUAAUUAAUAUAUAAAAAAUACUAAAGAAAUUGAAGGCUGAUAGAAUGUUAACAGGAAUAAUGGUAUAUCAAGUCGGGCUUACUACAUGGUAAUCUCCCCAGUGAAAGAUCUCUUAAGUUAUUAAGUUAAUUGCCAACACAGUAACCCCGAACGGAUGUAUUUACACUUCAUUAAUCUCUUUCAUAUGGUUUUUGUAUCCACGAAAGCAAGAAAUAAAUGAAUAUAUUCACGUACAAGAAGAGACAAGACUCGUCCAUAUAUCCGCGGUCUUCGAAUAACUCUUGAAAGCAGAUGGCAUUAGAGCUAGUAGUUGAAGACAUGUCAAGCCAUCAGGUCCCUUGGACGUUAGUUUGUUUGCAAGGCCUGAGUCGUGUUUAAGUAACCAAAUAGCAGUGUCUGUACGUAUUCAUGCAAGCAGAUUCAUUAAUUAGUUAAUUAAGAAGACAACGAAUAAAUUUUUAAACUUUAAUUUAACUCUUUUUUUUUUAACAUAACCCAAAACCACCUAAAAUAGAUGUAAAUAAAAUUUAAUUUAACUAUUGAUCUAUAUAUGAAUGAAUGAAAGAGAGAUUUAAUUACUAUAUUUUACCGAUGUGUUGGCCAAGGACAGCCAUAUGAAGAACGGUCUUGCCAUCAUUUCUACGGAAAUGAUGACGUAAGUCACCAACUUGCUCAGACCAGAUUUGCAACAUUUUAGUUUUCCCAAGAGCAGCAGCCCUGUAAACUGGGGUUUCCCCCAAACCGUUUGUAGCCUCAAGUAGAUUUUUGUGCGCAUCACCAGACUGUCUGGAAAAGUCAAUCAAAACCCUGGCCACGUCAAAAUUUUCGACGACGCCCGCUUCGUGAAGACCAUUGUUUCCAAACGCAUCUGUUUGCUUCAAGACUUCAAGUCUGUUCUCCGGUUCUAGCCUUUCGAGCAAUUCCUGGAUCAGCUGAGGGUCUUCCAUGGCCGCUGCAAUGUGAAUUGCUCUGUCCCCGUUGACUGUCCUGUAAUCCAACAAGUCUUUAGCAGUUCGUUGACGAAAGUAAACCAAGAAACCUUGACGGUCUUCAUUUAAGGCCAUUCCAUAAGGAUCCAUCUUUCUCUCUCUCACUCACACUCUUGAAUAUAUAAGCUUUAAUGCAUCAUUGUUGAAGUUCUAAACGAAGUUAUCAAAUUGGCACAAUCACUUUGCAUUUUAUAUUAAUAGAGCUCAAGCAUAUUAAUUAUAAGAAUAAAAUAUAGGUGAAGUUUAUCUCUUGGGUCAGGUAGAAGAUCUUUUGCUGCGAAUAUAAUAAUCACAUUUAUUCUACAGCUUCUGCCUCCAUUGCUUUUGAUUUCCGCAAAUAUAAUAAUCACAUUUAUUCUAAAGUGUUAAAAUACCUGAAAAUUUUGACACUUACGAUUUCUCCACCCGGGUUUUUUUUUAAUAAAAAAAAUCAUCUUUUUUUCGCCUUGACGUUAACGAAGUUGGAAUUUGUUAGGAAAUGCUUGCAAAAUGAAAGUUUUGCUCUUGUAAUAUAAACAAUGUCGGAUUUGAACGUUUAAUAUCAGAAUAUUUUGAUUUGCCCCAAAACAAUUUCUAAUUUCCUUCUUGCAUCUUUUUCGACAUCGUGAAAUACAUUAACCUUAAUCUUCAAUUUUUAUUUCAUAAUGACAUAAUCCAAAAGUUUGAGGAUUCUUUUGAUUUAUGAUUCAAAAAUAUUUUUCAAAACUCAAAACAGAAUCUAAAAAAUUGAGUUGAAGUUUUAAUAUUAUCUGUUUAUUUUUAACAUUUAUCCAAUUCUCUUCCCUAUUAGCGGGGUCGAAAAUUAACCAACUUAAAAAGCCAAACUGACAAGAUGUUUACAGCUGAGCUUUCAAAAAGCUAGCCAAAACAAAUACAGCCCAAGUACAAUCGAGAGUGUUGAGAAGUGAACACAAAUCUGGAAUUGUGGUUGAAUAUGACAUGUCAGUUUGAUUUUUCGAGACUGGAUGAUUUGUCGGUUGUGUGGCACAAGAGAGCCGUAUGACAAGCCUGGUUGAUCAGCCGAGUGAUUAAGUUAAGCACGUGCUGAGGCACACGACUUCACUUAUUCUAAACGGCAGAAGAAGGCAGCGUUUUGGAUGCAGUUACUACACGUGUCUUGAGGCUGGUUUAAACGGCUGGUAAAGCUGUUAAAGAAAGCGGGAAAAUUCUGGGUUUGUUGGGCUGUUACGCUGGCUUCUAGGGGUUGUUUCUAGAGCAAUCUAGGCGUGUAUAUAAGGCUUCAUGGUCUCAUAUUUGGCUUGCUCAAGUGUGUAACAGUUUCUCAGAUUACUUGUAUCUUGUAAACACCAAAUCAGUAAAAGCUUUUUCUCUGCUUCACAGUGGAUGUAGGUCAAUUGGUGGCUGAACCACUUAACUCUUUUGUGUUCGUGUGUGAUUGUUUCUGCUUUCUUUAAGCUUGUUAUCUAUUGAUUCGAAUUGAUGAUUUCACAAAGCUUUAGUUGGUCAUAAAUAGUUCUUAGAUUAAAGCUAAGUCGAGUGAAUCUUGGGGGAUUAAGAUCAGUUCUUGACUGGUUUUGGUCCAACAGAGAGUCGUAUGUGUAAGUUGGUUAUGACUUGUAACCGUAGCUAAAGUUGUUUGUUCGGGUUUUGAUUUUCGAAUUUAGCAUUAUAAAGAAGCCACUAUUUCAUGAUUAUGAACAAAUUAAAUCUGCUCUUUCGCCAUUACUCUUCUCUGCCUAGCUGAUGCGAUUCUGCAAUCCUACCUGUCUUCAAAUCUCUUUUAUAAUUGUAGUCAACGAUAUCCUCAUCCAGAUACGUUUGGAAGACAUGCGAGUAAAAAUGCGAUUGAAUUUAACUCUAUAUAUUUUAAGUUCUAAUGAUGUAGACCUGCAAGUAUUUAUUUAUUUAUUUAUUUUUAAAUUUCUCUUCAUCGUAUAUAAGUAUAAAUGCAAAUUAAAUAAUAAUAAUUUCUCCUAAUUACUUUGCUUAUUGUUUCCACUGCAAAGGCAUGCAUCUAAGUCAACUGGACCAUAUAUCUCACAAGAGAUGGAACUAUAUGUACAUAAUUAAUGUAUAAAAAAUGCUAAAGAAAAUGAGGGUGAAUAGAGCGUUGACAGAAAUAAUAGUAUAGUAAAUCGGGGUUUAUUAUGUUAAUUAAUUGAUUUUUAAUUAAGUAUAAGUCGCUAAUCUCGGCCGGGUGUACUACUGUUUCUGUCAAAAUUUUCAAUCUUACUCAUGUUAUAUAAAUAUCAUGCAUAUGUUUUUCAUAAGAGAACUGAUAUUCAAUCAAAAUACGAACAAAAAUAAAGUAAAUCCGGCCAGGUUUACAUAGUUAAAUGCCAACAUAGUAACCCUGGCUAGGUGUAUAUAUACUGUAUUUGUUGGCGUUUAAGUCUAUUUUAUCAUUUUUUUUUCUCCAUGAAAGCUAGUAAUUAGUUUUAUAUAUCUACGUAUUAAGAAUGUAUGGACAAGACUCGUCCAUAUCUUCAUGCGCUUCGUAAUCUUGAAGAUAAUAAUAAUUUUUUAUACUCUUGAUCUAUAAAGAAAUAAAUUCAUUAAUUUAUGUAUAUAAAUUCACCAUUAAUUACUCAUGAUCACCAGCUCGUUUCUAAAAUGCAGAUUGAAUCAGAGAUUUAAUUAUUAUUACCGAAGUGAUUGGCAAGGACAGCAAUAUGAAGAAUGGAGAUAUUAUCCCAACAAAUCUUGAGCUGUUAGUUGAGCAAAGUAAUUAAUCCAAGAAGCCAUCGUCACAUUCUCUCAUUAAGGCCAUUCCAUAAGCAUCUUCCUUCGUUAUCCUCAUCUCAUCCAUAAACAUAAGCGCCAUCUCGCUUCUCUCUCUCUCACUUGUAUAAUUGAUACACUGAACAAGUUGUGUUCUUCGAUUUCCUUAAGUUUAAUUGUCUCAAUAUAAGUUGGCAUAAUCACUUUGCUUAAUUUCUUAAUGAAGCUCAAGCAUUAUAAGAAUAAAAUAAAGAUAAAGUAUUUAACCUAUCGGGUUCAGAAAAGGAAUAGAACAAAUUAUUUCAACGACUUUUGUCUGCAUUGCUUUUUCAUCGAAUAUACAUAAUAACCACCAAUUCACCAUAUUCUCAUAUAACGUAAAGGCGCUUGUGCUUUGCCUAAGCCUUAAGGUUUUUGCUAUUUUAUAAAGAAAUCAUGACCAUCAUGGAUUACAUUGAAACGACCUGCCCUGAAUCAUAGGGGUGAUUCUAUUUAGUCUCAUCAAACUGAAUACAUAAUAAUAUAAUUAGUAGAGAUUUUGCCGAAAAUUUGACAAAAUUUUCUUUAUAAACAUAACACUUCAAGCUUGUAAAUAUGUAAUACAAGUACUCCCAAAAUAAAUCAAUAUACAAGCAACUCCAAGGAUCAACACUUCAAGCAACUCAGUGAAAAUGCUGAAUUAAUUACUCAUGAUCAACAAGAUUUAUAUUAUGAUUAUAUGUUUAUGUAUAUGUGUAUAAAAUGUUGUUUGUAAAAUUAUUGGACAAUAUCCUUCCUCAGUUACAGUGAUACAGAUAUGAUGAGACUUUUAGGGCCCGUCUGAUCACAUAUAGAGGUUUUAGGCCGUGUGUUCAGAACAUUUAAAAUAUUUAUUUCGCAAACAUGUUUUACUAUAAUAAUUAACUAUGAAAAUAAGUUUUGUAUAUUUUACUCACAGUGACGAUUUUUAGAUUCGAUUAUCGCCCAUGUUGGAGGACUGGUUCUCGUUUGCAGAUCCUUCUAAAUUAAGGAAAUGACAUAAUAAUUUUUCGUAAAUUGAAAUUAGGACUAAAUUUAUGUAAUAAACUUGAAACCAACAUCUAUCCAUAAUUUACAACUUUCGUGCCGAUAAAAUCACUAAAAUAUCAUCGAAUUUGUAAAUCAUUAGAAUACUUUGAAAUUGUAAAUCACUACAAUACCCUUGAAAUGGUAAUUACAUCCGAUCUUCAAUUUUAGAAAUUAUUAAAAUCUAUAUCGAGUCAGAAAUUACAAAAUCGACCUCAAAAUGUGAAAUUACCGAAUUGCCCUCGCUAACGGUAACUCGGAAGGUCAAGUGUGAAAUUUUCAGCCACGAUGAGUCUAAUGGUGCCUGCAGUGACCUCCCACGUGUGGAGACGGUGGCAGAUCGAAGUCCCAAAGUCGUGAGCUUUCCGGCGGCCGAUCGACAGCAAUCCGGCCGUUUCGGGUGGCGGGACUGGUCGGAAAAUGAUGAGGGUGAGCUAAGGAUCAAGAUCCAGGCAGUGGCGUCAUCCAAAACUGGCGGAAUCGACAACGAGAAGAGGUGGGUUUUGCCGCAGCUUUUAGAGCUUCAAAAGGCGGCGUUCCGGUCAGUUUUAGGCGGCGAGUAUGGUACAGAAACGAUGGCCGUCUUCCAAGCUUGAAAUCGGUACCUUGAUCGGCCGGAGAGGGUCGGAAUUGCGAGAUAUGCCCGGGUCGAUUUUGUGUCAACCGGGUCAGGUUUUCCGGGUCGGUUUGACAGCUUCCUCCCUCCCUCUCACACGUGUGGUCUCUUCCUGUCCUUCAAGCCUUUUAUUUAUUUAUUUUUUAUUAUUAUUUUCUUAACCGCUUUUUUUUUUUUCUUCACAUAUGUUACGUACAUAAUUUGGAAGGUGAGGAGUUCGUGAUUUAUGAUGAUUUCUUCGGAAGAAGAUGGAUACGUAACUUAUGAUGAUUUUUUUACCAUAGUUCGGAAGAUGAUGAAUCCAUAAUUUAUGAUGAUUUUUUAAUAUAUAUAUAUAUAAUUUUUGUUUUAAGAUAGUGAGGUUGCAAAGCCCAAAUCAAUUUUUAAUUAAAUCUUAUCAAAAACUAUUAAAUUAAUGGUAAUGGGACCGAUUUACCGUACAAAUUGCCAACAACAUAAAUGGUGAUUGAUUUGUUACUUUUAUGCAAUUUUGUAUAAACUGAGCCUUGGAGCCAUAUGAUACAAGAAGAGUCCGAAUUAUUAUUAUUUCAAUUGUUUCUUAAAUUCGUGGAUGAUGAAGCUGAAUAUUUUUUUUUCCUUUCUUGAUGAAAAAUAUAUUCUUUGGAUAGUGACUUUCAUUCUGAUCUAAAUUUUCAUUUGAGCACAUACAUGUGGGUGUAAGUUGUCAAUAUAAUGCAAUGAUGAUUCUAUAAAAAAAAAAAAAUUCAUAUUGAUGAUAAUGAGUAAACAGAUAGAUCAUACAUUCAUUAUUAAAUUUGAAAUACACACAGUACAUUAUUAUUAUUUGCCACACCAAACCCAUCUUUUACAUGAAGUAAUACGACACACCCAAAGGAAAAAUACAUGUGAGAACAAAUGAGAUAAAUAGCGUUAAUUAGAGCUGCAUUACAUAUAAGGAUUGUCAUCAUAUCAUGCGUACGUAUUAAUUAUUAACGCCAAUGCGUCCUCUUCUUCUUCUUCGAAGGUCCCAAGUAAUCCUUAAAAUUAGCCGCAAAAUUAGCAUAGACAGGAAACUCCAUGAGUGCUAAAACAACCACUGGAAAGAUAGCAGCAGCGUAGAGAGUGGCGGUCCAUUUCUUCCCCAAACGAAUAAUGAGCAUAAGUGAAGCCGAGAAAGUAAUCAUGCUUGUUAAUACAGAGAAGAAGAGUAAAAUGAAGCCAGUCGUCAGCUUGAACGGAAGGUUGCUAAGGAAAUCAGAUGACUCACGUGGCGAGGUGAGGAUAGAUAGAAACAUCACAACGGAUGACAAAGAUAAGGACAGCGAGGCAACGUCCGUUACGGUAAAAACGUAGAAGAGUGGUGACGUAAGGAAAUUGGGAAACCCCCUAUCAUUGUUACCUCCAGGUACCGUGAAGGCAGCUGUAAAGACGACCGUCGCGAUUAGGAUUGCCAGUACGGAGCAUGCCUGAGCGGUUUCUUUGAUCCAUUCUUGUGCUUUCCUAAGUUGAUCUUCAUGUGUUAGAUCGAAGAGGUCACUUGCAGUGAUGUUCUUUUUUUUGUCGCGGUGCAUGGCAUAAUGGCGAGGCAUUAUCUCUUUCACGCGCUGCAUACACACACACACAUAUAUAAUGCAUGGAGUCCAUCAGAAAAUAUAAAUAUAUAAUAUUAGAGUAUGCUUUUAUUUAUAUAAACACAAUGAAUAAAUUAAAUGUACUUAGGGGACAAAAUUGAAUAUUAUAAAAAGGCUUACCUCGAACCACUGUAACUCCUCCUGAAAUUGGAGAACAGGACCAGGGCGGAUUCCUUGCUUAUAAUGUUUCAUGUCUGCAACGUGGUGAAAUAAUGUAUAGCCAUUUUUGUCAAUUCUGGCAGCCCAUUUGGGCACGUACAGUUGCAUUUCCUUCAUGAUGAGUUCAAAGACCUUAUGUUGACGACGCUUUACGGCCACAUGUAAUAUAUUCUGCUCUUUCCGCUCAUUCACGUCAGAUAAUAUUGCUUGAGGAUCUCGUUGGAGUAUCUCCUCCAAAAUUUCUGUUAUUCCGUUGCUAGCUGCAAAGCGUAAUGUCCUAUCCUCUGUUGUGUCGUUUUUACGAUCAUCAACUUCUUCCUUUUUUCUUUCUUUUUCCCUCGGCACCUCGAUCAAUUCUUCAGCUGAAAGAUCAACAAGUUUUUUUCCCAAGAUGUCCCUUCCUUUGCCGAAUCCCAAGGAAAUUGCGGAAAUUUCUUGUUUCUCUUUCGUUGUUUCAGCCUUUUGGGGAUUAGAGGAAGGGUUCAACCUUUCUAUUUCAACCAGCCUUUUGACAAGUACAACCGCAUCUUCAUGCAUUUUCCUUUCCUUCCAGAUUUCCUCAAUCCAUGAACAUCCUGGUCAUGCAUGCAUCAACAUCUUAUUAAUUUAUGAAAAAAAUUUUGCACGCAAACGGCAAAACCGUUCAUCAAAUGAAUUGAAGUUAUUAGACAUUUCCCCUGUACUUCUAAUGUGUCUCACUUAUGUAGAAGUAAUUAAUGAGAUUAUUAUUGGUCGAACCUUUAAUCACUUGCCUCCAAAAACCAAUGCACAUCUUCCGAAUUAAAAUUCCUGCAUUUUGAUUAACCUGAUCAGGAAAAAUUUUACAACUACAUGUACAUAUUUAUGAUAUGAAAAAUUAAUGCUAACACAGCGAAAAGGAAACCGCUCGGACUCAAGUUAUAAGUGAAGCGGUUUGAAUAUGAAGAGACAUGUGGAUGCCAUUUAGUUGAGAUGGUACAUAUUUUUGUCUGUAAUUUGUAGAUAAGGUCCUUAUCAUAAGAACAUGUAUGAGUCCAUAGAAACUAAAGAAAAAGGGAACUUCACCUUUGCCCCAACUAUUUGAGGCGUUAUAUACUUUUCCUCCUGAUAUUUUCAAAAUGGUCAUGUACCCCCGUUGUAAAAAAGAAAAUACAUUAAAACAAUCGUUUCACUAUUUUGUUCUUGAAACAACAUACUUUUAUCCUAGAAAUUAAUGAAUAAAAUAAAAUCUAAAUAAUUAUUUUAAUAUUAAAUUUGUUAAAAUAUAGAUUGCAACAAAUCUCUGAUCAGUCUCUUUUGUCAUUUUUUUCCCCCUAACGUGCCAAUGAAAAUAUGAAAAUCAGACUUUCUAUUUGAUACAGAGAUAUUUUUCAAAGAUCAGGGGGAGAGUGGAUAGUAGCUCGAAUAUUUCGGGGGAACAAAUAGGUUUCUAAAGAAAAAUACAAAACAGGAGUAUACAAUGAUAAUACGAAAGGCUUAUCCGAUUAAAUUUGCAUGCUGUUGUUAAUUUCAUUUGAAAGAACUAACCUUAGUAUUAUUUUAUUUAUUGAUCUUUUAGUCUCAAAAUUAAGACUUCGUUUGGCUUCUAAGCCAUAUAGAUCAAACUUUAGUUAUUAAUAGAAAAUUUAUGGGUAUUUUAUAAAAUUGAGCACCACUAGAUGUCAACUAAAAAUUUGAGUAGAUUUAUCAAUAAGUAACUGUGAAGAAAAAAAAAACCCAACUUAAAAGCCAAACUGACAAAGUGUUUACAAGUGAUUAGUUGUGCAAAAAGCUAGCCAAAACAAAUACAGCCCAAGUACGAUCGACAGUCGUACGCCGUAGCUAACGCCUAAAUCUGUUUGUUCGGAUUUUCAUUUUUCAAUUUAUGGAGUUAUAAUGAUUAAUGAAACCACUAUAUUAUGAUUAUGAACAAAUUAAAGCUGCUCUUUCACCAUUACCUCGCCUCUUCUUCGUGUGGCCCAUGCAAUUGUCAAUCUUAUGAGUCUCCAAAUCUUCUUUGUAAUUGCAGUCGUCAUCCAGAUACGUUUGAAGAAAUGGAAAUAGAACUACGAUUGAAAGUCAAUAUUGUAAGUUCUAAUUAUGUAGCAAAGCAUUUAAAAAUAAAAAAAUUCACUAAUCCCUCUCUAUGUGUAAAUACAAAUUAACUAAAAUGUUUCUUCUAAUUAAUUUGCUUAUUGUUUCCAUUGUAACCGCAUGCACCCAUAUCAACAAGGCUGUAUAUCUCCCUAGAGAUUAAAUUAUAUGUGCAUAUAAUUAAUAUAUUAAAAAUGUUAAAAAAAAUGAAGGCGGAUAGAGUAUUGACAGAUACAACAGUAUCUCAGUCGGGGCGGGUGUACCCUUGUUUGCGUAUACCUUCCAUGAGAACGCUGAUAUUAUGAAAAAAAUACUGAGAAAAAACAACAUUAAAUGCUAUCAAAUUUACAUAAUUAAUUGCUAAUACUGUAACCCCGACCGAGUGUGUAUCCACUUCAUAUGUCGGUGUUUAGUCUCUUUUUCCUUUUUUGUUUCCAAGUAAUUAGUUUAUGUAUAAUAGACUUAAGUCAAUAUUGAUACUUAUUCACUUUUAUAUUUUUCUGCUGUAAAUAUCUUUACGUAUAUUUUAGUUACAACCAACCGUACACAUGCCACUAGGAAUUAGUUGGCACUUGUCAAGGAAUCGGUUGAAAAAAUUCUUCUCUUGUAUUAUAAAUAUUCAGUGAACUCAAAUGAGAAAUAGUGGAGUCAUAUUUUCCAAACCUGACAUCAAACAAUUUAUCCACGUACGAUAAUGGAAAGGACUCCUCAUUUUCUUCAUGUCAUCCGUACUCUUGAAAGCAGUUGGCAUUAGAGCUAGUAGUUCAAGACAUGUCAAGCGAUUAAGCUUUUUGGGCUUGGACGAGGGCCCGUCGGACGUGGACAAGAGCUCGUCGGACGGCGGCGUUGCACGUUUUUCUGCAAGGCUUGAGUCGUGGUCAAGUAACCAAAUAGCAGUCUCUGUACGUAUUUAAGAAAAUUAAUUAAUUAGUUAAGAAAAUAAUAAUAAAUUUUUUAACUCUUGAUCUAUAAACGCAUGAAUUAAUUGGAGAUUUAAUUAUUAUAUAUUACCGAAGUGUUGGCCGAGGACAGCCAUAUGAAGAAUUGUCAUUUUAUCUUCCUUUCUACGGAAAUGACAACGUAAGACACCAACUUGCUCAGUCAAGAUUUGCAACAGUUUAGUUUUCCCGAGAGCAGCAGCCCUGUAAACUGGGGUUUCCCCCAAAUCGUUGCGAGCCUCAACUAGACCCUUGUACGCAUCACCAGACUUUCUGGAAAAGUCAACCAAAACUCUGGCCACGUCAUAAUUUUCGACGACGGCCGCUUCGUGAAGACCAGUGUUUCCAAACUCAUCUGUUUGCUUCAAGGCUUCAAGUCUGGUCUCCGGUGUUAGCCUUUCGAGAAAUUCCUGGAUCAGCCGAGGGUCUUCCAUGGCCGCUGCAAUGUGAAUUGCGGGGUCUCCAUUGGCUGUCCUGUAAUCCAACAACUCUUUAGCAGGCCAAUCAGCAAAGCACUCCAAGAAGCCUCGACAGUCUCCCUUCAAGGCCAUUCCAACAGGAUCUCCCAUCGCCCUCUCUCUCUAUCUCUCUCUCUAUCUCUCUCUCUCUCUCUCUCUCUCUCUUUCUCACUUGUAUAAUUGAUGCACAGAACAAGCUAUACGUGUUCUUCGAUAUCCAUAUAAUUAAUUACUUCCAUCGCCGUCCCUUAUAUAGAAGUUCUAUACGAAGUUGGCAUAAUCACUUUGCCUAUUUUACUAAUAAAGCUCGAGCAUUAUAAGGGAAAAAAAAAAGUUCUAAAGUGACAAAACAGAAAAGAUGAUAAAAGAACAAAGUUCUGAAAAGAGAAGUGAUUAUUGAUGAAAAUUUGUUUACAUUGUACGGUAUUGUUCCCUUACAUUCAUAGAAUGUGAAGUUACCAAAAGACCAAAGUUAAAAGUAAAAUAAAAUUAUUAUGUUUGAGAUAAAAGAGAAAAAGAAUGAGAAAAAGAAAACGCAUUCAAUUAAAAAUGAUAUUUUUUGUUGAUUCAAGAGGCCAAUCACCUCUGAAAUGAAAUUAACUUUUGUCUUUCUAUGUGUUUGGGAACGAUAUAUAAUAUAUGCAAAAACGAACAGUUGUAUCUAAAAUUACAUUUGGGAAAGUAUAAAGAUCACGUUCCACGUCAUAACGUUUGUUAACAAAUGAUGUCAAUAAAAAGAAUAGAAUAUAUAAAUUAUUUCCAGGCUCAAGUUACAGCUCCGAGAAGGUGUAGGGUCCAUGUUGUACAUCAUAAGGUUUGUUAAUCAAUGGUGUCAGAAAAAUAGAGUAGAAUAUAUAUAAUUUAUUUCCACAACUUAAUUUUGUCUCCAUUGCUUUUUCCGCGAAUAUAUAUAAAAAGAGUGGGAGAGAUCCUAACCCUUACUUUAAUAACAUGGUGAUUAUUGUAAACGCGAUUGUGCUUUGACUAGACUAAAGCCUUUUGCUAUUCUACAUGUUAUCAUUAUUUCUCGUCAUGGAGUGGCAGCCAAUCAUUAAGAAAUAAAUAAAAAUGUAAAAAUAUUUGGAAAGUUUAAAACUUAUGAUAGAAUUUGGCCUUAUUUUGUAUAGAUGUGUUGUGAAAAUCAACUGUAUACUAUACUGUAAAUAUAGCUUUGGAAAAAUAUCUUUACAGACUUUUAUCGUACAAUUAUAGAAUAAAAUCAACUUAAUUUCAAAACUAUAGCAGUAACUAUUUAUUAAAUACUUUAUUGAUCUAUUUUAAAAGCUUCCACUGCUCAAUUACAAUACCAAACAAGAUGUUGAUCUAAGAUGGUUCCAACCACAAUAUCAAAUAGGGACUUACAUUCUAUCAGUUAAGUCAUUAAGUUUAUUUCUUUUUUUAACUUAUUACAAAUUUUCAAUCAUUAAGCUAUUAAGCUAUUAAGCCAAUUUUCUUAGCUUCUUAUUUAAUCUAAAAAGUCUGAAUAAUGUUAUUAAAGAUAUUAUUUAAAAUAUUCCUAUCGAACUAAUUUAUUUUCAUCUUUACCUAAAUAUAUAAAACUUACUAAUUAGCAUACUAUUCAUCUUUAUAACUUGUGAGAAUAUAGUAUAUUUUUUAUUUUAAUCUUUUUUAUUUUCUUCAAAUUAGCAUUAUCUAUUUUCAUAAUUUUUUAUGAGUAUUUUUUAUAUGAAACACCAUAAAGUGCAAUAGAAUUGAUUCACACGUUCUAAUUUAGAAUAUUAAAGGGUUGUAUUCACCUGAACAUGAUUCAUGUUAUGAUAGAAUAAUAUCAUAUUUUUGUUCAAUGAGAUUUUAUUAUUUAUUUGACAUUUGAAAUUUAUGAGCGUACAAAUGUAAAAGUAUUGGUUUUUAGAUUUUUAAGUUGAAAAAAAAUAAUUAUUGUUCAAAAAUUCAUAUUAAAAAAAUAUGUUAUUUGGAUUUAAACGUUUAGCUCUAUUCAAAAUUCAGAUUAACUAGGGUCUACUCAAAUUUUAGAUAAAAAAACAAAUGUCACCUAAGUAAAUCUAUGAUGAUACAAGCAUAUUAGUAUUUAAAAAAAAAAUCAGCAUCUUCUUUUUUUAAAUAUUACACAAUAUAAAUUAAGCUUCAUAGAAUGCUGAGUGUGAAUGGAAUUUAAAGCAUAUGGCCAUUCUUCCGUAGCUGUCCUUAUCUCAUCCAUAAGUGCCAUCUCUGUCUCUCACGUAGUCACUGUAUAAUUGAGACACAAAACAAGCUAUACGUGUUCUUCGAUAUCCUUAAUUUUACUUGUCUUAAUAUAUAUGAGUAGGUUUGAUGCAUCCUUCUACAAAUUCUCUAAACUAAGUUGGCAUAAUUAUAAGAAUAAAAUAAAAUUAGUCCGUCGGGUCAGGAAAAAGAAUAGAAUAAAUUAUUUAAUUUCAAAACAACUUUAAUCCUUCCGCGAACAUAAUAAUCACAUUUAUUCUACCGUGUUCUUCGAUAUCCUUAAUUUUACUUGUCUUAAUAUAUAUGAGGUAGGUUUGAUGCACCCAUCUACAAAUUCUCUAAACGAAGUUUGUAAUAAUUAUAAGAAUAAAAUAAAUUUAGUCUGUUGGGUCAGGAAAAAGAACAUAAUAAAUUAUUUAACUUCCAAACAACUUUUGUCUUUCCGCGAAUAUAAUAAUCAAAUUUAUUCUACUGCUUUUGUCUCCAUUGCUUAAUUUGUCCGCGAAUAUAAUAAUCUCCAUUUUAUUUAAGUAAAGGCGAUUGUGUUGUGCCUAAGCGUAAAGCCAUUUGCUAUUUUGGCGGCUACAUGUGUUACAGGCCAAUCCACGUGCCAAGAAUAGACAGGACUUGUCCAUGCAUAUCAUAAAGUACAAUAAAAUUGAUUCAAAUGUUGUAAUUUAGAAUAUUAAAGGGUUGUAUUUGAUAAGGAAAAAGAUGAUAAGGAAAGAACUCAAUCAUUGGAAAAUCAUGAAGAUCAAUUUACGGAAAGAACUCAAUCAUUGAAAAAUCAUGGAGAUUAAUUUGCGGAAUGCAUAGCACUAUCAAAGGGAUUUCCAACGUCUAGAUUAUCUCUAUAGAAUAUCUUCAAUGAUUUAAUUCUUUUAUAAAUAUUCCUUUUAUGCUAGCAGUACAUAAAUGUCAUGCAUUAGUGGGUAUGAUUUGGCCAUUAGUUAGGACAGCAAUAGCUUAAGUUUAGGCCACUUGCUCCUUUAAUCUCACGUAUUGUCUUGUAUAAAUUUAUGGUUUCAGUUGCAAUAAAGGUCAACCAAUUCUCUCACGCUUCAAUUUCUUUAGUAUUCACCUGAACAUGAUUCAUAUUAUGAUAAAAUAAUAUCAUAUUUUUGUUCAAUGAGAUAUUAUUAUUUAUUUGACAUUUGAAUUUUCUGAGCAUACAAAUGUAAAAGUAUUGGUUUUUAGAUUUUUUAAGUUGAAAAAAAAAUUAUUGUUCAGAAAUUCAGAUUAAAAAAAUAUGUCAUUUGAAUUUAAGUGUUCGGCUCCAUUUAAAAUUCAAACUAACUUAGAUUUAUUCAGAUUUUAGAUAAUAAAAAAAAUGUCACCUAAGUAAAUCUAUGAUCAUACAAGCAUAUUAGUAUUUAAAAAAAAAUCAACAUCUUCUUUUCUAAAAAAUUACACAAUAUAAAUUAAGCUUCAUAGAAUGCGAGUGUGAAUGGAAUUUAAAGCAUAAGGCCAUUCUUCCGUGGCUGUCCUUAUCUCAUCCAUAAGUGCCAUCUCUGUCUCUCACUUAGUCACUGUAUAAUUGAGACAUAAAAUAAGCUAUACGUGUUCUUCGAUAUCCUUAAUUUUACUUCUCUUAAUAUAUAUGAAGUAGGUUUGAUGCAUCCUUCCACAAAUUCUCUAAACGAAGUUGGCAUAAUUAUAAGAAUAAAAUAAAGUUAGUCUGUCGGGUCAGGGAAAAGAAUAUAAUAAAUUAUUUAAUUUUCCAAACAACUUCAGUCUUUCCGCGAACAUAAUAAUCACAUUUAAUCUACUGUAUUCUUCGAUAUCCUUAAUUUUACUUGUCUUAAUAUACAUGAGGUAGGUGUUUAACAAAAAAAUAUAUAUUUAUGUAUGAGGUAGGUUUGAUGCAUCCUUCUACAAAUUCUCUAAACGAAGUUUGUUAUAAUUAUAAGAAUAAAAUAAAGUUAAGUCUGAUGGGUCAGGAAAAAGAACAGAAAAAAUUAUUUAAUUUCCAAACAACUUUUGUCUUUCCGCGAAUAUAAUAAUCAAAUUUAUUCUACCUCUUUUGUCUCCACUGCUUAAUUUAUCCGCGAAUAUAAUAAUCUCCAUUUUAUUUAAGUAAAGGCGAUUGUGCUGUGCCUAAGCGUAAAGCCAUUUGCUAUUUUGGCGGCUACAUGUGUUACAGGCCAAUCCACGUGCCAAGAAUAGACAAGACUUGUCCAUGCAUAUCUUCGUGCGCCUCGUACUCUUAAAAGCGGAUGCCAUUAGAGCCAGUGGUUGAAGGCAUGUCAAGCCAUCGUCCUUCUUGGACUUGGUUCUUUUCCAAGACUGGACUCGCGAUUAAGUAACCAAAUAGCAGUGUCUCUGUGCGUGAUAAGUCCACGAAUCAUCAGUUUGAAGCAACUGUGGCAACAUGCGCUGCAUUAGCUAGCCAGGGGUCUACACUCUACACAAAGACCCCUUUAAGGCAAAUUCUGGAUGUUAGAGAGUAUACUAAUGAAGAAUUUGGUCACCUUGAACAUAACUCAAUAGCAACAGACCCGAUAACUCCCAACGGCUCCUAGAAUAUCAUGCAUAAGAUUAAGUCAUGAGAUUGCAUCAACGAUGAAGCCUUUAGUUUAUGUAAAUAUCUUUGUAAUUAUGAGAUGUGUUUUAUUCCUUUUAAAGCAUGAUACAACUUGUAUAUAUGCUGUACGAUUUGUUUGAGUAGAAACAAUCUCAAUUACUUUCUCAUAUUUACAUUUUCCACAGCACGUAUUCAAGCAGGACAGAAAUGUAAUUAAUUAAUUAAUUAAUUAAUUAAAAAGAUAGCAAUAAAUGUUUAAACUCUUGAUAAAUAAAUAAAUAAAUAAAUUCAUUAAUAUAAAUAUAUUCACUACUACUCAUAUAUAAAUAAAUAAAUUCACUAAUAUACAUAUUUUAGUUUUCUAAAACAGAAUGAAUGGAAAGAUUUAAUCAUUAUUACCCAAGUGUUUGGCAAGGACAGCAAUAUUGUCCCAACAAAUCUUCGGCAGUUAGUUGAGCAAAGUAAUCCAAGAAGGCUUCACAGUCUCUCUUUAAGACCAUUUGUUAUCAUCUCCACUGCUAUCUAUCUCUUUCUCACUUGUACAGUUGAUACACGGAACAAGUUGUACGUACGCGUUCUUCGAUAUCCGUAAUUUUAAAAUUGACCAUUUUCUCACACCAAGAAAUCUGGGAUAUGACAUAAUAGAACUAGAUCUCGUUUCUACUGCGGUGUUGUGGGAAAAAAAAGGAUAUAGCUAAAAUAAAAGUCAAUAGUUUAUGAUAAAUAUAGUUUUUAAAUAAUUAAAUAAAAAUAGUAAAGGAUAUUAUAGAUAUUCAUUGUAUAAGUGUGGGAUAAAAUUAACUUAAUUUUCAAAUCAUAAGUCAAUAGUAAUAAAUAUUUGCCAAAGAUUUUAAUGUUGUAGUUUAAAAAGCUACUCUAUGCACAUCCUUGAUUGCACAAGCAUAUUAUUAUUAAAAAAAUUAUUAUCUUUUUUUUUUGUUAAUUACUUCUUUUUCCAAUUAUUGCAAAAUAUAGACAAAACUCAUGCUUGGUCGAACGUUUUUAUUGUUAAUAGAUUAAUGUAAGUUGACUAUAAACUUGGUUGAUAUUCAAUAAUCGACGUAAUGUCUUGGCCGGAUGUGGUUAUUCCAUUGCAUCAAUUAAUUGCGCGGUUGAAUACCAUGAUUGUUUUGCCUUAAAACAUUUUCUAAUUUCUUGCUUGGACGUUCUUCAAUAUUGAGAAAUAUAUUUAAUUUUCUCCGAAUUUUUUUUCUUUCAUAGUGACAUAAUCCAAAAAUUUAAGGGUCCAUUUGAUUACGAUUCAAAAAUAAUUUAAACAAAUAUAAUCUCAAAAUUUGUGUUGAAGUUUUAAUGUGUCUACUUUUUAUUAUUUAGCCUGACAGCACUCAAUUCCCUCUCCACCUAUGUGAACGGAAUUUAACUCCUAAAUCUCUUGUUUCAAGAAACUAAAAGAGAUUUUACUAUCUUAACUAAAUGGUAACUACAAGCUUUAAUGUCUUUAUAUAAUAUUUAAAACAAAUAAUUUCAACAACUGAAACAUGUUUAACAAAAUUUCUAAUUAAUAAAAAAUAAAAAUACUUGUUUAGGUGGUGUGAUUUCAAAGGUAAUAUUUACUUAAGCAUUUACAAUUUUAUUUUCCUUUCAGCUAAUUACAUUAUAUCAAGCAGUAACUUGACCAAAAUAAACAUAAAACAAGCUUCAUCAAGAUUCAAUAUUGAUUAUAUUCUGUUAGCUUCUAUUCUGUUACAUUAUACCUGUUAGGCUUGCCACCAAAUAAAAGCUGGCGCAGUUGUGGGUCACUUUCCACGUUCAUCUACUUAGCAUCAGGACAAUGCUUAGAUGCCCAUUUUCGGAACCUGUUAACGGCAGCUUCUUGCUCUGCUCUGGCCAUCUUCUCAAUCUCAGAAAGAUAUUACCGAUCCACCAACAUCCCCUCAGUUUCCAUUUUAACUAGAAUCUCACCAAAUGGUUGCCAGUAUUCCUGAUAAAAGUCAAACAUGGAUUUUCCUGGAACUGGUUUCCCAUCAAGUUUCCAUGACAUUUCUAAAAGUUUUUUUUUUUUUUUUUCAAGCUCUUAUAAAGCUUCAGUGUGUUUAUUGAAUCAAAGGCAGAAUAAGAGAUCCACAAUUCUCGCUCCUCUAUUUGAAGCUCUUCAACAGGAGCAAUGGUGCUUAUUUUGCCAGCAGAUCCAUCCUUUUUCAACUUUCUCCUGCCAAAGAUAUCUUUCAUUGAUAUUUUGCCCAUGAAACCCUCAUCUGAGUUGUCCUUAGACAUGUCUUUCUGAUAGCUUUCUUAUCCUCAGACAUGACUUUCCGAUCACCUGUAAGUGCUUCAAGACUGUAACCACCCUCUGUGCGUCUCGAUGAAUCCCAAAGCUGUGCUAUACGCAUUGUGUCAGCAUGAAACCAGAAACCUUCAGCCCAUAGUUCUCAAGGACAUGGUUAUCAAAGCUAUAGUUAUGCCAAACCUACACAAAUGAUAGCUGACUCUGUUAAUAUAAGAUCAUAUGAAAAGCAGACGACAUAAUUUUUUUUUUCUUUUUUUGUGAUCCAAGUAAACUAAUAAGGAGUAAAGCAGUUUGUUUAGCUAAGUAAAGGAAAUUGGAUCAGUUAUGUCUAUAGAAGGUGGAAACAGCUAGAAAUCCACCAUAAAAAGAGAGAGAGAGAGAGAGAGAGAGAGCACAGAGAGAGGAAACAGCUCUGCAACUGAGCAGAGUAUUUCCAUUCUUUGAUCAGCGUACAACAUAUUUUCCUCAACUAACAUAAAUAGCUAUCUAAGGGGGAAAUUGGAGUUUUAGGUUUCAUCAAAUCUAUGAACUGUACCACACGGGUAGGAGAACAUAGCAUAGAUGUAGAGGUAAACUUGUAACCCAGUAGACAGCAAUGGGAACCCCAGCUUAAAUUGGAAAAGAGCAACAAAACUUGAGGAGAAAAUGCACAGCGUAGGCAAUCACCGUAAAUCUUAAACCUGUCACUGCAAAGCAAUGACAAUAAAACUCCAUCUAAUUAAACCAUAAUAUGUGAAAAAUCAGUUAUCCAAAAAUUUACUAAAGCGCAUAACCAGCUGCAAGUUCAAUGCUUGAACCGUGCACCAAUCACAUAAUGACUGGUGCAGAUUAUCAAAGAAAUAUCUGCCAAUCCAUUUCUCCAUACUGCUAACCAGAUGAUAAUUAUUCUAAUUAAAAAAAAGCGUGCAUAUGAAAAGAACUAUAAAUAAGAAAAAGACGUGGUGAAGGGGGAGGAAGGGCUCACCUUUUUGAUGGAUGGAUCCUCAAAAAAUGGAGCAAAUUCAUUCAAAAGGUCCCUGCCACCACCGUCAAGAAGAUCAACCCAGAUGCAGGACUUCCCAUUUCCAAAAUCUGCUUCUGGUCCAGAAUAAAUACUGAAGCAUAUCACUUCUCCAUGAUCAACAGGUGUCUCUUGCUUCACAUCAAUUUUGGCCACCUAUAAACAUGCUAUAAUUAGAUUCCUGUAUGCACAAAACUAGGGUAUCUACAUUGAGUAAAAUGUGUGAUUCUAUACAGGAAGACAGGCAAGGAAGAAGUAAAAAAGAAGGCAACUAAGUACAUCACUCAUUACCUGCCAACCAAAAAAAAAAAAAAAAAGUACCAAUUUCAACUAGAAGAAGAAAAGAACAAAGUACCUCAGUAUCACGUGCAUGGACAAGACGCUUAUAUUUGUUUGUAAGCAUCCAUACAACCUUCUUUGCGGCAGAAACAUUAUCGACAACCAUAACAUUGCUAUAGAAGCUAGCAAGUUUACUGCGAAGAAUCUUGAGUUUUUCACUAUUUUCAUUUUCUGAAGCCUUUUUGUUCUGGCCAGUACCUUCUGCAGCAUCAUUCUUAGGGUUCUUUUGAUUACUUCGCUUAGAACUAACUAGUUUUGGAGGAGGUGAAUAGGAACUACCAUCUUCAAAGCACUCAAUCUCUGAGUUCCUGAAAUCUGACAAGUUGGGAACUGUCAAAACAGUGGCUCCUUUUCUCUCUUGAUAUUCUGCAACUUCCUUUUCAUAUCGCAAGCACUCCAUAUUAGUCUUCUUGUCUAAGGGUAUUUGAUCAUUCACAAAGUCUUCGCUUUUUUCUUCACUGCCAGUAACUUCUUGUUUAAUAACAGCCAUCACAGAUCCAGGAUGAUUCGUAGGAUGACCACCUACUGCACCAUUUCGGAAAUCUGCCAGUCCCUAACAAUGGGCUUCUUCUGCUGCUUAAAUUUCUGAAAAUAACGUUGCUUAGAACUCGUGAUUGAAGAAUAGAAACUACUGUCUUGCAAGCACUCAGUCUUUGAUGAAGUAAGUGAUCUGUCAUGCUUGGAUUCCAGUAUGUUGAUAACAGUGGAAAUGGCAGCUCUUUUUCUCUCUUGAGCUUUUGCAUCUUCCUUCUCAUCUCUCGAGCUCUCUGUAUUUGUCUGACAAGAUUCUACUUCUUUCAUUACAUGCAGUCUGGUCGUUUCUGUCAUCCACCCUCUCGAACUGCGGACAGUAUUUUUUGCAGAAAAUGUUUCAUUACUGGAAAUAGAAGGAUUAGGACGAUAGUAGGAUGCAACCUCCAGAAAUUGUUUUUUGUAAAGUUUUUCUUCUCUUUUUUCAUCUAUUUUUGGCAGAUCAAAAGUUCCUUUUGAGGAGUACUUUCCUUCAAAACUGUUGAGAUCUUGGCAGAAAGGGACCAUCUUAGCUGACGCAGCACCCACCGAAAGUCUAUAAGCAUAUUUUUUAAUAGGAAAUCUCCUAGCAUUGUUAAAUGAACUAUAAAAUUGGGGAAAACUACUCAACAUCAUAAUGUUGGGAAAGGUAGUGUUGGUUACGCAGCCUUCUUUCCUGAAAUUUUUUUCAAUGGAAACAAUAUCAAAGGCAGCAGAAGGUCAAGCAACCAUGAUAAUAUACAACUUGCUGCAUGCCAAGUAAGAAAGGCGGAACAUCUCAAACAGCACCAAUAAGAAUUUAGCACCAUAUGCACAGCUCAAACCCACUGAACACUGAACAUCAGUACAGGAUGACAUUAGAGACAUAACAUAUCAUACAUAAUCACACAUAGCAUCGAUAUGACAAACCGAAACCCAGUUAACAGAAAUAAAAUGUGGGUGUUACAUAAUCUUCAAAAGUCAAAACCCAGAUAGCAAAAGCUAUGCACGCAAAAAUACAAUCUUUUUAACCUCUCCAAUUCAACAAAGCAAAACUGUAAGUUGGAAUCAAAUAACCCUAAAAAGUCAGAAUGAAAAAGCAAUAAACAGCACAAAAACACAACAAAUAAUUUCAUAACAUAACAAAUUAGAGCCAAAAAUAUAUAUGUAAAAAAAUUGAACCGAACCUUUUAAAAGAAGUGAGAGAGACAUGAGGAGAGGAGCAAGGAGUCCACUUUCUGGUGGUGAGAUUCGGGGAGACUCCCAUGACCGUUAUCAAGUUCGUAACUUUUGUUCUGCUAAACAGCAGCUUGUUGCCAGUGGUGGUUGUGCUUGUAAGAGCCGUUUUGAAGGGUUUAAGAGGGGGCAGAACGGUAAUAAAGGUGGGAUUUUGAGGGUGGGGUUUAAGAGUAUGGCGGUUCUGUGUCUGUUUCUGUAGCUGAAAUACAGAGUGUGGCCAUCAACAAUCUCAACUCAGCACUACUUGAUGAGGCAGCGACAAUGGUUAUAGCUAAAACCCUUCGUCGCACUGGCGCCCUUUAUUAUUAUUAUUUAUUCUUUUUUUUUUUUUUUUGCUUUUGGGUAAUUUUUCAAAAUCUCCCUUGAGGUAUGGCGAAUUUCCAAGUAGAUGACGAGAAUUGUUUAUUUUUGAAAACCUCUACAAAAUUUUGAAGUUUGACAUUUGUUAACUGGUUGAGUAAAAUCAAAAAAAUACUUGACAAAGUGAAAUACUCAAGCUUUACGUGUGUAAUCAUUCAUAAUUAUAGAUAAUUUACUAUUUAUUUGAGAUUAAGGUUUAACUUAAAUUUUCGGAUUCCUAGUAUAGUAGUAUUAUAGAAUUCAUAAUAAACACCAAACCAAAUCUAGCACUUCAACACUUUCUCUCAUAAUUCAUUUAUAAAAACUAUUAAAUAAAUAGACUAAUCACAUCGCCUUGCUCUUUCUUGACAAUAUUUAAGUAAAAAACUACCACAUUUGAGGUAAAAUUAAAACAAAAAAAUCUAAAAUCUAAAAACAAAAAAUAAAGAAAUUUAAUGUUUCUAAUUUUCUCAUUAAAUUAAAUGUAACGGUAAAUCAAUAAAUACAGAGUGGCUAGUUAAAAAAGACUAUCAAUUUUGUUAAACACAUUUUGAUUGUAAAAGGAUCUAUUUGUACACAUAAAGCAUUUUUGGAUUUGGUUGUUCUAGUGGCUCUAAAGAAAUUAAUUGCCUUUUCAAUAUGACUUAUUUAAUAAACAUAAGUAUUUAUUUAUCUAAUUUAAUGAGCUCUUUUCAAAUUUAUUGUUGUUGUUUAAAUUUUUUGGUAGAACUUCUAAAGGCUAAAUAAGUUAUUUUACUUUUAUCUGCAAAAGCUCAAAUUUGGAGUAGAAGUUAAAAAGUUUUUUUUUAAAUAUUAAAAUAUUUAAAUUAUCCUUUAUUUAUUUGAGAAUAUUAUUCAUUCAUUUCACAAUGUAACUUUAAAAUAAUUUUAUAAUGUUUACUAAAUGCUCUUAUUAACAACUAAAUAAUUAAAAAAAAUUAGAAAAAAAUCUCUACUUACAAAAGUUUUACUGACAAUAAUUCUACUCAAACAAAUUUUAUUUGAAAAGUUAUAUCUAAUAGAGCUUAAAAGUAUCAUGAUCAUUUGUUAUUAUGUAUUGAUACGAGUUUUUUCUUUUAUUUUUAUUUUUUCCCAAAUUUUUUUAUAUGAACUUUUACAAAGAUUUCCCCCUGAAAUUGAGUAUAGACUUGUAGGUAAGUGAGGCCUUGAUUGUAUCUAAGGGCAUUGUGAUGCUUUCUCAGUUAAGAGAUGAUCAACAAAAAAUUUAACAAAUGACGAGAGGAUUUUAAUCAAUAAAAUGACUUUUCCAUCUAAUUGCAAAUAGAUUAUACCUCAGGGGAGGUUACGAAAACGUACGCACAAGAGAACAAACGUUGCAUACAGUGACUGAUGUUGACUUUGCCACGUGGGUACUUGUGAUGUGUGGCUGUGUAGUUUUCAGAUUUCUGUCAAUUUUUAAAAAUUUUUAUAAUAAAUCCCACUUUUUAACCAAAAAAAAAAUUUAUGCGGCGUUUACUAAAUUAAAAUCGGAAUAAAUUUAAAUUGAAAUAGGUAGAAAUGAGAAUGUAGUAGAAUUAAAAUAGAGAAUGAAAAUUAAAAUAAGUUGUUUACCUCAACUUUAAGAAUUAGAAUCGAAAUCAGAAUGAGUUAGAUUUACAUUAAUGUGUUUACUUUAUCUUGUAAUCGGAAUCAGAAUAAAUUAAAUUGUUACAAAUUACUAAAAAGUCGUUAAUAAUAAUGACAAUAAUAUUCAUUAAAAAAAUAAAAUUAAUAAAUAAUAAUAAUAAAUUAAUAAUGAUAAUAUCACCAAUUAAACACGUGCUUGAUCGAAUGCGCGUGUGAACGGAGUUUUAAAUUACCAAGGUCUUUAACCAACAAUUUACACUUGUUGUUAAUCAAUAGAGUUGUGCUUUUGACACCCCUCAAAAGUUAAUCAGGAAUGUUUAGAUCAUAAGAAGAUCCAAAUCCAUUUAAAAUACAUCUUACAACUAGAAGCUUUGAAAAUUAUGAUACUUUAAUUUAAUUCCCAAUCAACCCUUGAUAAAUAUUUCUACAUCUCUAAAGAACUAUCUACUUCCUAAUGUCUAUUGUAAUUAAAUGAUAAGGGCUGAUUUUGUUUUAUUUCUAUUUUCAGUAUCGCUUAGAGAAGGUCGAUGACCUGUUUGAUUUUCAUUUUAGGUGUGAAGCUAAAAGACCUAAGUCAUCUUCAAUUAAAUAUUCUUUUUUUUUUAAAUGUUCUUUUAUCUCUCUUUUUCUAAAACCUAAGUCAUUCAAAAAAAAAAAAUUGUAAAAUUUUACCCAAUUUAGCCGAAAAAUUGCCAUUCUUACUGUACUGAUAAUUGAGGAGUGAACAACUUGCAUCUAUCAGCGGGAUUGCGGGAAAAAGAAAACCUAGAAAGUGAGUUUGCUCUUGAAGAGUUGUAAGUUUCUUCAAGGGUUACUUGUUGAAUAAAUGUCAGAUAAUUGUAAGCACCGAAAUUUAAAAACUCUUUUAAAUGGAUUUAUUUAGAAAAAGUGUUCAUAAGAGUUUUGCUGUUUUGGAGGGGGUGCUAACCGCUCGACUCCAUUCAAUAUUCGACGUUAUGUCUUGGCCGGAUGCGAUGAUUCAUUGAUUCCAUUGCAUCAAUCAAUUGUGCUAUUUUGCCUUAAAGCAAUUUCUAAUUUCUUUCUUGAAUGUUCUACAACAUUCUGAAAUACAUCAAUUUAUGCUUAAUUUUUUAUUUCAUAAUCCAAAAUUUAAGGGUUCAUUUGAUUUACGAUUCAAAAAUAAUUUUUAAAAAUAAAAAAUGAAUUUAAAAAUGUGUUGAAGGUUUUAAUGUGUUCAUUUUUCUUUAUUAUUUAUAUUAAUGGCAACCUAAUCAUCUCCCCACCUAUGUGAGAGAGGUUCGAAUCGUAAACCCUUUUUUCCAAGAAAAGGAAUUCUACCAACCUAAAUAAAUGAUGCAAAUUUUAACAAGUUUAUAUAAUAUCCAAAAACGAUAAUUUGAACAACUGAAACAUGUUUAACGUAAUUUCUAAUUAAAAAAAGAAAAACAUGUUUAGUUGCUGUGAUUUUAAAGGUAAUUCUUAAUGAAGUAUUAAGUUUCAUAAAAUUACAGUCUUGUUUUCCUUUUAGAUAAUUGCAUUACAUCAAGGAGUAUCUUAGAACAAAAUAAAAAUGAAACAAGCUUCGUCAAGAUUUCAAUAUUUAUUAUCUUUAGCUUAGCUUCUAUUCUGUUAUGUUGAACUAAAAAAAGUAAUUAAAUUAAUGGUAUGGAGACUGAUUUACACAACACAAAUUGCCAACAACGUAUACUUUAAUUUGUAGUUAACAUGGAAAAUAUAUACUUCUAAACGGUAUGAUUACAAUAUUCAUUACCAUCAUGCCUCUUCUAGCUGUAUUUUAUGUGUGCCUAAGUAGUGUACGGUCCAUCAUGUGCAAAUUUUAUCAAUUUGAAUCCCGCGGCUCCUGAUAAGAGACACUGCAUUCUAAUAAAAUAUGAAUCAUUGCUCACUUCAUAUAUGUGUAUGUGUGUGUUUGUGUCAAGAAUCACUGCGAAUAUAACAUGUGCAUUGGAAGAAAUCAUUAUCAUUAUGGAUUACAUAAUUUGGUAGUAAAUGAAUUCAUGAUUUAUGAUUAUUUUUUUAUUAUCAUAGUUCAGAAGAUGAUGAAUCCGUGAUUUAUGAUGACUUUUAAUAUAUUUAAUUAUUUUUCUUUUUAAGAUAGAGGGGUGUGCAAAGCCCAAAUUAAUUUUUAUGAUAUAUCUUACCAAAAAUUGUUAAAUUACUGAUAAUAGAGACAGAUUUAGAAUAGAAAUUGCCAAGACAAACAUAAAUGAUGAUUGAUUUCUUACUUUUAUGUUACUGAAUCUUUUGUACAAGUUGGACCUUGAAGCCAUGUUAGACCUUGAAGCCAUUUAAUAGCAACAAGAAGACAGUGAAUUCAAUUGUUUUUUAAAUUCGCCGGAUGAAGCUGAAUUUUCCUUUUCUUUCUUGAUGAAUAAUACUUUGGACAUCGACUUUUAUUCUGAUCUAAAUUUUUAUCAGCGCAUGUACAUGUUCGCGUCAGUUGUCAACAUAAUGCAAUCAACUUAACUGACUAUAAUGAGUAACAAUUAAAUGUAUUACACACAGUACGUUAAUAUUAUUUGUCACACCAAACCCAUCUUUUACAUGACAUGAUACAACACACCCAAAGGAAAAACUAUUGUUAGAACAAGUAAAGUAACUAUCAUGAAUUAGAGCUAAAAUACAUAUAAAGAUUGUCAUCGUAUCAUGCAUAAAACUUAGAUAUAAUGCGUCUACUUCUUCUUCUUCCAAGGAAGCUUAUUCAUAAAUUCCAAGUAAUAGACCUUCCCACCAACCAAAAAAUCAGCACAGUAAGGAAACUCCAUGAGUGCUAAAACAAUCACUGGAAAGAUAGCAGCAGCAUAGAGAGCGGCGGUCCAUUUCAUCUCCAUACGAAUGAUGAGCAGAAGUGAAGCCGAGAAAGUAAUCAUGCUUGUUAGUACAGAAAAGAAGAGCAAAGUGAAGCCAACCAGCAACUUGCGCGGAAGUUCUCUAAGGAAAUCAGAUGACUCACGUGGCGACGUGAGGAUAGAUAGGAACAUAACAACGGAUGACAAUGAUAAGGCCAAGGAGGCAACGUCCAUUAUGGUAAAAACGUAGAAAAGUGGUGACUUAAGGAAAUGGGGAAACCCCUUAUCAUUGUUACCUCCAGGUAUCGUGAAGGCAGCUGUAAAGACGACGGUUGCGAUUAGGAUUGCCAGCACGGAGCAUGCCUGAGAGGUUUCUUUGAUCCAUUCUUGUGCUUUCCCAAGUUGAUCUUCAUGUGUUAUAUUGAAGAGUUCCCUUGCAGUCAUCUUAUUGUUUUCAUCGCGGUGCAUGGCAUAAUGGCGAGGCAUUAUCUCUUUUACACUCUGCAUUAUACACACACGUUAAAUAGGGACGGAGUCCUACAUACGCAUAGCCACAUGUGUAGUCAUUAUCUCUGUAACAUUUUAAAAUAUAGAUUCAAGGUUUUACUCAAUUGUAAAAAACUUCCAAGAGGGUUGUAAAAGGUUUACACAAUUAAAGAAAAAAAAGUGUUUUAUAAAAUCAUGAAAUGGUGAAUCACUUGAGAAUGAAUAUACAUAUACAUCCAUACAUACGUAUAUAUAUAGGGAGAGAGAGAGAGAGAGAGAGAGAGAGAGAGAGAGAGAGAGAGAAGGGGGGAGAGAGUGUACUAAUUUGGUCCAAGAUGUAGGAUUUUAUUAAAGUCUAAGAAAACUAUUAAAUCACAUAGUAUAUAUAGGGGGAGAGAAGGGGAGAGAGAGCGUGUGGAUAAGCUAUUAUUUAAUAAUAGAUCUGAAGUUAUUAAAAUAAAGGAUAAACUAAAUGGCAAGUAAAAGUGCAAUGUAUUUUAUCCAUUAAUAAAUUAAUGUGUGUUGUUCUUGUCUUUUAAUUUAUCCCUUAUUUUGGUAACCUAAAGAGAUCCUUCAUUGAAAAAAAAUAUUUUAUAUAUAUAUAUAUGAAGAUACUUAGGUAUGGCGGCUACACGAAUUUUUGGGUGGAUUUUAGGCUUCACAACCAUAUGAAAACUUUUCACAUUAUUAUAAAAAAUAUUUUACACUGUCCUAAAAUCCUAAAUCUGCAUGAAAAUUUAUGUGCACAAUGGUUUUAUAUAUAUAAGGCCGAAUAAUUACAUUUUAUGGGACAAAAUUAAAUAUUAUCAAAGGGCUUACCUCGAACAAUUGUAACUCCUCCUGAAAUUGGAGAACAGGGCCAGGGCGGGUUCCUUCUUUAUAAUGUUUCAUGUCUGCAACAUGGUGCAAUAAUGUGUAGCCUUUCUUGUCAAUUCUUGAAGCCCAUUUGGGCACAGACAGUCGCAUUUCCUUCAUGAUGAGUUCAAAGACUUUAUAUUGACGACGCUUUACGGCCACAUGUAAUAUAUUCUGCUCUUUCUCAUUCAAGUUAUCUAACAAUAUUGCUUGAGGAUGUUGAUGGAUUAUCUCCUUCAAAAUCUCUGUUGUUCCAUUGCUUGCUGCAAAGAGUAAUGUCAACCUGAACGCCCAAUUCUUAUCCUUUUUAUAAUUAUGAACUGCUUUAUUAGUGCAAUCUUUCUUCACAAACAAUUCGACCAAUUCUCCAGCUGAAAAAUCAACAAAUUUUUUUGCCUUGAUCAUAUUUCCUUUGUUAGUGCAAUAUUUCUUCAACAGCAAUUCGUCCAAUUCUCCUGCUGAAAAAUCAACAAGUUUUUUUGCCUUGAGCAUAUUUCCUUUGCCUAAUCCUAAGGAAAUUGUGGAAAUUUUAUCCGACGAAGUUGUGGAACUUUCUGGGUCCGGCGAGAAAAUUUCUGGGUUCUGCUCUCCAUCCCCAAGACAAGGGGUUUCUUUAACGAGCAUUUUGAGCAGUUUAUCCGCAUUUCUAUGCAUUUGCUUUUUCAUCCAGAUUUUCUUUAUACCGGGACAUCCUGGUCAUGCAUGCAUCAACACCUUGUUAAUUUAUAAACAAAAUUUCGCGCGGCAAGUACGGCAAAUCCAUUCAUCAACUGAAUGAAUUGAUCAAGUUAUGUUACAUUUCCCCUGUUCCUUGUGUAAUUCAUCUAUGUAGAAGUAAUUAAUGAAAUUAUUAUUGAUCGCACCUUCAAUCACUUGCCUCCAAAUGCCAGUGUACAUCUUGUUGAUGUUGAAAUCUGCUCGUCCUUGGCCCGAUCAGAUCUUUACACCAACGUUUAUGUUAUCAACUGUGAGGAUGUCAAUUUCUUCUUGCUUCGACGAUCGCUCUAGUUAUUGAAGUUGGAAUUAUCCUUCCUUUUCCCACUAAGUCUGCGUUCACAAAAAAUGGAUCAGAGACGCCGGUGGUUUUGCCGGCGUAAACCCUCCGAUGCCUAAGUUAGCACAAGGUAUUUACGAGAAAACCGUGCAAUUAAGAUUCGAUAAAUUGCUUAUAAUGGGCUCACAAUUCGUAUUGAAAAUGGUUUGGUUUCAAUUUGGCAGAGUUUUCCCUUCUCUCAAUUUUUCUGUCCCUUUCUUCAUCGAUUUCUUCCCCUUUUAUAGCCGUUGUCCCACGUUUUCAUUCACCCUUCAUCCCUCCUUUUCGGGUAGUGGCAGCCCCUCAUGGAACUCUAACUGCUACAUUGUGGGCAAACGUGGGAUCUCGCAUCUCCCUCAACGGUUCUGGGAAAAGCGCAACUAUCGUGAUUCUGUGAGAUCGUGUCCCCGCUCUUUGGGGGAUGGGUAUUGGCUCGGUAUAUGUCUCUGGUCGGUAUACUCUUCUGGCUGGUACUCGUCUCUGGUCGGCCCAUGUUUGUAGAAGGCUCAUUAUCAGUGUUCUGCUCGUACCACUCGGCUGAGGUGGUCCACCCCGGCGUGGGGAUGAUGGCAUGGCCGAGCUGGUGCUCUUAUUUACCUAACACCAGUCCCCCAGUUUCUGGUCUUGCGAGUGAAACGAGUUGAGAGUAGAAACUGAUAAUCGAAUCUUACCGGCCCGGGGAACUUCCCAUCUGGCCUUCUGUUUACUGGGAUGGACCUGAGGUUCCCUCUCUCAUCUGAGGAGAUUUCUUUUAUCCGAGUAUGGGCCUUUAUGAAUAUAUCUCGUAUAUAUUUGGGCUUAUGCCUCAUCAGGCAUUUUGUAACGGUUAAUGACGUGGCGCUUCCUGACUCUUCGUAUUUGAAAUUUGAAACGACGGGCUAUCCAUCCUCGAUAUAUGGUGAGUGAGUUGGCAUCCCCAUCACUAAAAUGCUUCCAUUUCCCUCUUUUCGUUUCAAAUCCCUAGAUUAAAAUCAUCAUCGUUUUGUUAUUCGUCUCUCCGCCGUUGACCAAAUCCUUCUUUGAACUUUGCUCACACUUCCAGCGUCCGGAGUAUCCACUUGCUGGGUGUUUUCUCUAUCACGACAACGCUAUCAGUGUCAGUCUAUUCCAGGUGUAGCCUUUAACCUCUUCUUUGGCUGUUGUUGAUUGGGUUCUGUGUUGCCCCUUUUUGUAUUCAUGUACUUGGGUUUGUUUUGGUUUCCUUUUGGGACUUCGAUAUGUCAAAUCGGAGAAGGAAGUUGAUUGCAGAUAAGAGUGACGAAGAAACAGAGGAUUCACACCUUGACUUGUCAAUACCCACUGAUUUUUUACGUCCUUCUAGUAGUGUAGGCCCCUCCUAUGGUAGGGAUACCCUUGAGUACCCACGUCCCCUGAUCAUUUUACCUUCCCCUGAAUUAGAGCUUGUAAGAAAUAGAGGGGGACCUGCGUCGGGCUCUGGUGAGAACCACAGUUCUAGUGGGGCUGGGGUCCCUGAAGAAGUGGGUGAUGGUGAGGGAAGCAGUUCCGAGCCGAGCCGACCUCCUAAGAAGAGAAACCUUGGCCAUAGGGUGGAGGCGGAUUCUUACCCUAUUGACUACAUAGCCUAUGCCACCACCCAAACUGAUCUAUUCAAGCUUAGGAACCUCUACAACAUUCCUAAGGAGGUUCUCCUUGUAGUUCCUAGGAAAGGUGACGUUCCUAGUCGGCCUCCGCGGGGGUAUGUGACGAUGCACCUGGAGAGUUUCAGAUUAGGAGCUCGGCUGCCCCUUCAGCGUUAUUUUGCCAAGAUACUGGGGGGUAUGCACCUGGCCCCAGGUCAGUUACAUUCGAAUGGGUGGAGGGUCUCUCGGCUAUGUUCGUAUUAUGGGAGAGGUGUGGAUCAGAGGAGCCCUCCCUUGUUGAAGUGAAACAUUUAUACCAGCUGAGGAGUAGCCCGAAGAAAGCAGGCUGGUAUUAUUUUAUGUCGAGCUCUGCGAAGAAGAAGCCAAUCACCGGCUUCCCUUCCUCAUACAAAAUUUGGAAGAACAAAUUCUUCUUUGUUGGAGGCAAUUGGUGUCCAGCAGCUCGUUCGUUGGGUGGUGAUAUUUACCUUCCAACGCAUUUUGUCACCCCAGGUCGUUCAUUUUUUGCCUAUAUUCUUUCUCAAAUUGCCACUUAUUAGGUUCUUUAACCUUUGUUUUUCCAGAAUCGUGAGGUUUGGUUAAGGAUCUUGAAGACCGACCUUUGCUCCAGGUUGAAACUGCUCUGGUGAACGCGUCUACCUGCCAAGACCUCCUGUCACCAACAAACUUGGUCGGUUCGGGCUUAGUGGACAUUGCUGCCUGAAUGGAUAACAAGAUCCUCAGCGCGAUGAGCAGAAAGCGUGGUCGGGCUCCAAGCAGCUCCAGCAACCCUCCCCCUCCUCCAAAGAAAGUCAGUGUUGGUCAUUCCAAGGUUUCUGUUCCUGCUCUGCCCCCUCCUCCACCUCGUAAGAGCGGUGGGGAAAAAACUACUGACAAGAGUUUUGAGGUCAGCACUCGCUCUGGGGACCGAUCCUCUUCUCUUCCGGCUCGUGAUCAAGGUGACUACCUGACCCCGCAUCAGAGGGACUAUGGAAAGUCAGUGGGACCGAAAAUGGUCCAGGGCAUUGAGAACAUGAAUCUCAAUGAAUUGGCUGGUUCUGUCCAGAGGGUCUCCUUCAAGCUGGCUACCAUAAUUUCUUGUUACAAAAACAGGAUCACGCGCCAUGAGAGGAAGCUUCAAGCUGACGACCAAGAUUUGAAGAAGAGAGUUGAGUCUGCCGACCGCUCGAAGGAAAAGCUGCUUGAUCUGCAGAAACAGAUCGUGGACUUGGAAGAAAAGGUGGCCAUGGCCGAAUCCAACUCUACCAAGCUUGAGGGUGAGUUGGGUGAUCUGAGGUCUGAUCUUCAGGCCACUCAAAGUGAAAGAGAUACCUUGAAGACGACCCUUGAGGGAGAAAUCAAAUCUUUGAGUGAGCAGUUGGCCGAGGUGAAAGGUAAAUCUGCUGAUGUGGAUGAUCGGCUGGAUGCAGAGUAUGACUCUGGGGUUGCUUUCUGCUAUAAGUGCAUCAUGUCUGUGCUUAAGGAAAAGUAUCCCGAGCUGGACAUGAGCAAGCUGGAAGCUGGAGUGCAGAGAUAUAUGGCUGAGGCCGAUCAGGGGGAUAAGGAACAGGGCGAUCAAGACCAGGUGGAGGCUCCCUUAGGAGGGGUGCAGGUGGAGGAAGCAGGAGAUUGUGCUCCUGAAGUUGGUCAAUGGUCGGUGCCUCCUCCCCCCGACAUUGCUGAUCCUCCUCUCCCGGAGAUUGUUGAUCCCUCAACUGUUGAGGCUGCUGAUCCUCAUAACCUUUAGACUUAUUUUUGUAUAAAUUUUGGACUUUCAUUUGUUUGCAAUCGUUUGAACGUUUAUAAAUUUUUAGAUGCUCUCUAUUGGCCUUCUUGUCUGGUUUUUGCUCAUGGAUUGUUUCUGCAAAUAAACUUGACAAUUUAUCUGACUUUGCCUGCUGGUUCUUUAGUGGACCGAGCAGGAAUAAGCAUCCGCUUGCCUUAGUAGAAUUUCGUAAAAUUUCCUGCUGGUCCUUUGUUGACCGAGCAGGAGUAGGCACUUACUUGCCUUAGCAAAAUUUUCAUAAAAUUGCCUGCUGGUCUUUCGUUGACCGAGCAGUAGCAGGCACUUACUUGCCUUAGCAAAAUUUUCGUAAAAUUGCCUGCUGGUCUUUUGUUGACCGAGCAGGAGCAAGCACUUACUUGCCUUAGCAAAAUUUUCGUACAAUUGCCUGCUGGUCGUUCGUUGACCGAGCAGGAGCAGGCACUUACUUGCCUUAGCAAAAUUUUCGUAAAAUUGUCUGCUAGUCUUUCGUUGACCGAGCAGGAGCAGGCACUUACUUGCCUUAGCAAAAUUUUCGUAAAAUUACCUGCUGGUCUAUCGUUGACCGAGCAGGAGCAGGCACUUACUUGCCUUAGCAAAAUUUUCGUAAAAUUACCUGCUGGUCUAUCGUUGACCGAGCAGGAGCAGACACUUACUUGCCUUAACAAAAUUUUCGUAAAAUUGCUUGUUGGUCUUUCGUUGACCGAGCAGGAGCAGACACUUGUUUGCCUUAGUGAAAUUUUUAAUGGGCUUGCUAGUAGGGGGAUUUCAUGCUGAAUUCAUCUUUAUUGAAAUUUGAAUGCAUUACAGAAACACAGAAUAUAUGCAUGUGCAACAAGUCGUCAUGCAUUUAUCAGAAAUAACUUAUCAAAAUGAAGACUUAGUAGAGCACUUUGCUUACUGAAAAUACUUCUUCAAGUGCUCGGCGUUCCACGACCUCUUCACGUCUCGUCUAUCUAGGUACGCUAACUUAUAAGCUCCUGGUCCAGUCGCUCGUAUCACCCUGUACGGGCCUUCCCAUUUCGGGCCAAGAGUGCCAUGGUUAGGAUCCUUAGUGUUUUGAUUCACCUUCCUAAGUACCUAAUCCCCUGCUCGGAAUUGCCUCAUGCGUACGUUCUUGUUGUAAUAACGUAUGACCCUUUGCUGAUACUGGGCCACUUUCUGUGAGGUCCCUUCCCUUUUCUCCUCCAGCAGGUCCAGGCUCAAGCAGAUCUGUUUAUCGUUUUGCUCCUCAUUGAAGUAUUCUGUCCGAUGUGUUCCUACUCUAAUUUCUGCUGGGACUACUGCCUCAUGACCAAAAGCUAAAGCAAACGGGGUUUCCCCAGUGGCGGUUUUGUGAGUUGUCCGGUAAGCCCACAAUACUCCUGGUAGCUCGUCGACCCAAGCUCCCUUCUUCUUUCCCAGUCUUGUUUUCAGGAGUUUCUUUAUUACUUUGUUGGCUGCUUCCACUUGCCCAUUUGCCUGGGGGUGUGCGGGGGUGCAGAACUUCAGGUCCACCCACAGGUUUCGGCAAAAUUCUCUGAAGUUGUUGUUGUCAAAUUGCCUCUCAUUGUCUGUAAUGAUGAUAUAGGGGAUCCCGUAUCUGUAGAUGAUAUUUUUUCAAAUAAAAUCUGUCGUCUUUCUCUCCGUGAUUUGGCUGAGGACUCCCACUUCUACCCACUUGGUGAAGUAGUCUAUCGCUACAAUUGCAUGUGUUGCCGCUCCUCGGCCCUUUGGUAACGGACCAAUCAGGUCGAUUCCCCAUUGAGCAAAAGGCCAAGGGGAUGUCAUAGUGGUCAGUUUUUCUGAGGGUUGUACAGGAACCUCUGCGAAGCUUUGGCAGAUUUUACAAUUCUUUGCCAUCCUUUUCGCAUCCUGGUGCAUGGUUGGCCAAAAGUAUCCUUGCCGGAGUGCCUUGAAGGCUAAAGUUCUUGCUCCCGAGUGAUUUCCACAUAUUCCUUCAUGAAUCUCCCUCAGUACAUAAUCUGCCUCCUCAUCAUCCAAACAUCUCAAAAGGGGUAAGGUGAAUCUUCGGCGGUAGAGCACCCCAUCAAGUAGUGUGUACCUCACUGCUCGGCAUUUUAAUUUUCUUGCUUGCCUUUUGUCCUCCGGUAAAAUGCCAUCGCAGAUGUAUGCGAGAAUCGGGUCCAUCCAGGAUUCUUCAGUGCUUACUCUCAUUACCUCUACUUCCUCCCUUAUACUCGGCGAAGUCCUUACCUCUAGUGGAACUGACUUAGGUAAUUUUGGAUCUACAAUUGCAGCCAUUCUAGCCAACAUAUCUGCUCGGUAAUUCUCAUUCCGGGAUAUCUGCUUUACCUCUACCUCUUUGAAGAGUCCAACCAUUUGCUUCGCCUUCUUCAAAUAAAGCCCCAACUUCUCUUCCCUUACUUGGAAUUGGUCGCAGAGCUGAUUGCAGACUAGCUGAGAAUCUGCUCGGAUUUCUACUCUUUCAGCUCGUAGUGCGUGUGCAAGCCCGAGCCCAGUAAUGAAGGCCUCAUAUUCAGCUUGGUUAUUCGUAAGCUGGAACUCGAAUUUUACUGCAUAAGAUACCUCGAUCCCUUCUGGGCUCCGUAUUACAACUCCUGCUCCGGAUCCCUGUUCACUACGUGACCCAUCAACCAUUACUAGCCACACCCCCUCAGGUUUCUCCUGCUCCAUUGGUUGUUCCUCCCGAAUCUCUUCCCCUAGUUCAGCACGGUCAACUAUAAAAUCGGCCAGGGCUUGGGCUUUGAUUGCUCCUCGGGGCCUGUAGGAUAGGUCAAAUUCGCUCAGCUCCACGGACCAUUUUACUAACCAACCAGAUGCAUUUGGUUUUUGGAGCGUUUGCCGAAGGGGCUGGUCAGUCAUCACAACAAUCUGGUGGGCCUGGAAAUAUGGUCGGAGCUUGCGCGCUGCCGUUAUUAGAGCCAGCGCCCACUUCUCCAUCAGUGAAUAUCUGGUUUCUGCGUCUACCAGGGCCUUGCUUGUGUAGUACACCGGGUGUUGCUUCCCUUCUUCUUCACUGACUAAGACCGAGCUGGUAGCCCAUUUAGAGAUUGCCAAGUACAAAAGCAGUUGGUCACCCUCUCUCGGAGUUGAUAGUAACGGGGCGUGGGCUAGGUAUUCCUUCAGCUGUCCAAAUGCCUCCUCGCAUUCUGAUGUCCAUUCCAUCUUCCUCCAUUUCUUUAUGGUUUGGAAGAAAGGGUGGCACUUAUUAGUGGCUCGCGAAAUGAAUUGGUUCAAUGCUGCCAAUUUCCCUGUAAGGCUCUGAACCUCCUUAACUGUUCGUGGGGACCUCAUUUCUAUCACCGUCCGGAUUUUUUCUGGGUUGGCCUCGAUCCCUCGGUGGCUCACCAAGUAUCCUAAAAAUUUGUCCGAUCUAACCCCAAAUGCACAUUUCUCCGGGUUCAGCUUCAUUCCAUACUUCCUCAGCAAUUCGAAGGUCUCUUCCAAGUGCUUCACAUGAUCUUUCGGUUCUCUUGACUUUGUGAUCAUAUCGUCCACAUAUACCUUCAUAGUGUGAUCGAUCAAUAGUUUGAAGACCUUGUUCACUAACCUUUGAUAGGUAGCUCCUGCAUUUUUUAGGCCAAAAGGCAUCACCCUGUAACAAAACAAACCCAUGUUAGUUAUAAAGGUGGUACUCUCCUCGUCCUGCUCGUUCAUGGGUAUUUGGUUGUAUCCUGAGAAGGCAUCCAUGAAGUUGAGCAGACUAUGCCCCGCCGUUGAAUCCACCAAUUAGUCUAUUUUUGGUAAGGGAAAACUGUCCUUUGGGCAUGCUUUAUUAAGGUCUGUGAAAUCCACACACAUUCGCCAUUUUCCGUUGGCCUUCUUCACCAACACUACGUUGGAAAUCCACUCUGGGUAUUUAGCCUCCCUUAUAAAUCCCGCUUUCAACAGCUUCUCUACCUCGACAUUUAUGGCCUCGUACCUUUCUUGGUUAAAGCACCUCUUUUUCUGCCUAACCGGCCUUGCCUCUUUCCUGAUUGCCAGCUUGUGGCAAGCUAUCCCGCGAUCAAUACCUGGCAUGUCCUCAUGAGACCAGGCAAAUAUAUUUGCAUGGGACUGUAGGCAUUUCACCAGCUCGCCUUUUAUUGCUUCGCCCAAUUCUGACCCGACCUUAACCACUCUGCUUGGGUCACUCUUGCUUACAACAACUCCCUCCAGCUUCUCAACAGGUUCUUGGCGACCCUUUUUUGAAUCCCCUCGGUUAUCUAGAGAGGUAACCUGCAGCGUUUCCUUAGCCGCUGUAGCGUAGCAGCUCCUUGCCAUUCUCUGGUCACCUUUUAUUACGCCAACAACUCCAUUUACUCUGUACUUCAGUGCCAGAUAAUGCGUGGAUAUAACACAUUGACUUAUCCUCAUGAACGGUCUCCCCAGUAUCAUCUGGUAAGGGCUUAUUUCUUCUACUACGACAAAAUCCAGCAUCAUCGUUCUUUCAAACGGCUUUGACCCCACAGUAAUCGGGAGUUCGAUGAUCCCCAUGGGAGUUAACUGUCCCUCUUCAAAUCCCUUCAAGGAUGUAUUCGUCUGCUCCAGCUUCAAGUCUGAAAUCCCCAUAUCAUCUAGGGCCGACUUAAACAGAAUGUCAACUGAGCUGCCCGUGUCCACCAGUAUUCACCGCAAUUCUGUACUAGCCACUAAUGCUUUAAUUACCAGUGCAUCCUCAUGAGGAUAUAAAAUACCCUCUUCGUCGUCCUUCGUCCACAUAAUGGGAACUUGCCGCACUUUUGCCCUCUUGGCUGCUGGCAAAUUGAGAAGCACCUAUUUGCCAGUUAUGGCGUAUGUUCCAUAGUUCUUCCGUGCCCUGUUCGAAUCCCCGACCAAUGUUGGCCCUCCUGCUAUCACACGGAUGGUCGGCUGUUCCCGUUCCAGACCCCUGUCAACUCCUUCAUCCUGCGUGUAUUGUGAUUCAAUGACGGGGAGCACUCAAUCUACAUAUUCAUUCAAGUACCGGUUCCUUACUAAAUCUUCCACCUGAAUCUUUAGAUCACGACAUUGGCUGAUAGUGUGACCGUGAGUGUUGUGAAAUUUGCAGAACCUGCUCUUAUCACGUCGGUGAGCAGAUUUUGUUAUAGGGGCCGGAGGGUAUAACAGACCUCCUUCAAUCCUCUCAUACAAUUCCUCCAUGGAGAUUUUUUAAUGGGGUGUACUGUCUAUAUGCCAAGCUCUGGUCAACCAGUUGAACUGCUCGGCUAUCAUGGAUAUCACCUUGGGCUGGUAUCAUCGGUAGUUGAUCUGGUCGUCCAGCCCUGGAAUUAGUUGCAUGUAACGCUGUGGGAGUGUUGUGAUAAGGGUGGGCAGCCAUCUGCCUGAAUUCUCGCUGCCGCUCCGGGAAUGGGGGGCGCGGAGGUUGAGCUCGGCUGUGUUGGAACUGUUGUGGUCUCUGAAUUAUGGGGUAAAGGCGGGACCGAGCUGAUAUUCCGCCCAUCACUGAGGAUUCCCCAGCUCGUUUUCCCAAUCCGCUCCCAUUCGGGGCUCUCCGUUCCUUUCGUCUCAGCUCUUCUAGCUGUUCACUUUUUAUCCUUGCCGAUUUCUCCUCUUCGAUUUCUAUAUCUCGCAUCGCCUGUUCAUACCCCGCCGAGUAAUUCUGCACUAGGGGGCUUCUUAAGUUAUACCACAAUCGGCCGAUUCUUACACCUUCUUUUAAUCCCCUCAACGCCUGCGGGUGAUUAAAAGCUCCCAAAUCCAGCACGGCCCGGUGAUAUCGUUUUACAAAAUCCUGAAGGGAUUCAUGCUCCUCCUGUUUCAUCCCCACCAGUUCCAUCAUGUCGUCCUCUGGGGCCACUGCUCCACGGAACUGCUCGGCCAACUCUUGGCACAUCUGCUCGUACCCUUUGAUACUUCCUCGUGACAGCUUGCGGUACCAUUCUCGGGCUUGUCCCUCUAGUGUCAAUGGGAACACCCUGCACCUCUGAGAUGGUGUCAACCCCUGGACAACCGUCAUGUCGUUGAAACGUUCAAUAUGCACCAACGGAUCACUUCGCCCGGAGUAUUUGAGGUCGGGGAAGUGGAAAUCUCUUGGGAUUACAGUACCCAUGAUCUCGGUUGAUAAUGGAGACUCUUCAUCUAGUAUUAUCCUCCAACUCGGGGGCUUUCCCUUGCCCUGAAUCUCCUCCAUCACCUGCGCCAAUCUGCGCACCUCUCCCUCCAAUUCUACAGCACGGUCAGGAUCACGUGCAGCUAUCUGAUCUCGCUCCUGUUCGGCAUUCUGUAACCGCUGUCUGAGCUCUCCUUCAUCAACACUGGCCCCUCGAUCAUCAAUUUCUAGUACCCGUCUGGGGCGAGGUUGGUCCCUCAUUUCAUCCACACGUUCUCCUGGAACCCGACCAGUACUUCUAUGGGGAUGCACCCCAUUAGGUUGAUCUGCCGGCGGAGGGAUUUCCUCGACUCUAUGCCUCCGGAGGCUGGGUUCUGCUCCAACUUCAUCUCUCCCCACGAGGGUUUCACAAUCCCUUCUCCGCUCAUCCCUCAGCUCAUACAGUAUGGCCGCGAGCGUCUCCAUUUGUUUCUCCAUCCGCUCCAGUCGAUCUUGCAUCAUCCUCUCUCGAGCUUCAUUCGCAAUUUCCUAGAGAGUGAUUGUCUCCACAGUUUCAUUGUCCUCCCUCAAAGCAUCCUUCCUUGGCACAUCCAUCUCUAAUCGUUCGCUGCUUCUCCGGUAACUACUAAUUUGGUGGUAGUUUUUUAUUCAGCUCCCCAUAGACGGCGCCAAAAUGUUGAUGCUGAAAUCUGCUCGUCCUUGGCCCGACCAAAUCUUUACACCAACGUUUAUGUUAUCAACCGUGAGGAUGUCAAUUUCUUCUUGUUUCGACGAUCGCUCUAGUUAUUGAAGUUGGAAUUAUCCUUCCUUUUCCCACUAAGCCUGCGUUCACAAAAAAUGGAUUAGAGACGCCGGUGGUUUUGCCGGCGUAAACCCUCCGAUGCCUAAGUUAGCACAAGGUGUUUACGGGAAAACUGUGCAAUUAAGAUUCGAUAAAUUGCUUAUAAUGGGCUCACAAUUCGUAUUGAAAAUGGUCUAGUUUCAAUUUGGCAGAGUUUUCCCUUCUCUCAAUUUUUAUGUCCACUUCUUCAUCGAUUUCUUCCCCUUUUAUAGCCGCUGUCCCACGUUUUCAUUCACCCUUCAUCCCUCCUUUUUCGGGUAGUGGCAGCCCCUCAUGGAACUCUAACUGCUACAUUGUGGGCAAACGUGGGAUCUCGCGUCUCCCUCAACGGUUCUGGGAAAAGCGCAACUAUCGUGAUUCUGUGAGAUCGUGUUCCUGCUCUUUGGGGGAUGGGUAUCGGCUCGGUAUAUGUCUCUGGUCGGUAUACUCUUCUGGCUGGUACUCGUCUCUGGUCGGCCCAUGUUUGUAGAAGGCUCAUUAUCAGUGUUCUACUCGUACCACUCGGUUGAGGUGGUCCACCAUGGCGUGGGGAUGAUGGCAUGGCUGAGCUGGUGCUCUUAUUUACCUAACACAUCUUCCAAAUUGGAAUUCCUGCAUUUGGAUUAACUACUCAGCCGCAGUAUUACAACUAUAUGUAUUAUACGAUAUGAAAGUUAAUGCUACCACAUAAAAAAGGAAACCGAUCGGAUCAAUUAAAAAGUUUUUUUUUUUUUUGGGGGGGGGGAAUAAAAUGCCGCACGUCUCUGUAUCAAUUGGUAGUUAAGGUCCUUUUCAUAAGAAUUUCUACAAGUCCAUAGAAAUUAAAGAAAAAAGGAACUUCAUCUUUUCCCCAUAUUAUUUAAGGUAUUUCACACUUCCCCCUUAGUAUUUUCAAAAUUUGCAUACUGUUAUUGCGUCUAGAGGAUUCCACUUCACUGUAACGAUUCGUCAUUUAUAUCUAGUAUACUUUUGAGUUACACCAAAAAAAGAAAAAAAGAAAAAAUCGACGUCUAAAAAGAAAAACUAACUUUUAGUCUAAAAAGAAAAACUAACUUCUAUAUUAUAUUAUCUAUUACUUAUUUAGGUCUCAAAACUAAUAUUCUGUUUGGCUUCUAAGAGACAAUUGCUCUAAAAUGAAAGUUUUAGUUAUUAAUGGAAAAUUCGUGGGUGUUUGGUAAAGCUAAACCACUGGAUGUCAUAAAAGUUCUUUUUUUUUUAUUCUCAUUUUGGAGUAAACUUAUCAAUAAAUAAUUGUGAAAAAUAACCAAUUUAAAAGGCUAACUGGGAAAGCGUUUACAAAUAUUAUGACUUGUAAUCGCAGCUAAAGCUGUUUGUUCGGAUUUUCAUUUUUCAAUUUAAAGAGUUAUAAUGAUUAAUGAAACCACUAUAUGAUGAUUAUGGACAAAUUAAAGCUGCUUGAACACUACCUCUCAUCCGCUUUCUGCAGGUGACGCAAUUGUCAAUUUCACCAGUCUCCAAAUCUUCUUUGUUAUUGCGGUUAACGUAAUCGUCAUCAUCAUACGUUGGAAGACCUGCAAUUAGAAUUAAAAUUGUAACAGCAUGCACCGAAGUCAACUGGACUAUAUAUCCCCUUAGAGAUGGAACUAUAUAUAUGUGUAUAUAUAAUUACUAUAUAAAAAAUACUAAAGAAAUUGAAGGCUGAUAGAAUAUUGACAGGAAUAAUGGUAUAUCAAGUUGGGCUUACUACAUGGUAAUCUCGGCCAGAUGUACCCUUGUUUUUGUUGAAUUGUUCUUUCUUAAUAGUAAUGUUCAGUGAAGGACCUCUUAAGUUAUUAAGUUAAUUGCCAACACAGUAACCCCGAACGGAUGUAUUUACACUUCAUUAAUCUCUUUCAUAUGGUUUUUGUAUCCACGAAAGCAAGAAAUAAAUGAAUAUAUUCACGUACAAGAAGAGACAAGACUCGUCCAUAUAUCCGCGGUCUUCGAAUAACUCUUGAAAGCAGAUGGCAUUAGAGCUAGUAGUUGAAGACAUGUCAAGCCAUCAGGGCCCUUGGACGUUAGUUUGUUUGCAAGGCUUGAGUCGUGUUUAAGUAACCAAAUAGCAGUGUCUGUACGUAUUCAUGCAAGCAGAUUCAUUAAUUAGUUAAUUAAGAAGAUAAAUGAUAAGUUUUUUUAAACUUUAAUUUAACACUUGAUCUGUAAAUGAAUAGAUGAGAGAUUUAUUAAUUAAUUACUACAUAUUACCGAAGUGUUGGCCAAGGACAGCCAUAUGAAGAACGGUCUUGUCAUCAUUUCCAUAGAAAUGGUGAAGUAAGUCGCCAACUUGCUCAGUCAGAUUUGCAACACUUUAGUUUUCCCAAGAGCAGCAGCCCUGUAAACUGGGGUUUCCCCCAAACCGUUUUUAGCUUCAAUUUGAUUUUUGUACGCAUCACCAGACUUUCUGGAAAAGUCAACCAAAACCCUGGCCACGUCGAAGUUUUCGACGAUGGCCGCUUCGUGAAGACCGGUGUUUCCAAACGCAUCUUUUUGCUUCAAAACUUCGAGUCUGUUCUCCGGUUCUAGCCUUUCGAGCAAUUCCUGGAUCAGCUGAGGGUCUUCCAUGGCCGCUGCAACGUGAAUUGCUGAGUCUCCAUUGACCGUCCUGUAAUCCAACAACUCUUCAGGUCGUUGACGAAAGUAAACCAAGAAACCUUGACGGUCUUCAUUUAAGGCCAUUCCAUAAGGAUCCAUCUUUCUCUCUCUCACCCACACUCUUGAAUAUAUAAGCUUUAAUGCAUCAUUGUUGAAGUUCUAAACGAAGUUAUCAAAUUGACACAAUCACUUUGCAUUUAUAUUAAUAGAGCUAUAUUAAUUAUAAGAAUAAAAUAUAGGUGAAGUUUAUCCUUGGUUCAGGCAGAAGAAUAGAAUAUAUUAUAUCCAACAGCUUUGGCGGGUCCUAAUUGCUUUUGCUGCGAAUAUAAUAAUCACAUUUAUUCUACAGCUUCUGCCUCCAUUGCUUUUGAUUUCCGCGAAUAUAAUAAUUACAUUUAUUCUAAAGUGUUAAAAUACCUGAAAAUUUUGACACUUACGAUUUCUCCACCCGGGUUUUUUUUUAUAAAAAAAUCAUCUUUUUUUCGCCUUGACGUUAACGAAGUUGGAAUUUGUUAGGAAAUGCUUGCAAAAUGAAAGUUCUGCUCUUGUAAUAUAAACAAUGUCGGAUUUGGACGUUUAAUAUCAGAAUAUUUUGAUUUGCCCCAAAACAAUUUCUAAUUUCCUUCUUGCAUGUUUUUCGACAUCGUGAAAUACAUUAACCUUAAUCUUCAAUUUUUAUUUCAUAAUGACAUAAUCCAAAAGUUUGAGGAUUCAUUUGAUUUGUGAUUCAAAAAUAUUUUUCAAAACUCAAAACUCAAAACAGAAUCUAAAAAAUUGAGUUGAAGUUUUAAUAUUAUCUGUUUAUUUUUAACAUUUAUCCAAUUCUCUUCCCUAUUAGCGGGGUCGAAAAUUAACCAACUUAAAAAGCCAAACUGACAAGAUGUGUACAGCUGAGCUUUCAAAAAGCUAGCCAAAACAAAUACAGCCCAAGUACAAUCGAGAGUGUUGAGAAGUGAACACAAAUCUGGAAUUGUGGUUGAAUAUGACAUGUCCGUUUGAUGUUUCGAGACUGGAUGAUAUGUCGGUUGUGUGGCACAAGAGAGCCGUAUGACAAGCCUGGUUGAUCAGCCAAGUAAUUAAGUUAAGCACGUGCUGAGGCACACGACUUCACUUAUUCUAAACGGCAGAAGAAGGCAGCGUUUUGGAUGCAGUUACUACACGUGUCUUGAGGCUGGUUUAAACGGCUGGUAAAGCUGUUAAAGAAAGCGGAAAAUUCUGGGUUUGUUGGGCUGUUACGCUGGCUUCUGGGGGUUGUUUCUAGAGCAAUCUAGGCGUGUAUAUAAGGCUUGCUCAAGUGUGUAACAGUUUCUCAGAUUACUUGUAUCUUGUAAACACCAAAUCAGUAAAAGCUCUUUCUCUUUUUCACAGUGGAUGUAGGUCAAUUGGUGGCUGAACCACUUAACUCUUUUGUGUUCGUGUGUGAUUGUUUCUGCUUUCUUUAAGCUUGUUAUCUAUUGAUUCGAAUUGAUGAUUUCACAAAGCUUUAGUUGGUCAUAAUUAGUUCUUGGAUUAAAGCUAAGUCAAGUGAAUCUUGGGGGAUUAAGAUCGAUUCUUGACUGGUUUUGGUCCAACAGAGAGUCGUAUGUGUAAGUUGGUUAUGACUUGUAACCGUAGCUAAAGUUGUUUGUUCGGGUUUUGAUUUUCGAAUUUAGCGUUAUAAAGAAGCCACUAUUUCAUGAUUAUAAACAAAUAAAAGCUGCUCUUUCGCCAUUACUCUUCUCUGCCUGGCUGAUGCGAUUCUGCAAUCCUACCUGUCUUCAAAUCUCUUUUAUAAUUGUAGUCAACGAUAUCCUCAUCCAGAUACGUUUGGAAGACCUGCGAUUAAAAAUGCGAUUGAAUUAGAUUAGUUCUAAUGAUGUAGACCUGCAAGUAUUUAUUUAUUUAUUUUUAAAUUUCACUUCAUCGCGUAUAUGUAUAAAUGCAAAUUAAAUCAUAAUUAUUUCUCCUAAUUAAUUUGGUUAUUGUUUCCACUGCAAAGCCAUGCACCUAAGUCAACUGGACCAUAUAUCUCAUAAGAGAUGAAACUAUACGUACAUAAUUAAUGUAUAAAAAAUGCUAAAGAAAAUGAAGGUGAAUAGAGCUUUGACAGAAAUAAUAGUAUAGUAAAUAGGGGUUUAUUAUGUUAAUUAAUUGAUUUUUAAUUAAGUCUAAGUCGCUAAUCUCGGCCGGGUGUACCACUGUUUCUGUCAAAUUUUUCAAUCUUACUCAUGAUAUAUAAAUAUCAUGCAUAUGUUUUUCAUAAGAGAACUGAUAUUCAGUCAAAAUACUAACAAAAAUAAAGUAAAUCCGGCCAGGUUUACAUAGUUAAAUGCCAACAUAGUAACCCUGGCCAGGUGUAUAUAUACUGUAUUUGUCAGCGUUUAAGUCUAUUUUAUCAUUUUUUUUCUCCAUGAAAGGUAGUAAUUAGUUUAUAUAUCUGCGUAUUAAGAAUGUAUGGACAAGACUCGUCCAUAUCUUCAUGCGCUUUGUAAUCUUGAAGAUAAUAAUAAAUUUUUAUACUCUUGAUCUAUAAAGAAAUAAAUUCAUUAAUUUAUGUAUAUAAAUUCACCAUUAAUUACUCGUUUCUAAAAUGCAGAUUGAACCAGAGAUUUAAUUAUUAUUACCGAAGUGCUUGGCAAGGACAGCAAUAUGAAGAAUGAAGAUAUUAUCCCAACAAAUCUUCAGUUGUUAGUUGAGCAAAGUAAUCCAAGAAGCCAUCAUCACAUUCUCUCAUUAAGGCCAUUCCAUAAGCAUCUUCCUUCGUUAUCCUCAUCUCAUCCAUAAACAUAAGCGCCAUCUCGCUUCUCUCUCUCACUUGUAUAAUUGAUACACUGAACAAGCUGUGUUCUUCGAUUUCCUUAAGUUUAAUUGUCUCAAUAUAAGUUGGCAUAAUCACUUUGCUUAAUUUCUUAAUGAAGCUCAAGCAUUAUAAGAAUAAAAUAGAGAUAAAGUAUUUAACCUAUCGGGUUCAUAAAAGGAAUAGAACAAAUUAUUUCAACGACUUUUGUCUGCAUUGCUUUUUCAUCGAAUAUACAUAAUAACCACCAAUUCACCAUAUUCUCAUAACGUAAAGGCGCUUGUGCUUUGCCUAAGCCUUAAGGUUUUUGCUAUUUUAUAAAGAAAUCAUGACCAUUAUGGAUUACAUUGAAAUGACCUGCCCCGAACUAUAGGGAUGAGUCUAUUUAGUCUCAUCAAACUGAAUAGAUAAUAAUCUAAUUAGCAGAGAUUCUGCCGAAAAUUUGAUAAAGUUUUUUUUAUAAAUAUAACACUUGGAGCUUGUAAAUAUGUAAUACAAGUACUCUCAAAAUAAAUUAAUAUACAAGCAACUUCAAGGAUCAACAUUCUCAGUGAAAAUACUGAAUUAUUACCUAAGAUAUCUCUAGAGUAUCGAAAGAUUAUAUUAGAACUAAUAUUAAUAUACAUUAGUUUAUUCUUAAUCCCAAAAGAAUAAUACAACAAAAUUUAUACAAUCUAAAAAGAAAAAGAUGAUUUGGAUGUCCUAACAAAAAAAGUCAUCUAUAUUUUCUAAUACCAUCACGUGACUAAAACUUAAAAUAUAUCUACAAUCGUUGGGUCGAUUUGGUGUACCUGCAACCUCUUAUUGUGGGGGGAAGGGGGGAAUAUAAUAAAACGAAAUGAGUAUAAAAUUCAUUGAGCUCAGUGAGAGAUAUUAGUUUUUUUUUUGAAAAAUAAAUUUACUAAAAAAAAUAAUUUAAUCUUUCUUUGAACCAUCCCAUCAAAAUAUCAUAAGAAUUUAAAUAAAUUUAUUUAAUUUAAAUCAUGCACUGAUAUAACAAUAAUACAUAAUACUGCAUAAAAUCAAGGAAAUCAUAACACUUAUAAUAACAGAGAGUGAAUGCCGAAAUUAUGACUAAACAAGUACCCAUGAGAAAUAAUCUUGUCAUAUCCUAACCUCAACGGACGGGUAAUGAUUUACUAUCUAGAUACUAUCAUGCCCUCGGGCUACACGAAUAGACAGUGAGUUGCCAUCUCAUAUCUCAUAAUAUCUGUACAUGCAUAAUCUAAUCCCCAAAGGAUAAAAACACCCAAGCACACAGCUCAAAACCUUUAUGUGUAUUUAGACGGGCCCCAAAAGCCUGUAUCUCAUCUGUAUCAUCUGUAUCUGUAUUAUUGUUAUCAUCAUAUCACAUGUAUAUGCCCCCAAAAGGCAGAAGUGCCUCGAAAUAAAUUUUGUUCACGCAUUGAUAUUUUAUUAAAAUGUUUGGUUAAUGAUUUUUCCUAUUGAUUUUGAAUAAAUUAUGAUAGUAUUUUAAAGGCGAGAAAUGUAUUUUUAGAUGUGAUAAUGAAAAGAAAAUGGAUUUUAAGUAUGUUAAAUAGAAAAGAAACAAGAUUUAUAUUAUGAUUAUAUGUUUAUGUAUAUGCGUAUAAAACGUUGUUUGUAAAAUCAUUGGACAAUAUCCUUCCUCGGUUACAGUGAUACAGAUAUAAUGAGGCUUUUAGAGCCCGUCUGAUCACAUAUAAAGGCUUUGGGCCGUGUGUUCAGAACAUUUAAAAUAUUUUAUUUCGCAAACAUAUUUUACUAUCAUAAUUAACUAUGAAAAUAAGUUUUGUAUAUUUUUUUCACAGUGACGAUUUUUAGAUUCGGUUAUCGCCCAUGUUCAAGGACUGGUUCUCACUUGCAGGUCUUUCUAAAUUAAGGAAAUGACAUAAUUAUUUUCCGUAAAUCGAAAUUAGGACUAAAUUUAUGCAAUAAACUCGAAACGAACAUUUAUCCAUAAUUUACAACUUUCGUGUUGAUAAAAUUACUAAAAUACCAUCGAAUCCGUAAAUCAUUAGAAUACUUUGAAAUUGUAAAUCACUACAAUACCCUUGAAAUCGUAAUUACAUCAAAUCCUCAAUUUCAGAAAUUAUUAAAAUCUAUAUUGGGUCAAAAAUUACAAAAUCACCCUCAAAAUGUGAAAUUACCGAAUUGCCCUCGCUAACGGUAACUCGGAAGAUCAAGUGUGAAAUUUUCAGCCACGAUGAGUCUAAUGGUGCCUGCAGUGACCUCCCACGUGUGGAGACGGUGGCAGAUCGAAGUCCCAAAGCCGUGAGCUUUCCGGCGGCCGAUCGACAGCAAUCCGGCCGUUUCGGGUGGCGGGACUGGUCGGAAAAUGAUGAGGAUGAGCUAAAGAUCAAGAUCCAGGCAGUGGCGUCAUCCAAAACUGGCGGAAUCGACAACGAGAAGAGGUGGGUUUUGCCGCAGCUUUUCGAGCUUCAAAAGGCGGCGUUCCGGUCAGUUUUCGGCGGCGAGGGUGGUACAGAAACGAUGGCCGUCUUCCAAGCUUCAAAUCGGUACCUUGAUCGGCCGGAGGGGGUCGGAAUUGCGAGAUAUGGCCGGGUCGAUUUUGUGUCAAACGGGUCAGGUUUUCCGGGUCGGUUUGAUAGCUUCCUCCCUCCCUCUCUCACACGUGUGGUCUCUUCCUGUCCUUCAGGCCUUUUAUUUAUUUAUUUAUUAUUAUUAUUUUCUUAACCGCUUUUUUUUUUUUCACAUAUGUUACGUACAUAAUUUGGAAGGUGAGGAGUUCGUGAUUUAUGAUGAUUUCUUCGGAAGAAGAUGGAUACGUAACUUAUGAUGUUUUUUUUACCAUAGUUCGGAAGAUGAUGAAUCCAUAAUUUAUGAUGAUUUUUUAAUAUAUAUAUAUAUAUAUAUAUAAUUUUGUUUUAAGAUAGAGAGGUUGCGAAGCCCAAAUCAAUUUUUAAUUACAAUCUUAUCAAAAACUAUUAAAUUAAUGGUAAUGAGACCGAUUUACCGUACAAAUUGCCAACAACAUAAAUGGUGAUUGAUUUGUUACUUUUAUGCAAUUUUGUAUAAACUGAGCCUUGGAGCCAUAUGAUACAAGAAGAGUCCGAAUUAUUAUUAUUAUUAUUUCAAUUGUUUCUUAAAUUCGUGGAUGAAGCUGAAUGUUUUUUUUUUUUUCCUUUCUUGAUGAAAAAUAUAUUCUUUGGAUAGUGACUUUCAUUCUGAUCUAAAUUUUCAUUUGAGCAACAUGUGGGUGUAAGUUGUCAAUAUAAUGCAAUGAUGAUUCUAUAAAAAAAAAAAAAAAAAAUUCAUAUUGAUGAUAAUGAGUAAACAGAUAGAUCAUACAUUCAUUAUUAAAUUUGAAAUACACACAGUACAUUAUUAUUAUUUGCCACACCAAACCCAUCUUUUACAUGAAGUAAUACGACACACCCAAAGGAAAAAUACAUGUGAGAACAAAUGAGAUAAAUAGCGUUAAUUAGAGCUGCAUUACAUAUAAGGAUUGUCAUCAUAUCAUGCGUACGUAUUAAUUAUUAACGCCAAUGCGUCCUCUUCUUCUUCUUCGAAGGUCCCAAGUAAUCCUUAAAAUUAGCCGCAAAAUUAGCAUAGACAGGAAACGCCAUGAGUGCUAAAACAACCACUGGAAAGAUAGCAGCAGCGUAGAGAGUGGCGGUCCAUUUCUUCCCCAAACGAAUGAUGAGCAGAAGUGAAGCCGAGAACGUAAGCAUGCUUGUUAAUACAGAGAAGAAGAGUAAAAUGAAGCCAGUCGUCAGCUUGAACGGAAGGUUGCUAAGGAAAUCAGAUGACUCACGUGGCGAGGUGAGGAUAGAUAGAAACAUCACAAUGGAUGACAAAGAUAAGGACAGCGAGGCAACGUCCGUUACGGUAAAAACGUAGAAUAGUGGUGACCUAAGGAAAUGGGGAAACCCCUUUUCAUUGUUACCUCCAGGUAUCGUGAAGGCAGCCGUAAAGACGACGGUCGCGAUUAGGAUUGCCAGCACGGAGCAUGCCUGAGCGGUAUCUUUGAUCCAUUCUUGUGCUUUCCUAAGUUGAUCUUCAUGUGUUAGAUUGAAGAGGUCACUUGCAGUGAUGUACUUUUUUUUGUCGCGGUGCAUGAUAUAAUGGCGAGGCAUUAUCUCUUUUACACGCUGCAUAUGCACACACACAUAUAAUGCAUGGAGUCCAUCCGAAAAUAUAAUAUUAGAGUAUGCUUUUAUUUAUAUAAACACCAUGAAUAAAUUAAAUGUACUUGGGGGACAAAAUUAAAUAUUAUCAAAGGGCUUACCUCGAACCACUGUAACUCCUCCUGAAAUUGGAGAUUAGGACCAGGGAGGAUUCCUUGCUUAUAAUGUUUCAUGUCUGCGACAUGGUGCAAUAACGUAUAGCCUUUUUUGUCAAUUCUGGCAGCCCAUUUGGGCACGUACAGUUGCAUUUCCUUCAUGAUGAGUUCAAAGAGCUUAUGUUGACGACGCUUUACGGCCACAUGUAAUAUAUUCUGCCCUUUCCGCUCAUUCACGUCAGAUAAUAUUGCUUGAGGAUCUCGUUGGAGUAUCUCCUCCAAAAUUUCUGUUAUUCCGUUGCUAGCUGCAAAGCGUAAUGUCCUAUCCUCUGUUGUGUCGUUUUUACGAUCAUCAACUUCUUCCUUAUUUCUUUCUUUUUCCCUCAGCACCUCGAUCAAUUCUUCAGCUGAAAGAUCAACAAGUUUUUUUCCGAAGAUGUCCCUUCCUUUGCCGAAUCCCAAGGAAAUUGCGGAAAUUUCUUGUUUCUCUUUCGUUGUUUCAGCCUUUUGGGGAUUAGAGGAAGGGUUCAACCUUUCUAUUUCAACCAGCCUUUUGACAAGUACAACCGCAUCUUCAUGCAUUUUCUUUUCCUUCCAGAUUUCCUCAAUCCAUGAACAUCCUGGUCAUGCAUGCAUCAACAUCUUAUUAAUUUAUGAAAAAAAUUUUGCACGCAAACGGCAAAACCGUUCAUCAAAUGAAUUGAAGUUAUUAGACAUUUCCCCUGUACUUCUAAUGUGUCUCACUUAUGUAGAAGUAAUUAAUGAGAUUAUUAUUGGUCGAACCUUUAAUCACUUGCCUCCAAAAACCAAUGCACAUCUUCCGAAUUAAAAUUCCUGCAUUUUGAUUAACCUGAUCAGGAAAAAUUUUACAACUACAUGUACAUAUUUAUGAUAUGAAAAAUUAAUGCUAACACAGCGAAAAGGAAACCGCUCGGACUCAAGUUAGAAGUGAGGCGGUUUAAAUAUGAAGAGACAUGUGGAUGCCAUUUAGUUGAGAUGGUACAUAUUUUUGUCUGUAAUUUGUAGUUAAGGUCCUUAUCAUAAGAACAUGUAUGAAGUGUUGGCCGAGGACAGCCAUAUGAAGAAUUGUCAUAUCAUCUUUUUCUCUAUGGGAAUGAUAACUUGAGUCACAAAAUUGCUCAGUCAAGAUUUGCAGCACUUUAGUUUUUCCAAGAGCGGCAGCCCUGUAAACUGGAGUUUCCCCCAAACGAUUUUUAGUCUCAAGUAGAUCCCUGUACGCAUCACCAGACUUUCUGGAAAAGUCAACCAAAACCCUGGCCACGGCGAAAUCUUCGACGACGGCGGCUUCAUGAAGACCAUUGUUUCCAAACUCAUCUGUUUGCUUCAAGGCUUCAAGUCUGGUCUCCGGUGUUAGCCUUUCGAGAAAUUCCUGGAUCAGCCGAGGGUCUUCCAUGGCCGCUGCAAUGUGAAUUGCGGAGUCUCCAUUGGCUGUCCUGUAAUCCAACAACUCUUUAGCAGGCCAAUCAGCAAAGCACUCCAAGAAGCCUCGACAAUCUCCCUUCAAGGCCAUUCCAACAGGAUCUCCCAUCGCCCUCUCUCUCUCUCUCUCUCUCUCUUUCUCACUUGUAUAAUUGAUGCACAGAACAAGCUAUACGUGUUCUUCGAUAUCCAUAUAAUUAAUUACUUCCAUCGCCGUCCCUUAUAUAGAAGUUCUAAACGAAGUUGGCAUAAUCACUUUGCCUAUUUUACUAAUAAAGCUCGAGCAUUAUAAGGGAAAAAAAAAAAAGUUCUAAAGUGACAAAACGGAAAAGAUGAUAAAAGAACAAAGUUCUGAAAAGAGAAGUGAUUAUUGAUGAAAAUUUGUUUACAUUGUACGGUAUUGUUCCCUUAAAUUCAUAGAAUGUGAAGUUACCAAAAGAGCAAAGUUAGAAGUAAAAUAAAAUUAUUAUGUUUGAGAUAAAAGAGAAAAAGAAUAAGAAAAAGAAAACGCAUGCAAUUAAAAAUGAUAUUUUUUGUUGAUUCAAGAGGCCAAUCACCUCUGAAAUGAAAUUAACUUUUGUCUUUCUAUGUGUUUGGGAACGAUAUAUUAUAUAUGCAAAAACGAACAGUUGUAUCUAAAAUUACAUUUGGGAAAGUAUAAAGAUCACGUUCCACGUCAUAACGUUUGUUAACAAAUGAUGUCAAUAAAAAGAAUAGAAUAUAUAAAUUAUUUCCAGGCUCAAGUUACAGCUCCGAGAAGGUGUAGGGUCCAUGUUGUACAUCAUAAGGUUUGUUAAUCAAUGGUGUCAGAAAAAUAGAGUAGAAUAUAUAUAAUUUAUUUCCACAACUUAAUUUUGUCUCCAUUGCUUUUUCCGCGAAUAUAUAUAAAAAGAGUGGGAGAGAUCCUAACCCUUACUUUAAUAACAUGGUGAUUAUUGUAAACGCGAUUGUGCUUUGACUAGACUAAAGCCGUUUGCGAUUCUACAUGUUAUCAUUAUUUCUCGUCAUGGAGUGGCAGCCAAUCAUUAAAAAAUAAAUAAAAAUGUAAAAAUAUUUGGAAAGUUUAAACCUUAUGAUAGAAUUUGGCCUUAUUUUGUAUAGAUGUGUUGUGAAAAUCAACUGUAUACUAUACUGUAAAUAUAGCUUUGGAAAAAUAUCUUUACAGAUUUUUAUCGUAAAAUCAACUUAACUUCUAAAUCAUAGCAGUAACUAUUUAUUAAAUACUUUAUUGAUCUAUUUUAAAAGUUUCUACUGCUCAAUUACAAUACCAAACAAGAUGUUGAUCUAAGUUGGUUCCAACCACAAUACCAAAUAGGAACUUACAUUCUAUCAGUUAAGUCAUUAAGUUUAUUUAUUUUUUUAACUUAUUAAAAAUUUUCAAUCAUUAAGCUAUUAAGCCAAUUUUCUUAGGUUCUUAUUUAAUCUAAAAAGUCUGAAUAAUGUUAUUAAAGAUAUUAUUUAAAAUAUUCCUAUCCAACUAAUUUAUUUUCAUCUUUACCUAAAUAUAUAAAACUUACUAAUUAGCAUACUAUUCAUCUUUAUAACUUGUGAGAAUAUAGUAUAUUUUUUAUUUUCUUCAAAUUAGCAUUAUCUAUUUUUAUAAUUUUUUAUGAGUAUUUUUUAUAUGAAACACCAUAAAGUGCAAUAGAAUUGAUUCACACGUUCUAAUCUAGAAUAUUUAAGGGUUGUAUUCACCUUAACAUGAUUCAUGUUAUGAUAGAAUAAUAUCAUAUUUUUGUUCAAUGAGAUUUUAUUAUUUAUUUGACAUUUGAAAUUUAUGAGCGUACAAAUGUAAAAGUAUUGAUUUUUAGAUUUUUAAAUUAAAAAAAUAAUUAUUGUGAAAAAAUUCAUAUUAAAAAAAUAUGUUAUUUGGAUUUAAACGUUUAGCUCUAUUCAAAAUUCAGACUAAUUUGGGUCUAUUCAAAUUUUAAAUAAAAAAAAAUGUCACCUAAGUAAAUUUAUGAUGAUACUUAAGUAAAUUUAUAAUGAUACAAGCAUAUUAGUAUUUAAAAAAAAUCAGCAUCUUCUUUUUUUAAAUAUUACAAUAUAAAUUAAGCUUAUAGAAUGCGAGUGUGAAUGGAAUUUAAAGCAUAUGGCCAUUCUUCGGUAGCUGUCCUUAUCUCGUCCAUAAGUGCCAUCUCUGUCUCUCACGUAGUCACUGUAUAAUUGAGACACAAAACAAGCUACACGUGUUCUUCGAUAUCCUUAAUUUUACUUGUCUUAAUAUAUAUGAGUAGGUUUGAUGCAUCCUUCUACAAAUUCUCUAAACUAAGUUGGCAUAAUUAUAAGAAUAAAAUAAAGUUAGUCCGUCGGGUCAGGAAAAAGAAUAGAAUAAAUUAUUUAAUUUCAAAACAACUUUAAUCAUUCCGCGAACAUAAUAAUCACAUUUAUUCUACCGUGUUCUUCGAUAUCCUUAAUUUUACUUGUCUUAAUAUAUAUGAGGUAGGUUUGAUGCAUCCUUCUACAAAUUCUCUAAACGAAGUUUGUUAUAAUUAUAAGAAUAAAAUAAAGUUAAGUCUGUUGGGUCAGGAAAAAGAACAGAAUAAAUUAUUUAAUUUCCAAACAACUUUUGUCUUUCCGCGAAUAUAAUAAUCAAAUUUAUUCUACCUCUUUUGUCUCCAUUGCUUAAUUUGUCCGCGAAUAUAAUAAUCUCCAUUUUAUUUAAGUAAAGGCGAUUGUACUGUGCCUAAGCGUAAAGCCAUUUGCUAUUUUGGCGGCUACAUGUGUACAGGCCAAUCCACGUGAGAUACUGAUGUUUUGGAAUGAGAGAAUGAAAUUGAGACAGAAUAUAAUAAUAUGUUUAUAUUACUUUGGGAGUAAAUAAUUUUAAAUUAUAAUUUUAUUUUUAUUUAAAGAAUUAUAAUUUAUAAUUAAAAAAUUAAUAAAAAAUAUAUUUAAAAAUAUAAUAAAUAUUUUAUUAUAUUUGUAAAUUAAUAAUAAUUAUUAAUAUUCUUAAUUAUGUAAAUCAUAAUUUUUUUAAUUAAUUUAAAUUUAAAUUAUGUGAAUAAAAAUUAUUAAUAAUAGCAACACAAAUGAAACAUUAUUAUUGAUAAUAUAGUACAAAAUUAAUAUUUUCUUAAAAUAAAAUAUUUAUUAUUAUUAAUUAAAUAAUUAAUUAAUAUUUAUUAAAAUUAAUGUUUAAUAUUAUUAUUUUUAAUGAAUUUAAUUUAUAAAAUAAAUAAAUAUUAUUAUUUAAAAAUAAUAAAAUAUUAUUAUUUCCUUCUGGUAUCAGAGCCAAGGGAAGGAUAGUGUAAAGCAGAUUUGAGUUUUCAUGUUUUAAAAGCUUGUGUUUUAUUUUGAAGUUUUGUUUUUGUGGUGAAUUCUUACUGGUCGUAAGUCCCGUUUUAGGAGAAGGAUUCCGCUGAGGGCUGUAAAUCCAUACCUGUAGCCAUUUUGACCAAACCAAAAAUAGACCAUAGGUUUUAACCAUGGACCCUCCGAUCUGUAGAACAUCAUCAUUUUCUAGCUCUUCUUCUGGGAAGACUAGUGAUUCAAAGCAUGUUGUGAGUUCAGAAGAAUUCAUUAUUGAGAACUUUGAUAAAGCAAUAGACUGUUGGGAACUUCCAAAGAUUUCUAAAGAAAAGAUUUACAAAACAAAAGCACUUGAUAUUUUAAGAAAUGAUUAUGUUAUAAAGACUGAAGAACGCGAUAUAACUAUCGCAAACCCUUUUGAAACAAUUCACUUGUUUUCAGAAAAAUCUUUAAAAAAACUAAAAGAAAAGAAAUUUAAUUAUAUUCAUAUUGGUCUUAUCCAAGUAGGCAUAAAACCCUUGACCAAAGAAGGCCUGGAUACUUCUAUCCUCGCUGUCCUUAGAGAUGGUCGAUUCAUCUCUUUUGAUGAUUCAUUGCUAAGUAGCAUCGAAUCUAGUCUCUGUAAAGGUCCUAUUUCCUUUGAUUGUUAUCCGAAUAUAACAAUUUCUCUUAAAGACAAAAAUAUUUUGGAAAGCAUGAUUUUACAAAUCAAAACCCAUAACUAUAAUAUGAUUAAAGGUUCUGUUCGAGUUGCAUUAAUUUUCAAAAUCUCAUACAAAGCAAUGAUUUCUGCAUUUAGUACCCAACAUAAAUUCCAGUCAAAAAGAGAUGAAACACUUCUCUUACAGACUGAUUUGUCCAGGGCUAACACAGUCAUUCCCAAAGCAAUCCAAUGGAAAGACAUCAAUCUUCCAUAUGAAUGGAUUCUUGAAGGAGCUGCCCCACCGGCGAUUCCAAAACAACUUGAGCCUAAUACAGAGUUGCAAAAUGUGACUCAGUAUUCAGAUGGUAGAGUUAAAUUGUCCUUCAGAAGAUCUAACUCAACUAGAUUUUCUGAUAAAGAGUCGUGCUCAAGUAUUCCUUCACUAGAAAUGAAAUUUACAAAAAUCCCCUCAAUCAUAAACCAACCUAGGUUUUCCACUUCGGAUAUUCCUAGUUCUUCAAUAAGAUCAGUUGACUACGCCACUAGUAUUCCUCAUCCGAUAUAUACUAGUAGUCAUCAUGGACAAAGACAGGAAGAGAAGGAACCUUCUCCUCCAACCUCUCCUACGUUUUCUGCAGUCACAGAAAAUGUCAUAAAUGUCCUUUUAAAAGAAUUUAUUUUAGACAAAAAUCUUUUACAUAAUGAUUUUUACUCUGAAUCUAAUAAAGAAAAAAGGUUUUGGUUUUUCAAACAUUUUUUAAAUCAAAGAAAAGAAAUCCAACAAGUUUAUUAUGAAUUUGUGAAUCUUCACCAAGUUCAUAUAUUGUUUUUUGAUUGGUUCGAAAUAUAUUCUUCUGAGAACAACAUUGAUUAUCCAUUCAAAGAGUCAAGCCCUAUUACUGUUAGGAAGAAAACCCCUGAGUGGAAACUUUCUGAUAGUGAUAGAACCAUAGAAUCUGAGCAUCCACCUCUUCGGAGUUUAACCGUUGAUCACGGUGAACCUCCUGUCCAAAUUAGGGCAUCACCUUACAGAAUCCCAAAACCCAAUGACACUGAUGCGAAUUUAAGUAGUAUUAUUCAACAGAAUAAUUUCUGUAAUACUAACUUAAACACCAUUGGAAAACAGUUGACUAGGAUAGAAAAUCAGUUCCAGAAGUCAACCAUUACUGUUUCUUUUGUUUCCACUGUUCCAUCAAAAUCGGAUUCUGACAAAAAGCUUAAAACUCCUAUUUUCAAACCUUUUUAGGUUUCGAAAACUAGUCAAAAGCUUGUUCAUGAGUCAAAAUCAGAUUUUGCUAAAGCCAUUAGAGAACAACUAGAUAGAAUUGAAGCUGCUUCAUCCUCAUCUAGUAAAGCUCAAAUAGCUCCUGAUACUCCCCAAUCUAGCAAGAUUGGAGUAUUAGAACAAGAUGACCAAAGUUCUAUAGCCUCUUCUGAUCUCGAAGCCUUCAAAGAAGAACCUAUUCCUAAAGCCAACAAAAUCCAUUGGGAACUUGCCCUUCCCACUGUCAAAUCUCCUCCUGAUUUGACCAUAGACAAUAGACCUAGUGCAUUAAAUCAAUCCCGGUAUAAUGCAUCUUCUGUCUAUGAAUGGAAUAUUGAUGGUAUGUCGGAAUACAAUAUUUUAGGAUUGUUGCAACAAAUGACCAUGGCAGCCAAUGCCUAUAAAACCCAAUCAGGAACUUCGGAUAAGGCAAUUGCAGAAAUCCUUAUUGCCGGUUUUACUGGUCAGCUUAAAGGUUGGUGGGAUCAUCUCCUCACCAAUGAGCAACAAUUAGACAUCCUUAAUGCUAUCCAGAAAGAACAAGAUGCCAUCCCCAUUUUUGAUGAAUUCAAUAAUCCAAUUCAGGAUGCAGUCGCAACCUUAAUUGUUACCAUUUCUCUUCAUUUCAUAGGUGACCCUUCUCACCUUAGAGACAAAAACGCUGAGUUACUACACAAUCUCAGGUGUAGAAAACUUAGUGAUUUCCAGACUUACAAAACCACUUUCUUUACCAGACUCUUCCUUAGAGAUGAUGCAAAUCAUACUACUUGGAAAGAGAAAUUCUUAGCAGGACUGCCUGCCCUUUUAGGUGAAAAGGUUAGGAAUUCCAUUAAAGCUCUUCAUGACAACUGCAUUCCUUAUGAUGAGCUCACCUAUGGUGAACUUGUCAGCUUUGUCAAUAAGGAAGGUUUAAAGAUCUGUCAAGACUUGAAGUUACAAAAACGACUAAAACAGGAGCUUAGACAGUCUAAGCGAGAACUUGGUAGUUUCUGUAAACAAUUCAAUUAUGACCCCUUUAAAGCUUCUAGCUCCAAAGAUUGUAAUGGUAAGUGUUCUUCGAAACCUUACAAGAAACAUUACAAAUCCAAAAGUCAUAGAAAACCCUUUCAUAAUCUUAGAGAAUCUUUUUAUAAGAAACCCUCAAGGCCUUAUAAAAAAUCCAAAUUCCCUAAGAAAAAGGAUUUUAAAGCAGCCAAACCUAAGACCCCUUUCAAUUAUAAAGAAGCCAUAUGCCAUAAGUGUGGUAUAAAGGGCCAUACUGCAAAUUACUGCAGGAUAAAUAGGAAACUUCACGAGCUUGGGCUCGAUGAAGAAACCCUUUCCAAAAUAGCCUCUCUUCUUAUAGAGUCUUCUGACUCUGAGUCUUCCAUGUCGGGAGAUAGUGAACCUUUCCAGGUCGAUGAGUUAAUUGAUUCAGAUACCUCUGCAUCUAGCAGUAGUGAUUCUGAAACAGAUUCGUUUUUAAAGAAAAUCAAUGUUUUGACUAAAGACCAAGAAACUUUUCUUGAACUUGUAAAACAUAUUUCUGAUCCAAAUCUUCAAAAAGAAUAUCUUGAUAAACUUUUGAAAACCUUGGAUUUUAACAAAGUUGAAACCUCUAAAGUCCCAAUUGUUAAAAAGAACUCUUAUGAUCUUACUGAGAUUUUGAAUAAAAAGAAAACAAAGAAAAAUGUUCCUAAUAUUCAAGAUCUUCAAAAAGAAAUAAAAGAAAUCAAAUGUGAGAUUCGUGAUUUAAAAGAAAAAUAAAAAACUGAUUCUGAAACCAUCCAACUACUUUUACAAAAACAGUUGGAGGACAAUUCUGAUAAAGAAAUUGAAUCCGAUGGUAACAAUGAUAACGAACAAAACGUUGGGAACAUCGAAUCUGUCCCUAAUGAUUUUUUAUUUGUUUUAAAACAGGUCACCACAAGAAAGUAUUUAAUUAAAAUAACUUUAAUCUUUUCUAGCGAUUUUGCAAUUGAUGCCAUUGCCCUUUUCGACACUGGUGCAUAUUUAAAUUGCAUUAGAGAAGAUAUUGUUCCAAAAAGAUUUCAUGAGAAUACUAAAGAAAAACUUUCUGCUGCAAAUAAUUCAAGACUUAAAAUCAGUUCUAAAGUUGAAGCUUCUAUUCAUAAUAGUAGUUUUGAAUUUAGAACUUCUUUUGUUCUUACAAAUGAUAUUCAUCAUGCAGUCAUUUUGGGAACACCCUUUAUAAAUCUCAUUACUCCAUAUAUUGUCGACUAUGAUGGUAUUUCUUUCAAAGCAAAAUAAAAAAUUUUUGUUUUCCCUUUUAUUGAAAAACCUAAAACGAGAAAUUUGAAUAUUAUCAAAGCUUGUUCUGUUUAUAAAAAUCACAUAAAUAAUCUUCUCAGGACAAAACAAUCUGAUUUGAUGUUUUUACAAAAAGACCUAAAUUUACAAAGAAUUGAAAGCCAAUUAAGUAAUGAUUUCAUACAACAGAAAAUUUCUGAUUUUAAGGAUCUUAUUACAAAAGAAAUUUGUGUUGACUUACCUUCUGCCUUUUGGAAUAGGAAACAGCACAUGGUCGAUUUACCCUAUGAGACUUCUUUUAAUGAGACACAGAUACCCACUAAAGCUCGUCCUAUUCAAAUGAAUAUGGAUUUAGAAAAACAUUGCAAAGAUGAGAUAAAUGACCUAGUUUCUAAAGGACUCAUUGUAAAAUCUAGAUCACCUUGGUCUUGUGCAGCCUUCUAUGUUAAUAAAAAUUCCGAAAUUGAAAGAGGCACACCUAGACUAGUAAUCAAUUACAAACCCUUAAAUAAAGCUUUAAAAUGGAUUAGGUAUCCCAUACCUAAUAAAAAAUAUUUACUUCAAAAACUUCAUUCUGCCUUUGUAUUUUCAAAAUUUGAUAUGAAAUCAGGGUUUUGGCAAAUCCAAAUUAAACCCAGUGACCGUUAUAAGACAGCUUUUACUGUUCCAUUUGGACAGUACGAGUGGAAUGUCAUGCCUUUUGGUUUAAAGAAUGCACCUCCGGAAUUUCAAAGAAUAAUGAAUGAUAUUUAUAAUCCUUUUUCCGAUUUUUGCAUAGUUUAUAUUGAUGAUGUUUUGAUUUUUUCAAAAUCUAUUGAACAACAUUUUAGCCAUUUAAAGACUUUUUACUAUGCCACCAGGAAGGCUGGUUUGGCAGUCUCAAACUCCAAAGUCUCUUUAUUCCAAACAAAGAUAAGAUUUCUUGGUCAUCACAUUUCUAAAGGAACUAUUGCUCCUAUCGAGCGAUCUCUUAAUUUUGCAGAUAAAUUUCCUGACAAAAUCCUUGACAAAACCCAAUUGCAAAGAUUUUUGGGAAGUUUAAACUAUGUUCUCGAUUUUUGUCCAAAUAUUAACAGGAUUGCAAAACCCUUGCAUGACCGCUUAAAAAAGAAACAUGUUGCAUGGAUUGAUGAGCAUACAAAAAUCAUUAGGACCAUCAAAGCAUCCGUUAAAAGCACCCCCUGUUUAUUCCUUGCAAACCCUGCAUUGCCUAAAAUUGUUGAAACUGAUGCAUCAGAUUUAGGUUAUGGAGGCAUACUAAAACAAAAAGAAAAUAACAAAGAACAAAUUGUACAAUAUGUUUCUGCCCAUUGGAAUGAUUGCCAAAGAAACUAUUCUACCAUCAAAAAAGAGAUUUUAUCAAUUGUUUUAUGCAUCUCAAAAUUCCAAAGUGAUUUAUUAAAUCAAAAAUUCUUACUUAGAAUUGAUUGCAAAGCUGCAAAACAUGUUUUAGAAAAAGAUGUUCAAAACAUUGCAUCAAAACAAAUUUUUGCACGUUGGCAAGCCAUUUUAAGUGUUUUUUAUUUUGAUAUUGAAUAUAUUAAAGGUGAUACAAAUUCUAUUCCUGAUUUUCUAACUCGGGAAUUUCUUCAAAACAGAUAAUGCCUCCAAAAACCAGAAGAGACAAAGGAAAAGGGAUUGCCAAUGACCCAGAACCUAAAGUCACACCUAAAGACUCCUCUCCUCCAAAAGAAAAGCUAUUAUCAUCUGCCAUGCCAAUCAAAUCUUGGAUUGACAUGAUUCAAGAUGAAGAAGCAAAAUCUAAAGCCCUCUCUACCCAUGAGCAAGUAAACCAAUGGAUGAAAUCCAUUUCAAAAUCUCCUGAACUUAUGCUUGGCCUACAAAGCAGCCUUUCUCAAAGCCAAUCACUUUCAAAAGACAUUUCUGAUAAAGAAAGCCCAAAAGAAAUUGCAAAGCCCAGUUCUCAAAAAAUUGUUGUUUCGGGUGAAAGCUCAUCUUCACAGAUCGUUCUUUCACAACCUUCACAAAAGACUUCGGUUUGGUUUGAUAAAACCCAUUCCCAAAAUAUUUUAACAAUAGAAGAUGGGUUUUACCAUUAUGAUCCAUUUCAAACCCUUACAAAGUUUUUCCCCCAAGGCUGGUUUUUUAAACCAUGGGAUUUAACAAAACCCCAGCCUUAUUAUCAAAGUAUUUUAGAAGCCACUGAAUCUGUUAAAUUCAAACAUUUUUUUCUCAGUGACUCCCAUUCUGAGCCGGCUUAUUCAACGGCUACAAUUUUAAAAGUCUUGAGCCCAAAACAGUGGGGUGAUCUACUCCACAAUAAAAAAAGAUUUCCCUCCAAUUUUCAAAUGCGUUUACCACAUUGUUUGACUUUCUCCUACUGGGAUUAUCAACAAGCCUGGUAUAACACAUUUUUCUUACAAAACCCCAAAAAAUCCCAUUCAUGGUUAUUUUUCUUCAAUUCUAAAAUAACCGUGCAAAGUCUUCCAAAUUGGUUUAAACAAUGGUGGAAUUAUUUUGGCCCAAUUCCUGAAAUUCUCACACCAAAUGCCACCCAUUGUUUAACUCUUUUCAAAGCCCAUUAUACCCCUUCUGAAUCAGAGAGAAGAUUUCCUCCCUUUCUCUGUUUCUGUACAAAUUUCUUCCUUCCUUGGGUAUGGAUGUGGAACCUCAAAUACCAUAUUCAUGAUGCCCAAACUGUUUUACAAAGAUCAUUUAAAGUCAAAUGGUGGUCAAAAUUUGAUGAACAGUCAAAAUUGACCGAUAACCUUGUUCGUAACUGGCUUUCUGCCAAAGGAUAUCUCCAACCAGCCAUUAAACAAUCCAAAGCCCAACAAACCUUUUUGAGCCAAAAAUCCAAAGCCCAAUCUCUCCUUGCCAGUGCUAAAACUGAAGAAGAAUACUUCAACGUGAUGCAACAACUUCUAGCCACAAGGUCAGAAACAUCUGUUGCAAGCUCCUCUUCCAGCACCUCCGGCGAUGCAGAACCUUUUAUUUCCCUUGGAGAUGAAAACGAAGAUGAUUGUUUCGGUAUUUUUUCUCCCAUAAAGCAUUAAAGCAUUGUAAAUAAUUAUUUGAUUAUUUACUAAAAAAAAAAAAAAAAAAAGAGAAUAUUUUCCUCGGGUGGUCCUCUGGACACAAGUGAGAGCGCACAUGUCUCUUCACCCGCAUUUAUUUUAAAGUUUCUAAAAUAAGAAAACACUGUAUGUUCCACUGAUCACUGUUUCAAGCAUCCCCGCUCCCGCUACAGUUUAAAGCUACAGCUCCGCUACAGUGCAAAGUCUACUGUGCACUUAAAGAUUUUGUAUAUAAUCUGAAGGAAGACUAAAGACUCCUCAGAUUUUUCGAUUCCUCUCUCUCUCUUCUUCUCUUCCUUCUCUCUUCUUUCUCUCUCUCUCUCUCCUUGGAGACAAAAGAAGUUUUCUGUAUUCAAGGAAUUUUCCUAUAAUCGGUUAAGUUCCUUGUUUUCAGAAUUUUUCUGAAAUCUCGCUUGUAAACUUACAAAGCUGUUGGAUCAAAAGAAAUAAAUGUAAAGCAUUUAAAUUUAAAGCAAUUUCAAUUUCAUGUACAUUUAAAUUUCAGUACUUUAAAUUUCUGCAAUUUACUUUUCUGCAAUUUAAUUUUAUGCACAUUUAAAUUCCAGCAAUUUAUUUCUAAAGCAAUUUUCUUUUCAAAGCAUGCUUGCAGACUGGUCUUUAUCAUAUCUGCCAUAAAAUUUGUACAUUCCUCUGAGGCAAAGAGACCGGAUCUCGAUCCUCAGUUGUAAAUCUUCUCUUCUCCCUCCAUUCCUUCAGAGCACCAUUUCCGGGAUCCGGAUCUGGUACUGUGUAUGUACCCAAGCCUUUAGAUGUAUGUGUUGCUAGGCUUGCUAAAGAAUCUAAUCUAGAUCUGGUAAAAGCACAAUAAAAAGAACCAACCACGUUUAAAGCAACUUAAUUUUAUUUGGUAAAGAAAUAAUUGAUUUUGGUAUAUAAGCUGGACACUCGAGGAUGCGGACUACUGGUCCAAAGCGCUAUUAAAUAUCGGCUUUAAAAUAGUUAAGCCGGAGCGAUUCCUCAGAUAACAACGCUAAGUACCAUAUCAAACAUAAAAUUGACCAACCGCGUUCAACUCUGUUUGAUCAUUGUAUGUUCCAAAGAAUUCCAUAACCAAACUUGGUAAAGCUUAUUUAAAACGAACCAACCACGAUCCAAUUAUUUUAUUAAAGCAAUCAAUAAAGUUUUCAGACGAAAGCACUUCCAUCCUUCGAUCUUGUUAUAUGAGGAAUCGCUCCGGCUUAGCUAUUUUAAAGCCGAUAUUUAAUAGCGCUUUGGACCAGUAGUCCGCAUCCUCGAGUGUCCAGCUUAUAUACCAAAAUCAAUUAUUUCUUUACCAAAUAAAAUUAAGUUGCUUUAAACGUGGUUGGUUCUUUUUAUUGUGCUUUUACCAGAUCUAGAUUAGAUUCUUUAGCAAGCCUAGCAACACAUACAUCUAAAGGCUUGGGUACAUACACAGUACCAGAUCCGGAUCCCGGAAAUGGUGCUCUGAAGGAAUGGAGGGAGAAGAGAAGAUUUACAACUGAGGAUCGAGAUCCGGUCUCUUUGCCUCAGAGGAAUGUACAAAUUUUAUGGCAGAUAUGAUAAAGACCAGUCUGCAAGCAUGCUUUGAAAAGAAAAUUGCUUUAGAAAUAAAUUGCUGGAAUUUAAAUGUGCAUAAAAUUAAAUUGCAGAAAAGUAAAUUGCAGAAAUUUAAAGUACUGAAAUUUAAAUGUACAUGAAAUUGAAAUUGCUUUAAAUUUAAAUGCUUUACAUUUAUUUCUUUUGAUCCAACAGCUUUGUAAGUUUACAAGCGAGAUUUCAGAAAAAUUCUGAAAACAAGGAACUUAACCGAUUAUAGGAAAAUUCCUUGAAUACAGAAAACUUCUUUUGUCUCCAAGGAGAGAGAGAGAGAGAAAGAAGAGAGAAGGAAGAGAAGAAGAGAGAGAGAGGAAUCGAAAAAUCUGAGGAGUCUUUAGUCUUCCUUCAGAUUAUAUACAAAAUCUUUAAGUGCACAGUAGACUUUGCACUGUAGCGGAGCUGUAGCUUUAAACUGUAGCGGGAGCGGGGAUGCUUGAAACAGUGAUCAGUGGAACAUACAGUGUUUUCUUAUUUUAGAAACUUUAAAAUAAAUGCGGGUGAAGAGACAUGUGCGCUCUCACUUGUGUCCAGAGGACCACCCGAGGAAAAUAUUCUCUUUUUUUUUUUUUUUUUUUUAGUAAAUAAUCAAAUAAUUAUUUACAAUGCUUUAAUGCUUUAUGGGAGAAAAAAUACCGAAACAAUCAUCUUCGUUUUCAUCUCCAAGGGAAAUAAAAGGUUCUGCAUCGCCGGAGGUGCUGGAAGAGGAGCUUGCAACAGAUGUUUCUGACCUUGUGGCUAGAAGUUGUUGCAUCACGUUGAAGUAUUCUUCUUCAGUUUUAGCACUGGCAAGGAGAGAUUGGGCUUUGGAUUUUUGGCUCAAAAAGGUUUGUUGGGCUUUGGAUUGUUUAAUGGCUGGUUGGAGAUAUCCUUUGGCAGAAAGCCAGUUACGAACAAGGUUAUCGGUCAAUUUUGACUGUUCAUCAAAUUUUGACCACCAUUUGACUUUAAAUGAUCUUUGUAAAACAGUUUGGGCAUCAUGAAUAUGGUAUUUGAGGUUCCACAUCCAUACCCAAGGAAGGAAGAAAUUUGUACAGAAACAGAGAAAGGGAGGAAAUCUUCUCUCUGAUUCAGAAGGGGUAUAAUGGGCUUUGAAAAGAGUUAAACAAUGGGUGGCAUUUGGUGUGAGAAUUUCAGGAAUUGGGCCAAAAUAAUUCCACCAUUGUUUAAACCAAUUUGGAAGACUUUGCACGGUUAUUUUAGAAUUGAAGAAAAAUAACCAUGAAUGGGAUUUUUUGGGGUUUUGUAAGAAAAAUGUGUUAUACCAGGCUUGUUGAUAAUCCCAGUAGGAGAAAGUCAAACAAUGUGGUAAACGCAUUUGAAAAUUGGAGGGAAAUCUUUUUUUAUUGUGGAGUAGAUCACCCCACUGUUUUGGGCUCAAGACUUUUAAAAUUGUAGCCGUUGAAUAAGCCGGCUCAGAAUGGGAGUCACUGAGAAAAAAAUGUUUGAAUUUAACAGAUUCAGUGGCUUCUAAAAUACUUUGAUAAUAAGGCUGGGGUUUUGUUAAAUCCCAUGGUUUAAAAAACCAGCCUUGGGGGAAAAACUUUGUAAGGGUUUGAAAUGGAUCAUAAUGGUAAAACCCAUCUUCUAUUGUUAAAAUAUUUUGGGAAUGGGUUUUAUCAAACCAAACCGAAGUCUUUUGUGAAGGUUGUGAAAGAACGAUCUGUGAAGAUGAGCUUUCACCCGAAACAACAAUUUUUUGAGAACUGGGCUUUGCAAUUUCUUUUGGGCUUUCUUUAUCAGAAAUGUCUUUUGAAAGUGAUUGGCUUUGAGAAAGGCUGCUUUGUAGGCCAAGCAUAAGUUCAGGAGAUUUUGAAAUGGAUUUCAUCCAUUGGUUUACUUGCUCAUGGGUAGAGAGGGCUUUAGAUUUUGCUUCUUCAUCUUGAAUCAUGUCAAUCCAAGAUUUGAUUGGCAUGGCAGAUGAUAAUAGCUUUUCUUUUGGAGGAGAGGAGUCUUUAGGUGUGACUUUAGGUUCUGGGUCAUUGGCAAUCCCUUUUCCUUUGUCUCUUCUGGUUUUUGGAGGCAUUAUCUGUUUUGAAGAAAUUCCCGAGUUAGAAAAUCAGGAAUAGAAUUUGUAUCACCUUUAAUAUAUUCAAUAUCAAAAUAAAAAACACUUAAAAUGGCUUGCCAACGUGCAAAAAUUUGUUUUGAUGCAAUGUUUUGAACAUCUUUUUCUAAAACAUGUUUUGCAGCUUUGCAAUCAAUUCUAAGUAAGAAUUUUUGAUUUAAUAAAUCACUUUGGAAUUUUGAGAUGCAUAAAACAAUUGAUAAAAUCUCUUUUUUGAUGGUAGAAUAGUUUCUUUGGCAAUCAUUCCAAUGGGCAGAAACAUAUUGUACAAUUUGUUCUUUGUUAUUUUCUUUUUGUUUUAGUAUGCCUCCAUAACCUAAAUCUGAUGCAUCAGUUUCAACAAUUUUAGGCAAUGCAGGGUUUGCAAGGAAUAAACAGGGGGUGCUUUUAACGGAUGCUUUGAUGGUCCUAAUGAUUUUUGUAUGCUCAUCAAUCCAUGCAACAUGUUUCUUUUUUAAGCGGUCAUGCAAGGGUUUUGCAAUCCUGUUAAUAUUUGGACAAAAAUCGAGAACAUAGUUUAAACUUCCCAAAAAUCUUUGCAAUUGGGUUUUGUCAAGGAUUUUGUCAGGAAAUUUAUCUGCAAAAUUAAGAGAUCGCUCGAUAGGAGCAAUAGUUCCUUUAGAAAUGUGAUGACCAAGAAAUCUUAUCUUUGUUUGGAAUAAAGAGACUUUGGAGUUUGAGACUGCCAAACCAGCCUUCCUGGUGGCAUAGUAAAAAGUCUUUAAAUGGCUAAAAUGUUGUUCAAUAGAUUUUGAAAAAAUCAAAACAUCAUCAAUAUAAACUAUGCAAAAAUCGGAAAAAGGAUUAUAAAUAUCAUUCAUUAUUCUUUGAAAUUCCGGAGGUGCAUUCUUUAAACCAAAAGGCAUGACAUUCCACUCGUACUGUCCAAAUGGAACAGUAAAAGCUGUCUUAUAACGGUCACUGGGUUUAAUUUGGAUUUGCCAAAACCCUGAUUUCAUAUCAAAUUUUGAAAAUACAAAGGCAGAAUGAAGUUUUUGAAGUAAAUAUUUUUUAUUAGGUAUGGGAUACCUAAUCCAUUUUAAAGCUUUAUUUAAGGGUUUGUAAUUGAUUACUAGUCUAGGUGUGCCUCUUUCAAUUUCGGAAUUUUUAUUAACAUAGAAGGCUGCACAAGACCAAGGUGAUCUAGAUUUUACAAUGAGUCCUUUAGAAACUAGGUCAUUUAUCUCAUCUUUGCAAUGUUUUUCUAAAUCCAUAUUCAUUUGAAUAGGACGAGCUUUAGUGGGUAUCUGUGUCUCAUUAAAAGAAGUCUCAUAGGGUAAAUCGACCAUGUGCUGUUUCCUAUUCCAAAAGGCAGAAGGUAAGUCAGCACAAAUUUCUUUUGUAAUAAGAUCCUUAAAAUCAGAAAUUUUCUGUUGUAUGAAAUCAUUACUUAAUUGGCUUUCAAUUCUUUGUAAAUUUAGGUCUUUUUGUAAAAACAUCAAAUCAGAUUGUUUUGUCCUGAGAAGAUUAUUUAUGUGAUUUUUAUAAACAGAACAAGCUUUGAUAAUAUUCAAAUUUCUCGUUUUAGGUUUUUCAAUAAAAGGGAAAACAAAAAUUUUUUAUUUUGCUUUGAAAGAAAUACCAUCAUAGUCGACAAUAUAUGGAGUAAUGAGAUUUAUAAAGGGUGUUCCCAAAAUGACUGCAUGAUGAAUAUCAUUUGUAAGAACAAAAGAAGUUCUAAAUUCAAAACUACUAUUAUGAAUAGAAGCUUCAACUUUAGAACUGAUUUUAAGUCUUGAAUUAUUUGCAGCAGAAAGUUUUUCUUUAGUAUUCUCAUGAAAUCUUUUUGGAACAAUAUCUUCUCUAAUGCAAUUUAAAUAUGCACCAGUGUCGAAAAGGGCAAUGGCAUCAAUUGCAAAAUCGCUAGAAAAGAUUAAAGUUAUUUUAAUUAAAUACUUUCUUGUGGUGACCUGUUUUAAAACAAAUAAAAAAUCAUUAGGGACAGAUUCGAUGUUCCCAACGUUUUGUUCGUUAUCAUUGUUACCAUCGGAUUCAAUUUCUUUAUCAGAAUUGUCCUCCAACUGUUUUUGUAAAAGUAGUUGGAUGGUUUCAGAAUCAGUUUUUUAUUUUUCUUUUAAAUCACGAAUCUCACAUUUGAUUUCUUUUAUUUCUUUUUGAAGAUCUUGAAUAUUAGGAACAUUUUUCUUUGUUUUCUUUUUAUUCAAAAUCUCAGUAAGAUCAUAAGAGUUCUUUUUAACAAUUGGGACUUUAGAGGUUUCAACUUUGUUAAAAUCCAAGGUUUUCAAAAGUUUAUCAAGAUAUUCUUUUUGAAGAUUUGGAUCAGAAAUAUGUUUUACAAGUUCAAGAAAAGUUUCUUGGUCUUUAGUCAAAACAUUGAUUUUCUUUAAAAACGAAUCUGUUUCAGAAUCACUACUGCUAGAUGCAGAGGUAUCUGAAUCAAUUAACUCAUCGACCUGGAAAGGUUCACUAUCUCCCGACAUGGAAGACUCAGAGUCAGAAGACUCUAUAAGAAGAGAGGCUAUUUUGGAAAGGGUUUCUUCAUCGAGCCCAAGCUCGUGAAGUUUCCUAUUUAUCCUGCAGUAAUUUGCAGUAUGGCCCUUUAUACCACACUUAUGGCAUAUGGCUUCUUUAUAAUUGAAAGGGGUCUUAGGUUUGGCUGCUUUAAAAUCCUUUUUCUUAGGGAAUUUGGAUUUUUUAUAAGGCCUUGAGGGUUUCUUAUAAAAAGAUUCUCUAAGAUUAUGAAAGGGUUUUCUAUGACUUUUGGAUUUGUAAUGUUUCUUGUAAGGUUUCGAAGAACACUUACCAUUACAAUCUUUGGAGCUAGAAGCUUUAAAGGGGUCAUAAUUGAAUUGUUUACAGAAACUACCAAGUUCUCGCUUAGACUGUCUAAGCUCCUGUUUUAGUCGUUUUUGUAACUUCAAGUCUUGACAGAUCUUUAAACCUUCCUUAUUGACAAAGCUGACAAGUUCACCAUAGGUGAGCUCAUCAUAAGGAAUGCAGUUGUCAUGAAGAGCUUUAAUGGAAUUCCUAACCUUUUCACCUAAAAGGGCAGGCAGUCCUGCUAAGAAUUUCUCUUUCCAAGUAGUAUGAUUUGCAUCAUCUCUAAGGAAGAGUCUGGUAAAGAAAGUGGUUUUGUAAGUCUGGAAAUCACUAAGUUUUCUACACCUGAGAUUGUGUAGUAACUCAGCGUUUUUGUCUCUAAGGUGAGAAGGGUCACCUAUGAAAUGAAGAGAAAUGGUAACAAUUAAGGUUGCGACUGCAUCCUGAAUUGGAUUAUUGAAUUCAUCAAAAAUGGGGAUGGCAUCUUGUUCUUUCUGGAUAGCAUUAAGGAUGUCUAAUUGUUGCUCAUUGGUGAGGAGAUGAUCCCACCAACCUUUAAGCUGACCAGUAAAACCGGCAAUAAGGAUUUCUGCAAUUGCCUUAUCCGAAGUUCCUGAUUGGGUUUUAUAGGCAUUGGCUGCCAUGGUCAUUUGUUGCAACAAUCCUAAAAUAUUGUAUUCCGACAUACCAUCAAUAUUCCAUUCAUAGACAGAAGAUGCAUUAUACCGGGAUUGAUUUAAUGCACUAGGUCUAUUGUCUAUGGUCAAAUCAGGAGGAGAUUUGACAGUGGGAAGGGCAAGUUCCCAAUGGAUUUUGUUGGCUUUAGGAAUAGGUUCUUCUUUGAAGGCUUCGAGAUCAGAAGAGGCUAUAGAACUUUGGUCAUCUUGUUCUAAUACUCCAAUCUUGCUAGAUUGGGGAGUAUCAGGAGCUAUUUGAGCUUUACUAGAUGAGGAUGAAGCAGCUUCAAUUCUAUCUAGUUGUUCUCUAAUGGCUUUAGCAAAAUCUGAUUUUGACUCAUGAACAAGCUUUUUACUAGUUUUCGAAACCUAAAAAGGUUUGAAAAUAGGAGUUUUAAGCUUUUUGUCAGAAUCCGAUUUUGAUGGAACAGUGGAAACAAAAGAAACAGUAAUGGUUGACUUCUGGAACUGAUUUUCUAUCCUAGUCAACUGUUUUCCAAUGGUGUUUAAGUUAGUAUUACAGAAAUUAUUCUGUUGAAUAAUACUACUUAAAUUCGCAUCAGUGUCAUUGGGUUUUGGGAUUUUGUAAGGUGAUGCCCUAAUUUGGACAGGAGGUUCACCGUGAUCAACGGUUAAACUCCGAAGAGGUGGAUGCUCAGAUUCUAUGGUUCUAUCACUAUCAGAAAGUUUCCACUCAGGGGUUUUCUUCCUAACAGUAAUAUGGUUUGACUCUUUGAAUGGAUAAUCAAUGUUGUUCUCAGAAGAAUAUAUUUCGAACCAAUCAAAAAACAAUAUAUGAACUUGGUGAAGAUUCACAAAUUCAUAAUAAACUUGUUGGAUUUCUUUUCUUUGAUUUAAAAAAUGUUUGAAAAACCAAAACCUUUUUUCUUUAUUAGAUUCAGAAUAAAAAUCAUUAUGUAAAAGAUUUUUGUCUAAAAUAAAUUCUUUUAAAAGGACAUUUAUGACAUUUUCUGUGACUGCAGAAAACGUAGGAGAGGUUGGAGGAGAAGGUUCCUUCUCUUCCUGUCUUUGUCCAUGAUGACUACUAGUAUAUAUCGGAUGAGGAAUACUAGUGGCGUAGUCAACUGAUCUUAUUGAAGAACUAGGAAUAUCCGAAGUGGAAAACCUAGGUUGGUUUAUGAUUGAGGGGAUUUUUGUAAAUUUCCUUUCUAGUGAAGGAAUACUUGAGCACGACUCUUUAUCAGAAAAUCUAGUUGAGUUAGAUCUUCUGAAGGACAAUUUAACUCUACCAUCUGAAUACUGAGUCACAUUUUGCAACUCUGUAUUAGGCUCAAGUUGUUUUGGAAUCGCCGGUGGGGCAGCUCCUUCAAGAAUCCAUUCAUCUGGAAGAUUGAUGUCUUUCCAUUGGAUUGCUUUGGGAAUGACUGUGUUAGCCCUGGACAAAUCAAUCUGUAAGAGAAGUGUUUCAUCUCUUUUUGACUGGAAUUUAUGUUGGGUACUAAAUGCAGAAAUCAUUGCUUUGUAUGAGAUUUUGAAAAUUAAUGCAACUGGAACAAAACCUUUAAUCAUAUUAUAGUUAUGGGUUUUGAUUUGUAAAAUCAUGCUUUCCAAAAUAUUUUUGUCUUUAAGAGAAAUUGUUAUAUUCGGAUAACAAUCAAAGGGAAUAGGACCUUUACAGAGACUAGAUUUGAUGCUACUUAGCAAUGAAUCAUCAAAAGAGAUGAAUCGACCAUCUCUAAGGACAGCGAGGAUAGAAGUAUCCAGGCCUUCUUUGGUCAAGGGUUUUAUGCCUACUUGGAUAAGACCAAUAUGAAUAUAAUUAAAUUUCUUUUCUUUUAGCUUUUUUAAAGAUUUUUCUGAAAACAAGUGAAUUGUUUCAAAAGGGUUUGCGAUAGUUAUAUCGCGUUCUUCAGUCUUUAUAACAUAAUCAUUUCUUUAAAAUAUCAAGUGCUUUUGUUUUGUAAAUCUUUUCUUUAGAAAUCUUUGGAAGUUCCCAACAGUCUAUUGCUUUAUCAAAGUUCUCAAUAAUGAAUUCUUCUGAACUCACAACAUGCUUUGAAUCACUAGUCUUCCCGGAAGAAGAGCUAGAAAAGGAUGAUGUUCUACAGAUCGGAGGGUCCAUGGUUAAAACCUAUGGUCUAUUUUUGGUUUGGUCAAAAUGGCUACAGGUAUGGAUUUACAGCCCUUAGCGGAAUCCUUCUCCUAAAACGGGACUUACGACCAGUAAGAAUUCACCACAAAAAUAAAACUUCAAAAUAAAACACAAGCUUUUAAAACAUGAAAACUCAAAUCUGCUUUACACUAUCCUUCCCUUGGCUCUAAUACCAGAAGCAAAAUAAUAAAAUAUUAUUAUUUAAAUAAAUAUAAUAUUUAUUUAUUUUUAUUUUAUUAAAUUUAAUAAAAUAAAUAUGUUUAUAAUUAUUAUUUUUAAUAAAUAUGAUAUUAUUUAUUUUAUUAAAUAUUAUUUAUUUAUUUUAAUUAUGAGAGUAAAAAAGUGAGGUGGGAGUGGACCUCCCCAUGGGAGUGGGAAUCCCACUCUCCCUUAAAAAUGGUAAGUAAACACUGAAGCGGGAGGAAUUCACACUCCACACUCCACACUCUCACUCUAAAAAGUAAACACUACCUUAAAAGCGGAUGACAUUAGAGCCAGUGGUUGAAGGCAUGUCAAGCCAUCGUCUUUCUUGGACUUGGUUCUUUUCCAAGACUGGACUCGCCAUUAAGCAACCAAAUAGCAGUGUCUCUGUGCGUGAUAAGCCAACGAAUCAUCAGUUUGAAGCAACUGUGGCAACGUGCGCUGCACUAGCUAGCCAGGGGUCUACACCCUACACAAAGACCCCUUUAAGGCAAAUUCUGGAUGUUAGAGAGUAUACUAAUGAAGAAUUUGGUCACCUUGAACAUAUAUAACUCAAUAGCAACAGACCCGAUGCCUCCCAACGGCUCCUAGAAUAUCAUGCAUAAGAUUAAGUCAUGAGAUUGCAUCAACGAUGAAGCCUUUAGUUUAUGUAAAUAUCUUUGUAAUUAUGAGAUGUGUUUUAUUCCUUUUAAAGCAUGAUACAACUUGUAUAUAUGCUGUACGAUUUGUUUUGAGUAGAAACAAUCUCAAUUACUUUCUCAUAUUUACAUUUUCCACAGCACGUAUUCAAGCAGGACAGAAAUGUAAUUAAUUAAUUAAUUAAUUAAAAAGAUAGCAAUAAAUGUUUAAACUCUUGAUAAAUAUAUAAAUAAAUAAAUUCAUUAAUAUAAAUAUAUUCACUACUACUCAUAUAUAAAUAAAUAAAUAAAUUCAUUAAUAUACAUAUUUUAGUUUUCUGAAAUACAGAAUGAAUGGAAAGAUUUAAUCAUUAUUACCCAAGUGUUUGGCAAGGACAGCAAUAUGAAGAAUGGAAAUAUUGUCCCAACAAAUCUUCGGCAGUUAGUUGAGCAAAGUAAAUCCAAGAAGGCCUCACAGUCUCUCUUUAAGGCCAAUUGUUAUCAUCUCCACUGCUAUCUAUCUUUUUCUCACUUGUACAGUUGAUACACAAAACAAGUUGUACGUACCCGUUUUUCGAUAUCCAUAAUUUUAAAAUUGACCAUUUUCUCACUCUAAGAAAUUUGGGAUAUGACAUAAUAGAACUAGAUCUCGAUUGUAUUGCGGUGUUGUGAAAAAAAAAAUAUAAUUAAAAUAAAAAUUAAUAUUUUAUGAUAAAUAUAGUUUUUAAAUAAUUUCGAUAAAAAUAAUAAAAAUAUUAUAAAUUUUCAUCGUAUAAGUGUGGAAUAAAAUUAACUUAAUUUUCAAAUCAUAAGUCAAUAAUAAUAAAUAUUUAUCAAAUAUUUUAAUGUUGUAGUUUAAAAAAUUACUCUAUGCACAUCCUUGAUUGUACAAGCAUAUUAUUAUUUAAAAAAUUAUUAUCUAUUUUUUUGUUAAUUACUUCUUUUCCCAAUUAUUGCAAAAUAUAGACAAAACUCAUGCUUGGUCGAACGUUUUUAUUGUUAAUAGAUUAUUGUAAGUUGACUAUAAACUUGGUUGAUAUUCAGUAUUCGACGUAAUGUCUUGGCCGGAUGUGGUUAUUCCAUUGCAUCAAUUAAUUGUACGGUUGAAUACCAUGAUUGUUUUGCCUUAAAACAUUUUCUAAUUUCUUUCUUGGACGUUCUUCAAUAUUGAGAAAUAUAUUUAGUUUUCUCCGAAUUUUUUUUCUUUCAUAGUGACAUAAUCCAAAAAUUUAAGGGUCCAGUUGAUUACAAUUCAAAAAUAAUUUAAACAAAUAUAAUCUCAAAAUUUGUGUUGAAGUUUUAAUGUGUUUACUUUUUAUUAUUUAGCCUGACAGCACUCAAUUCCCUCUCCACCUAUGUGAACGGAAUUUAACUCCUAAAUCUCUUGUUUCAAGAAACUAAAAGAGAUUUUACUAUCUUAACUAAAUGGUAACUACAAGCUUUAAUGUCUUUAUAUAAUAUUUAAAACAAACAAUUUCAACAACUGAAACAUGUUUAACAAAAUUUCUAAUUAAUAAAAAAUAAAAAUACUUGUUUAGGUGGUGUGAUUUCAAAGGUAAUAUUUACUUAAGCAUUUACAAUUUUAUUUUCCUUUCAGCUAAUUACAUUAUAUCAAGCAGUAACUUGACCAAAAUAAACAUAAAACAAGCUUCAUCAAGAUUCAAUAUUGAUUAUAUUCUGUUAGCUUCUAUUCUGUUACAUUAUACCUGUUAGGCUUUGCCACCAAAUAAAAGCUGGCGCAGUUGUGUGUCACUUUGCACGUUCAUCUACUUAGCAUCAGGACAAUGCUUAGAUGCCCAUUUUCGGAACCUGUUAACGGCAGCUUCUUGCUCUGCUCUGGCCACCUUCUCAAUCUCAGAAAGAUAUUCCCGAUCAACCAACAUCCCCUCAGUUUCCAUUUUAACUAGAAUCUCACCGAAUGGUUGCCAGUAUUCCGGAUAAAAGUCAAACAUGGAUUUUCUUGGAACUGGUUUCCCAUCAAGUUUCCAUGACAUUUCUAAAAGUAUUUUUUUUCAAGCUCUUACAAAGCUUCAGUGUGUUUAUUGAAUCAAAGGCAGAAAAAACUAAUACGGAGUAAAGCAGUUUGUUUAGCUAAGUAAAGGAAAUUGGAUCAGUUACGUCUAUAGAAGGUGGAAACAGCUAGAAAUCCACCAUAAAAAGAGAGAGAGAGAGAGAGAGAGCACACAGAGAGGAAACAGCUCUGCAACUGAGCAGAUUAUUUCCUUUCUUUGAUCGGCGUACAACAUAUUUUCCUCAACUAACAUAAAUAGCUAUCUAAGGGGGAAAUUGGAGUUUCAGGUUUCAUCAAAUCUAUGAACUGUACCACACGGGUAGGAGAACAUAGCAUAGAUGUAGAGGUAAACUUGUAACCCAGUAGACAGCAAUGGGAACCGUAGCUUAAAUUGAAAAAGAGCAACAAAACUUGAGAAAAUGCACAGCGUAGGCAGUCACCGUAAAUCUUAAACCUGUCACUGCAAAGCAAUGACAAUAAAACUCCAUCUAAUUAAACCAUAAUAUGUGAAAAAUCAGUUAUCCAGAAAUUUACUAAAGCGCAUAACCAGCUGCAAGUCCAAUGCUUGAACCGUGCACCAAUCACAUAAUGACUGGUGCAGAUUAUCAAAGAAAUAUCCGCCAAUCCAUUUCUCCAUACUGCUAACCAGAUGAUAAUUAUUCUAAUUAAAAAAAAGCGUGCAUAUGAAAAGGACUAUAAACAAGAAAAAGACAUGGUGAAGGGGGAGGAAGGGCUCACCUUUUUGAUGGAUGGAUCCUCAAAAAAUGGAGCAAAUUCAUUCAAAAGGUCCCUGCCACCACCGUCAAGAAGAUCAACCCAGAUGCCGGACUUCCCAUUUCCAAAAUCUGCUUCUGGUCCAGAAUAAAUACUGAAGCAUAUCACUUCUCCAUGAUCAACAGGUGUCUCUUGCUUCACAUCAAUUUUGCCCACCUAUAAACAUGCUAUAAUUAGAUUCCUGUAUGCACAAAACUAGGGUAUCUACAUUGAGUAAAAUGUGUGCUUCUAUACAGGAAGACAUGCAAGGAAGAAGUAAAAAAGAAGGCAACUAAGUACAUCACUCAUUACCUGCCGACCAAAAAAUAAAAAUAAAAGUACCAAUUUCAACUAGAAGAAGAAAAGAACAAAGUACCUCAGUAUCACAUGCAUGGACAAGAUGCUUAUAUUUGUUUGUAAGCAUCCAUACAACCUUCUUUGCGGCAGAAACAUUAUCGACAACCAUAACAUUGCUGUAGAAGCUAGCAAGUUUACUGCGAAGAAUCUCGAGUUUUUCACUAUUUUCAUUUUCUGAAGCCUUUUUGUUCUGGCCAGUACCUUCUGCAGCAUCAUUCUUAGGAUUCUUUUGAUUACUUCGCUUAGAACUAACUAGUUUUGGAGGAGGUGAAUAGGAACUACCAUCUUCAAAGCACUCAAUCUCUGAGUUCCUGAAAUCUGACAAGUUGGGAACUGUCAAAACAGUGGCUCCUUUUCUCUCUUGAUAUUCUGCAACUUCCUUUUCAUAUCGCAAGCACUCCAUAUUAGUCUUCUUGUCUAAGGGUAUUUGAUCAUUCACAAAGUCUUCGCUUUUUUCUUCACUGCCAGUAACUUCUUGUUUAAUAACAGCCAUCACAGAUCCAGGAUGAUUCGUAGGAUGACCACCUACUGCACCAUUUCGGAAAUCUGCCGGUCCCUAACAAUGGGCUUCUUCUGCUGCUUAAAUUUCUGAAAAUAAUGUUGCUUAGAACUCAUGAUUGAAGAAUAGAAACUACUGUCUUGCAAGCACUCAGUCUUUGAUGAAGUAAGUGAUCUGUCAUGCUUGGAUUCCAGUAUGUUGAUAACAGUGGAAAUGGCAGCUCUUUUUCUCUCUUGAGCUUUUGCAUCUUCCUUCUCAUCUCUCGAGCUCUCUGUAUUUGUCUGACAAGAUUCUACUUCUUUCAUUACAUGCAGUCUGGUCGUUUCUGUCAUCCACCCUCUCGAACUGCGGACAGUAUUUUUUGCAGAAAAUGUUUCGUUACUGGAAAUAGAAGGAUUAGGAGGAUAGUAGGAUGCAACCUCC
rnacentral:lncRNA from 1 species